rnacentral:lncRNA from 1 species
CUCCUCUCGACCACGCACAGCAGCUACGGAGCCUGCUCCUCCAUGGCUCCUGUUUCACCUCGCAUUUGCCGCUCGGUCGGCUCCCGUUGAGUUAAAACCUAAUUAACCUAGCCGGUCGCUCCAUUCAAAGCUACGGGCAGUACACGUACGAGUGCUAGCUCGACGCAGUAAUGCAAUGGUAGUUGGCCGGGCAUCGAUCUCCAUAGCGCCGUAGACAUCAGGAACACACAGCAGAGGAAGAACAGGGCCUGAAUGCCUGACGAGAAACAGCACCGUACACAUACACGGGUUCCAUGGAUCGAUGUGGUAGUAUAGUACUCCCUCCGUUCCAAAUUAUAGGUCGUUUUGGCUUUUAUAGAUACAUAGAUAUUAUUAUGCAUCUAGACAUAGGGUAUAUCUAAGUACAUAACAAAGUUUAUGAAUCUAAUAAAGUCAAAACGACCUAUAAUUUGGGACGGAGGGAGUACUUUUCAAGUUUUAUAACAGCAGGGAAUUAAUUAAAAACAACACGCGUGGAUUAUUGAGAACGAAAUUGAACAGAUGGUGGUGGUCGGAGUAUCGAGCUCUCUCUCGUGUCUCGUGCCUCGAUUCCUCCUCGUGUUCUUGAUGGGCGGAAACAGAUGUAUCUUCUCCUCAUCCUCUUCCUCAGACGUGGUGGUAGCUGUGUGUGUGAAACUGCGAAUGGUGGACGGACGGUAGCAGUAAAUGGCCAUGGUGGGCGGCCGCCACGGCGGACGGACGGAUAGGGUUCAGUUCUUGGCGGCCACCGCCUCGGCGUGCUUGUGCGGCACCUCCGUGCUCAUCUCCUUGAGCUUCUCCUCCACCUUGUCAACGGCGGCGGCGGUGGAGUCCUCGUCCUUGUCUUCCUUCUUCUCUUCCCCGCCGGCGGCGGCGGCGGGGGCCUCUUUCUUGGGCUCCUCUUUCUUCCCCUCCUCGGCUCCCUCUUUCUUGUCCGCCACCACCUCCUUCGCCGCAGCGCCGUUGCCGUUUCCGUUGGCGACGACCUCACCGGCCCUGGCAGCAGCAGCGGCGGCGGCGACCGGCGGCGGCCCGUCGGCCUCGAACGCCUCGACGGGGAAGGUCCUGGACAAUCCCCCGAUAGCCUUGCAGUGGAGCUUGCCCUGGGGCGGGUCAUCCACACAGAUCUCGUGGAGCGUGACCCAGAUGAGCAUCUCCUUGGCCUUGACGCCGGUGAUCUUCUUGAGGCGGCCCUUCUCCGCCACCGCCGACACCUCGGCGCCGUAGGAGACGUGGCGCCCGGCCUUGGCGAAGUAGUGGUCCACCUUGCGGCGCUGCUUGAGCCACACGAACCCCGUCUCCUCCACGUACCCGCACUCGACGAUGUCCUUGAGCGGGAGGAGGCCGCUGGGAAGGCCCGUCUCCUCGAGGAGGAGCCGGGUCUUCUCCUGACCCGCCGCGUCGCCCACGUAGAUCUCCGCCUUGGCGCGCACGUCCUCCGGGAUCGUCAGCGUCAUCCUCGCCGGCUGCGGCGGCGGUCGACCGGUGGUGGCGAGGAGGACGAAGAGGGAGAUGCCGGUGGUGGAAGGGAGGGGUUAGUUGGAGGCAAGGAUGGCGUGUUUGGAGAAGGGAGCAUGAGGCGCGUGGUUUAUAUAGGAGGAGAUCGAGCUGAGCAGGGGUGGGAGGAGUGUCCCAGCUCACUCGCAUACAAAAGCUCUUAGUUUGGAGUUUGUUAUCGAAAAAGAAAAGUUUGGUUCGGAGAUAACAAGAGAGGGGUGAGUGUCGGGGGAUGCGGUUGGGAGUUGCCAAUGCAAUAUCUUCCCUUUUUUUGCCCUCGGAGAAUGAAUUUAAUUUGAUUUUGAUAUGGUAUAAUUGAGGCCGUGUUUAGUUGGGGAAUUUGGGAGGUGCCAAAUUACUGUUACAGCACUGUAGCACACUGUAGCGUUUCGUUUGUAUUUGUGAAUUAUUGUCCAAAUAUUGACUAAUUAGGCUCAAAAGAUUCGUCUCGCAAAGUACAACAAAACUGUGCAAUUAGUUUUUAAUUUCAUCUACAUUUAGUACUCCAUGCAUGUACCGCAAGUUUGAUGUGAUGGGGAAUCUUCUUUUUGCAUAGUGUCAAAGUUGGGAGUUGGGAGUAACUAAACAUGGCCUGAGAUGUGCCAGGGCCUAGGAUGCUACGGUGUGUGCCGUCUUUUCACAUCCGUAUUAUAACGACGUUCACCCGAAUGUUUGUAGCCACCGUGACAAUGUCGUCUACGACGGCCGGCGGGGGUGCUCUUGCGGUCGCGGAUCCCGCGACGGCCGCCCGGCGGCCGCCGAUCUAGGAUCCGACCGCCGCACGUGCGCCGGCCGCGGGCCACCCGCCUUGCCAUUAAUGGGGCGGGGUUAGUUGGGAGCGGAGGAGGGAGGACGUGGCUGGUGGUGGGGGCAAUCAAGUGAGGGCCAGUGGAGGAGCUUCAAUUCCGCAGCUGCCCCAGCUAAUUGCAGGUUCGCAGUGGAGCGGACAGUGGGGGGUGGACUCGCAUCGCUCUCGGUGGCAGUUAGCUGGAGUGCUUGUUUAUCGAUCGCACCUGUGCACCGGAGGCAUGGCAAGCUGCUGAUCGGAAGCAGUUUGACCUGACUGUCGUACGUACAUCCAUGACACAUUAGAAAGAUUUGUACAAUCUUAAAUACGGGUUUAACAUCGAGACGCUUCUGACAUGAAAAUCAUGGCGCAGUACGACAUAGUCUACAUGGAAAGACAUGAACUAGUCGAGGAUUACGGAAGUACUCCCUCCGUAUAGGAUUUAGAGGUCGUUUAGGAUAUAAUUGUACUUAUCAAGGAGUGAUUAAUUAGGAGGUAUUUUUUCCUAUCUGCCCUUAUUAAAUACGUUUGCGGGUGUAUUCCAUAUGAGAAACUUGUGCAGCUGAGACGGCUAGUGCAUGGAGGCGUGAGGCUAGUGAGCUGAGUUUGAAACUUGGCGGAUGCAUAUUUUUUUGCUGUGGUUUGAUUUUGCGUGGCACUGUUUGGCUCGUGCAUGGUGCUCGGAUUUGUUUUUUUCUCGUUUGUGUGCGGCAGAGGCUGCAUGUCCCUGUUUCGGAUAGGCGUGGCCGCUCGCGUUUGGCUACAUGGCGCUCUUUUCUUUUUGCGUUUGGUCGCGGCGGAGGCUGCAUGGCCCUGCUUCGUCUAGGAUUUGGUUGCAUGGCGCUCGCUGAUUUCGUUUUGGCGCUCGUUGUUUUCGUUUUGGCAUUCGCUUCCUUUGCUAUUUAAACAGAACGGUCCCUUCCUCUUUCUACCUCUUCUCUCUUCACUUAACGCUGCAAUGGGUGAUUUCUUCCCCGGCUUUGAUCUGAAUGUGCGUUUAGAAGAAGAUGACGACGGCAAUGUUCCCCUGGAUCUCAACGAGCUAAUAAUGGAGGAUGACAACAACAAUGGUAAGCAACAACGUCAAAUUACUUUCUUAGUUUGUGCCUACUAAUGUUUGUUUUUUUACAAGUAGAACAUAAUGUGGAAGCUCCCUUUGAAGAACCCCACCGAAGAAAAGAAAUGUCUGAAGAGCUCCGAAAACAAGUUUAUCAAGCUUUGUUGGCUUGAAGCAACAAUGGGAAACUAGGCAAGAAAGAUACUACAAUUGUUGCUGAUCAAUUUGGCCUUCACAUUCGGUCACUUCAGUGUUUAUGGAAGCGAGGUAAAAUACAACUUGCAAACUCUGUUCCGGUUGUGGUUUCUAGUCUAAAGAAGGGUAAAGUUGGUUGUAAGACAAUCUCUGUUGAUUUGGAAGCAUUGUGCGACAUCCCUCUAAAGGAAAGAAUGACUAUAGAGGAUGUGUGUACCAAACUUAACAUGAGCAAAUGGAAGAUUCAAAAGUAUUUGAAAAAAGGUUUGCUUAGACGCCACUCUAGUAGCAUCAAACCAUAUCUCACUGAAGCUAACAAGAGGUCUAGAUUAAAGUGGUGUGUUGACAUGAUUAAGAGGGAUUUCCUUGCUGAUCCAAGGUUUAAGGAUUUGUAUGACUUUGUAUUCAUUGAUGAAAAAUGGUUCUACCUCUCUCAAAAAUCUGAAAAAUAUUAUUUGCUACUCGAAGAAGAUGAUCCUCGUCGGACUUGUAAGAACAAGAAUUACAUCCCUAGGCUCAUGUUCUUGUGUGUUUGUGCUCGGCCAAGGUUUAGGGAUGGGAAUUGUAUUUUUGAUGGUAGGAUUGGUUGUUUUCCACUUGUUCAAUAUGAACCGGCUAUGAGAGGUAAUGAGAGAACUGGCCGUGUACGGGGAGACUUGGUUAUGAAACCCAUACCUUCGAUCACAAGAGACGUGAUUAGAGAUUUCAUGAUCAACCAAGUGUUGCCUGCCAUUCGAGCCAAAUAGCCAGGAGAAGAUGUGGGCAAACCAAUCUUCAGGAUAAUGCACCUUCCCAUUUGAAAUUGGAUGACCCGGAUUUUUGUGAGGCUGGUAAGCAAGAAGGAUUCGAUAUUCGCCUAAUUUGUCAGCCAUCCAAUUCUCCGGAUUUCAACAUUCUUGACUUGGGUUUUUUUCGAGCUAUUCAAGCAAUUCAAUACAAGAAGAAUGCAAAAAUAAUAGAAGCUCUAGUUCCAGCAGUGCAAGAGGUAAUUUGAUCAAAUUGUUCACACAUGUUUCAUUGUUUCUUCAAUAAAAAAUUUGCUCAUUCAUUCAUUUCUUGCACACUUGUUUUGUAGGCAUUCAUAGAAUAUUCGGCACACAAAGCAAACCGAAUGUUUCUAACACUACAAAGUGUUUUGAUGGAAGCUACGAAGGUGAAAGGAUGCAACAAGUUCAAAAUUCCUCACAUGCAAAAAGAAACAUUAGAAAGAGAAGAUCGGCUGCCAACUUCUAUCCCUUGUGAACCAUCUUUGCUAGAUGAAGACGAGGCUACUCUUGCUGCAUAAAACAAUUAGAAUGAUGCUAGUUAGCUUAAUUAGUAGAGACAUCCUUGUAAUAGUUAAUUAGAACUAAAACUAGUUAUCUUACCAAUGCUUUGGCAUCAUCCUUUCCCGGCAGUAGCUCCUUGUAAUGGUUAAUGAAAAGCUCGCAGUCGAACUCAUCGAGGCCGUGAAGCAUGGCGUCAAUUAUGUAGUCCGCGUGGAUGAGACCGCAGCGAGAGCAUGGUCAGAACCGCGAGUACGCACGAUUCCAUGCUUGGCGGUCCCAUGCACGAGAUGACAACGAGCACAUAUAAAAGAGCCCGGCGGCAAGGAAUCCGGCACCAUCUCCGAGUUCGGCGCGAGCUCCUGCAACUCCGGCGUGAUGGAGUCCGGCGCCAUCUGCAAGUCCGGCACCACCUCCAUCUCCAAGUCCGGCGCGGUGACCUCCUCCUCCUCCUACGACUCCGGCGCGACAACCUCCUGCGGCUCUGGCGUGAAGAGCUCCUGCGACUCCGGCGCGAUCUCCUCCGACUCCGACGCGAUGAGCUCCGGCUUGAACUCCAUGGUUUGGAACGGUGGGAGUGGGAGGCAAGAGCUGAUGAGCAGCGAGCGCGAGAGGCCAGCUGUGAGCGCCACAGGCCAGCGGCGAGCAAACGAGUGCGAGCAAUGAGCAAAUAUUAACAUGGCGCAGGAGCCCGAGCGCGGCGCUAUUAAUGCCUGCAUGGUGCUUGCAUGCCGCUGUUUGGGAGCCCGAGCACGGCGCAAUUACCGCGGCGUGGGAGUCGGAGUUAGCGCAUAAAGGGGUAGCAUCGUCCAAAACUUUACUUCUACGCUAGAACGACUUCCUUUCCUCAACUUUGCUUCUGCACUAGAACAACUUCUAAAUCCUAUACGGAGGGAGUACUCGUUGUAAUAAGAGUAGAACUCCUCUAAUCAUAUCCGACUAGUAUUCUUGUAACCAACCAACCUGUAACCCUGCUCCCGACAAUAUAAGGUGAGGUAGGGACCCCAUCCAAAGCAAUUCAAUCCAACCAACAUACAUGACGUAAGCUAUUAUGCAAUCUAGCGGUCCGAACCUGUCUAAAUCGUGUGUUUGCGUUUAACUUUGAGUUCCUGAUCCCGACGAGCCCCACUAACCAAAACACUACCUCGGGCACCCCCCCUCGAUAGGUUAUCGGGUUUAAACACCGACAGCUGACACGCCAGGUAGAGGGCCUCGCCAAAAAUCCACUAGCGAACUCGAUGGCACAAGUCAUCAGCAAGCCAAUCGUCGUGUUCGAAGCAGGCACGACAUUCGUCUUCAACUUCUAGGUUUGCAUCGCAGACAGCGCUAGAAAUUUCCACCACCAUAUUGCGUCGGCCCCGGAGAAGAAGCAGCAAACCAUGAAACUCCAGCGCCAAAUUCUGGAGGAGCCUCGUCGAGAGUUUCGACAAGUUUUUCAAUUUCUGACCUAGUCAGAGGCUGGGGGGAUAAGUUUGAGUUCAACUCGACUUCUUCCACCAGUCGGAUUGACUUUCACGAGCCGGCACAUAAGCCAUCGUGAAGUGGGCUUAUAGAAAUCCAGCAAGCCCCGGAAGAAAUAUGAAGUUGACAAUGCGAGACCCCGCUCAAUGAAGUGGGCAAAUAUUACCGUCUCAUUGGGGUAGGUCUCCAGUGGGCAGGUGUUGUCAUAAGCAGAUCUUCAGUUGAUGAAGUUCUAAUCUUAGAGUAAAUUGGCGGUUACGAGCAUCUUGUUAUCCUCCUCCUUUAGAGUUGACCGCUUCCAGACAUAGACGGGAUUUGGCGACGCAGUCUGAUCGGUAUUCCCGUACUUGAGUGUCGGCAACUGUGGCUCUUUCUUCUUAUCAGAUCUUUUCUUCUUCUCGCCCUCGCUCGCUUUGGAUGCGGUAGCCUUCCUUCCCAUCUUUGAUGUCACGAGUAUUUUCAGUCACAUACGCUCAGGGGCUGCUUGGUGGGGGGAUGGCUGUACGGGUGUUCGAAGAUCGAACAAUGGUGGUGGCGGGCUAAUGUGUGGAAGUUGGAAAGGGAAAUGGUAAAGGUAAAAUGGAAGGGAUAACUUCCUCCGUUAUUUAUCACAGUGGUGCGGUAACAACUGCGCAAAUAAAGAGAUUUCGAUUUAAAGGAUCCCCAAAUUUUGGGAUGCUUGAUUGGCAGUUACCUAUUUCAGGAAAAGAUAAAUCUCUUUCUAGAGAUGGUCACGUUGACCAGAGGUUGACCCUUCUACGCACCAAACUAGUUGGCUAAAAGCUCGGGGGCUAUGUGCCACGUGUUCAUCGACAAAAUGGUUUUUCCUCCGAAUUUUAAGGGAAAGUGAUGCAAAUUACAGACCCUCAGCUUGAUUCUUCGAUUCAACCUAAGGUUCGGGGGCUACUCCAUUUGGAGUGCGACUUUCAUCGCACUUCCAUAUAAAAUUCAAGGUUGAAAGAUACAAGACUAAAGUUGAAUGAGGCUUAAGCACAUUCUAGCCGCAUGGCAGUCUUUGAGUACCUUUGAAAAUUCAACCAGAUGAAGUACUUGAAGAGCACCAAAACUAGUCGGUGAAGUCUACGAAAGUCCUCGGAACUGCUGCAUUUGACUAAAAAGUGCUCGGGGGAUUGUCAUAUAUACAUCUAUGAGCCCACCAGAAUUUUUGGAUAGUCCUAAAUAUAGGGCUGGACAUCGAAACACAUCUGAUAUGGAGAUCAUUGCGCAGGACGGCGUAGUCUAUAUGGAAAGAUAGGAACUAGUCGAGGAUUAGGAAAAUACUCAUUGUAAUAAGAGUAAAACUACUUUAGUCGUAUCCGACUAGUAUACUUAUAACCAAUCGACCUUUAACCCUGCCCUGCCCCAUCAAUAUAAGGUGAGGCAAGGACCCCUCCAAAGCAAUUCAAUCCAACCAAUAUACAGGACGUGGGGUAUUAAACAAUCUAGCAGCCUGAACCUAUCUAAAUUGUGUGUUUGCGUUUAAAUUUGAGUUCCUGAUCUCAACGAACUCCACUAACCAAAAUGUUACCUCAAGCACCCAUCUAACGUGUUCCGAUUCAAAACGCUACGCUGGCGGCGGCAAGAGAGCGGAGGAUCGGAGCUCUCCAACGGCCAGAAUGUUGUGGGUGGAAGCAGUAGCCUCUGCGGCGCGGCGCAGGCAGCCGAUACAAUGCCUCCCUCCUCGGCCGCCAGGAGACGACGAGUCGACGACGACGCCUCUGCGGCUCUGCCUGCCUGCAAGGUCAAAACCGUGUGGUUGUGGCGGGGAGUCGCGUCGCGCCUGCAGCUCGCCUUCACUGCGCUGCUGGCUUCUGCUGCCUGCACGUGAACCGCACCAGUGCCGUGCCGGGAGUCCGGGGCUGUAGGGAGAUGGCGCUGCGCUACCUGUGACUCUGCUUUUUAUUUUUUUAUUAAGCCUCGUCAUCAGCCGGACAUCCAUGGCGCGGCGCGUCAGAGUGGGCCGUCCCGUACUCUACUCAUCCAGUGGGCCCGGCCGGACAACGCGUCUUCGCUGCUCCACCCCAACUCCACAUUCAAAGCGGCGGCAGCACGGCGCCACCGGACGGGCACGGCCGCGGCCGCGAUCCGUCAUCCGUGCGCGGCCGGCACGCGCAUACCUGAGCUACGCAGCGGGAGGGGCAGGGCAGGCCGCCGCAUUCAUGGCCGCUGCGUCACCCGCCACCCUGCUGCCUGCCUCCGCUCACCACCCACCCAGCUGGGCUGCCAUGAUGACGGCGACGAGGAAGACGACGGCGGUGAGCUCUCACAGUCUCACCCGUUUCUCUCUGACUGCUCGUGCGGUCACGCCGGGCAUGCGUGCGGUUAGAUACGGGCUUUCUGUCAGCUAACCGCAUGGGGAUACGGAUGACGAUGGUUACCCGUGCAAUGCAGAGGCCAAAAUUCUCCUACACAAACCAAACCACCAGUCCACCACCAAUGUUUUCCCAGCAAAACGAGCUGGUUUUUUUUCCCCCGACCCUUUUUGUUUUGCCCCCUCCUAAACGUCCCCGUGAUGAUCAUACAGUAUUCAAUGGACGCAGCGGAUUCCCGCUCUAGGCUCCAGAGCAGCAUGGCCAAGCCUCGACUCGAAUGAAUGCCAACACGCCAUGCGACGAUGCUGGCAGCAUGGCCGCCGCCGCCGCCGCCGCCAACGCGCUCCCUCGAUCCAUCAGCUGCAGGCAGCUCGCCGCUCAUGGCCGCCCGCCGCCGCCGACUCGCUGCCCAUGCUCAUCAGCGUGGUCAGGUGCGGGAUCUCCUUGGGCACCGACGCCGUCAGCACCUGCACCCAGCCACACCGGCAUCAAUAAAAUCCCCGACGCCAACAACGGCAUUCACCACCGAUCACCACCCCCAACGCCCAACGUCGAACGAACACCGCGUGCUACAUACCUCGUGGCCGUCCUCGGUGACGAGGACCUCGUCCUCGAUGCGGAUCCCGAUGCCGCGGAACCUCCCCGGCGCGCGCUCGUUCAGGACCGGGGCCGGCGGGAUGUACACGCCGGGCUCGAUCGUUAUGACCUGCACAUGGACAACGAGAAAACACACACCAUCCCUGUUGUCAGCCAGUGCUGCUGCCGUGCUGGAGGGAGCUCCAAAGAUGAACGGACAAUGGAGUUAUUGGUGCCCCGGGGCCGCUGCCAUCCGGCAAUGGCAGCGAAGCACCUACGCGCGCUACACUUGGCGGCUCAGUUGGGUGACAACAGGGCAGGAGCAACUGCGGAGGGGUUAAGGUGAUACGCCAAAUAUGGAAAGGAAAGCACAGUGCUACAGCCUAAUAUCCUGAGACGCCAGUUGGAUCGCUAGCUGUACCAAAGAUUCAGGGCGAUACGCCAAGACCGAAGGGUGGAGGGUCCGGGGAAACUGAAGUAACUAGGGCAGGAUGUAGGAGGAGGAAGAGAGACGUAGCAUCGGCUACUUACCACGCCGGGCUCCAAGGGUUUGUCCUUGGGGAGCGUCACCGAGUCAUGAAUGUCCAUGCCUAACGAGUGACCUGGAAUCCGGGACACCAACACAGAUGGACAUGUUAGGCUCUGGUCUGUGGUCCCCCAGGGCUGGAGGCACCCCACCACCAUCUCUUGCAUUCAACACCAAAUCUAGAGAACAGAUGGACAGCGGGACGGACCUAUCGCGGUCGGGUUCAGGUAGUUGUAUUGGAUGGACUUCCCCUUCUCCAGGAUCCCCAGUUCUUGGAAUCCCUUUAUCAGCAUUUUUACCUGCAUCCCAGAGAUUUUGAGAUUAAGGAGGAUCUUCUGAAACUUUCAUGACAUUUAAUUUACGUAUUUUUGUGAAAAUGAAAAUAGAAAGAAAACCAGAAUGACACCAGAGACAUACCGAAUGAUUGUGUAUCUCGUUGAUGCUUGUGCCCGGUUUACAGAGCUUUAUGCACUCUUUAUUUGUCUCCAGUAUUAGGCUGUACAGCUCUUCCUGGAGUCAGUCAUGAUGAGGAUUCAAACUAUGAGCUCAAGUCUUCAAAAAUACCAAACUAGACCAACUGUUUCUGGAGUAUACUAGUAUUGCGUAUACAUAAAUAGGACAGUAAAAGUCGAGCACUUACCUGAGCAGGAGAAAAUCUGCCACAUGGUGGCCAUGUUCGAGUCAGAUCACUAAGGUAGCCAUGAUACUCACAGCCAACAUCCAUGAGCAGAAGAUCACCUGUUUUGAUCUGUCAAACAGCUGCGUUAUUGACUUCACAAGAAAAUAGCUCUGAGAUGUGGAAUGGUCCAACGAGUGACAAGAAAAGGUCCUCACUUUUCUAUCGUUUCUUGAGUAGUGUAUAACACUGCCAUUUGCUCCUCCACCAACUACAGGAUGGAACCUACACGGAAACAAAACACAAGGUAAAUCAUCUGAUACUAGCACCUUGCUCCAUCAACAAAGAAUAGUGAGUUCCUUGAUCCAAUUAUGAUCUCAUAUUGCAUACGCACAAGAACUUAAUUCAGCUAUCAAUUAACAAAUGAAUGGAUAGGAAGAAUACACGGCAGAAUACUUACGCCAUUCUUUGGGCACCUCUCAUUUUGCACUCAUAUUCAAUCUUAGCUGCCAGCUGGCUUUCCUCCCUGUGGGUCCUCGAUAGCAACAUCGUUUGUAAAAGAGACUGGUCAGGAAAAGAGAAUCAGUCAGUGCUCCAGAAAGAUUGAAGUUGUCGCACAUAUUCAAGUCAAUAGUUAAUACAGUAUUUAUGUAUCUCUAAGACAGUCACUUGAUCUUGUGUUUUAGCCUUUUGGGUUUGACAAUCUGUGUCCUGUAUCCUACCAUAUCCCUAAUAGAAACAGACGUACUGUAUUUUCAUUGAGUACUUGUUGGAGGCCCAACCAAUAGUAGCGAAAUGCAUUAUGUGGGGUGUCUGAAUGCACAAAUCUAUGUUAUGGAGCCAACCAGGAGGCAGGAAAAUAUGUGCAUGACAGCAUGGUACAGAUAAUCAUUAGGGAAAUAGUGUACCUUUGGGUUUAUCAAACCAAAAAGGACUACAUAAUUUCAGCGGGCUUUGUUGGAAGCCCAAUCAAUAAUAGGGAGAUGAUCUAUGUGGGGCGACUGAGUGCACAAACCUGAGUUAUGGAGCCAGCCGGAAGGGAAAUAUCAAAUAUGUGCAGGACAGCGUGGUACGAAUAGUGAUUAUGGAAACAAUGCACCUUUUGGGUUUACCAAACGAAAAAGGACUACACAUUCAUUCGUAACUACCUAAUUAGCUAAAGUACCUUGGGGGCCUGUCUAGUUCUCUACCAACAGUUUUUCCUGCAUCAACCCCGAUAGUUCACCUAUAGAAAUAAAAACCCAGUUUGAACCUUCCCAACCUGAAUGACUCUAGUUCUAAUAACUGUAUCAGAUGGAGGCAAAACUAAAAUUCUGAACUGUAAUAUCAAACACAUUUCAGCAAAUUCUCUAUGCAGGUUGAACUGAGAAUUUAAGACUGUUCCAAAAAUCAUGGGAUGCCAGUGGCAAUUUUAUUACCAAAAUAUACCUGAGAAACAAUAGAUGCCGAUUCCCUCAUCAACUUAAUUUCAGAUUUUGACUUGAUCCACCGUAAUUCAUCGGUGUAAUAUGUAAGAUCUUUUACUUUAUUGUUGAGGGACGCCCGGCGGAAGGCAUCCAAGUUCUUGUAAGAAGAUGAUGAUGUCUUUACAUUGUGAUAUACCCCUUUUGACUGCUCAAUCAUUUCAGGAAGGAUCUGUAUUUCAGUAGCAAUGGUGUUAGUGAUAGAAAAUUCAGUAAUUAACAACUAACAAAGUUGUACUAGCAGGAAAUAACAGGUAGUGAUCAAAAUUGACAACAAAUAAUGCUGGAAGAAAAUCUGAGUGCAGACCUUUUGCAUCUGACUAAGUGAAAAUGCUUUAUCCGCUUUAAAGAAUUCCACAGCUGCCUCAAUUCCAGCAGUUUGACCUUGCCAAACUACAUCCUAGCAGAAUUACACAUUAAUAAGAAUUACGUGGCAUACUUCGAAAAGGUAUCAGAAUAAGAGCUCAUUACCUCCUUAUUUGUAUCAGGCAUGAACAUGCAUAGUCCGGUUUCUUCACUCAAAACUGCUACGCCACCAGGUUGUGUACAACCAGUAAUGUACAGGUAAUCACCAUUCUGUCUGAAUGGAUAGGGCACUACAUCAGUCAUCAUCUGCUGAUCAGCAGAGGCAAUAAUGGCCAAGCUCUUUUCCGGCAGCACCUCCAAAAGCUUUUUUCUUCUAGAGAUGUACUCCUCAGUUGUGAUGCCUGGUGUGAUCUCUCCAUCAGCUAAUAACUGGCUCAUAGUGACACAAUGUUUAAGAAACAAAUAUAAAACCAAGUGGUUUAAGAAACAAAAUAAUAGGAUGGUGAUUAGCAAGAUUGGUACAGAAGCAUAUUUCACUGGGCAUGAAUGUUACACAUGUGGGCAUAUUCGGCAUACACCUGUUGUGGAUCAGAUUAUUGCUCUUGUAACUUAUAUAAGGUGGAUUAGCCAACACUCUUGUAGUGUAGUGGUAAGCUCCCCAGUUCAAAUCCUGGUGGCAGCAAAAAAAAACUCCCCAUGGUUCAAAUCCUGGCGGCAGCAAAAAAAACUCCUCGCUGGCAACCCAAAAAAUAGUGGCAAGGCGCCGGCCUAUGGCACCUAUGGUUGGUUUGGGCCCUCCUACCAGGGGUAGUUGCAGUGGUCACCAACCUAAUUGGUCGUGGUCAGCCCAGGUUACGGUGCGGCCCUAUAGGGUGAAGCCGGGGUUCGGGGGUUUUCUCGGCCGGAUUGGCUAAGAUCCGUGUUCCACCAGGCAAAAUUCCGCGGCCGCCUAAGCGCGCUUAUGUGCCGCGCGGCGGGGUACCGCAGCGCCUAGGGGGUAGGUGGUCCCCUAGGCGGCCCGUGGUGGCGGCGGAGGCUAGGACGACGGCGGCAAGGUCAGGGACGGGCGGCGGCGGAGGAGGCAGGGACGGGUGGCGGCGGCGGAGGAGGCAGGGGCGGCCGCUGGUGCGCGGAGGAGGAGGAGGAGGCAAGGGACGGAGACCCGCAGCGGCGGCGGUUGGGAUGGCAGGGGCGAUGCAGGGGCUGUGGUCUCGCGAGUGGCUAAGAGGAGAGGUUGAGAGGAUAAGGUGGGAGGAGGGAGGGAAUAGGGAAAAGGUGGGACUGUUGUGGAGAAAGGUGGUUGGUCUGGUGGGAUCGGCUUCGGCAAUGAGGACCUUGGGGGCCCUUUUUCGAAGUCAGGAGGACUCCGGUCGUGCUUGGUGUUCCUCAUGGGUCGGCGGUUCGUGGUCGUCGUUCUGGUGAUACUUGCCACCCUGGAACUAUACUUGCGUUGCCUCCUCCGUGUCAGCCUGAAGGUGGACGAGCUGCAUCAUCUACCCAACCGUCUUGGGGGCAGCCUCAUACAACUUGCAGAACAUGUUGCGGUUCAUCAGGCUAGAACGGAAGUACCAGAUGAUGUCGCGGUCCUCGACGCCGACCAACCUGUUGCGGUUCUUGAAGAAGUGGUUCACGUACUCUCGGAGAGUUUCGUUCUUCCACUGGCAGACUUGCCCAAGAUUCUUCGUGUUUCCAGUUCAGCUGUAGGUAGCCUGGUAGUUCUGGGUAAAAGCCCUAGCGAGCUGACCCCAGGUGUCGAUGCUGCUUGGCGGGAGGUUCUCUAGCCACAGGAGAGGGGCGGGACCCAUCACCACCGAGAAAUAAGCGACCAUCUGGUCGUAGGUGCCGUUGGCGGCUUUCACCGUGGUGCUGUACGUUUUGAGCCAUAUAGUAGGCUCGGAGCAACCGUCGUACUUUUCGUUGAUAGCCAGCUUGAAUGUGGCAGGCCACUCAACGGCCCUGAGGCGGGAAGUGAAAGUGACGAAACCAUCGAUCGCCGUGUCGUCGUCGUCCUCGAGGUUGUAUUCGACGGGUGGUGCCCUAGGGCGUCCACCGUUGUUGCGCCUAGGUGGGACGUAGGCGUCUUCAUGGGCGUCGUACAUGCGGUCGUAGUCGGCACAGCGAUGCAUCUCCUCUUCUUGGGGUCGACAGUCCUCUCGUUCUGCGUGGUUUAGCCUACCGUCGAGUCCAGGAGCACCAUAGUCGUGGUCGUACUCAUCGCGGCGGCGGAGCUUGGCUUCUUCCCGCUCUUGGUGGUGGUUGUUGAGGUCGGGCGUAGGUCGCGGCAGUCGCGUAGCUGUUCGCGGAGGUCAUGUUGCCGACCUUGUCCGCCACGGUUCUCGCCAUCGCUUCUCCUGCCACAGCAGCGGUUGUCGUGGUUGUCGAGUUGACGGGCGUUGUUGGCGGGUGGGUUGGUAGGUUGCUCCACCUCUUCACGGACGAGCUCCAGCCGACCUCCGCGCGGUUACCGUGGUCGCCUUGGUAGUGACCGAAUCUGCUAUGAGCGGAUCGGCUUCGAGAGUGCCGGUGGACCAGGAGUCUUGACCAGCUCUGGGCCCACUCUUUGAUCUGGGUGUUGGCGACGCGGAUACGUGCCUGGAUCUGCCGGAGUGGCUCCGAGUCUGGAAAGUUUUCCAGAUCGGCGAAGGCAACUCCCAGGUUAGCCUAGGGUGUGGUGAAGACGUUGUGGCCGGCCUCCUCGAGGCCGGCUUGUAGAUUGCGGGCGCGCAUAGGGCGCCUACGUUUGCCCCGAGCACCAUCCUGAUCGGCAUUGUCACCAUCAUUGGCGCGCGGUGGUUCGGCGUUGGCAGCGGGCGGUGGUUGGCGCUGGUCGCCUGCUGCCUCGGCUCCCAUGAUAGCAUCAGGUUGUUGAUGUUGCUGGGCAUCGGCUUGCUCCCAUUGGCGCCGUACUGCACGGUCCUGGUUCUUGGCGUUGCGACCUUCUUCCUGAGAAGAGGUUUCGCCAUCCACGGGUGGAUCGUUAGCGGAGACCACAAAGGCUUCGUGAUCUGGCGUGGUGGAGUUGCUCUCGACGUCGUUUCCAUAAGGGUUCGGAGUCAGAAACGAUGUAGGGGAUCUGAUACUAGCCACAGUCCGAAAACUGGGCGGGUCCGGUUGGGUCUUCAGAUUGGAUCUGAAGAGACUACGCGAGUUUCACGAAAAACACGGCAGCCGAGUUCCUCAGGCCAAAGGGGGCGCGGGAAGGACCCUGCGCCGACCUUGUUGGGCGUAGCGCCGUCUCAGAGAGGUUGAUGCACUCAGCAAUGGUGUUACUGAUGCGAUCUAGCCUCGCAAUCAAGUCGGAGGGCGUGGGUGGGCGAGUUGCAGCAAGGAUGAUGGGAAUCCUCUCGGAGGGAGAGGUCGCCGAUCUGCUAGGCGAGCAGCACGAAGGUCUUCAGGUGGAGGUCUUGCUCUGCUGGCGCAGGUCCAACGGACGCCGAGCCGUCGAAGAGAGCGGAUCGGGAUCCGCCGGCAUGGUCCCGAAGUGAAGCUGGAUCGGGUUGGCGAGGGUGUACUUCAUGCUCUCGGGGAAGAUGACGCCGGGGUGAGAUGCCAUUAAGCUCACUAGGGAGGAUCUAACAAUCUCCCCUACCUGGCGCGCCAACUGUCGGAUCUAGUGACCGGCAGUCCACUGGGAGGUUACCCAAGUGGUAGAUUUGUAGGCAGGGAGGAUUGUGAGACCAAGAACUCGAAGGUACUCACGAGAACACGAAGGUUUAGAUAGGUUUGGGCCUCCGGAGAGUAAUACCCUAUGUCCUAUGUUUUGUUGGAUUGUAUUUCUGGUCGGUUGUUACAUGGAAAGCAACCCAAGUCGGAUUACUACAAGUAUCCCACAAUAUUCGGGCCGUUUCGAAUUGCCCGGUCUCCCGCACGUUCUGGUCGAGCGGGCCCACUUGCUAGGGCCGACCAUUAUCCUGGUCGGUGGGGACCCAUGGGGUACCCAUAUCCCUCACUCGGGUUGGGCUGUUUUGAUGGGCCUUCAGUUCGAUUUUAGGCCCACUAGUCUUCUAUUUUUCUUUUUUUUUAAGGAUAUGUAUAUAUGUGGCAAGGUAUAUGCGUAUGUACAACACCGCCUAGGAGACCGCCUUGAAACGCCUAGGCACGCCUAGGCUCUAGGCGGUGGGUCACCGCCUAGAGAGCGCCUAGCGCCUUUUGCAACCUUGGCUAAGAUUUCUUCUUAGUUCAAUGCCGCGGGGGCGGUCUUUCCCCCGCCGAUCGAGUUUUUUCUUAUAAGGUGGAUUAAUUAAUUUAUUUGAUAAUAAUAAAGUGCUUUGUGUAGAUCCACAUAAUACAAGAUAAAACUGUAAGCAAUGGAUGCCACAACAAGAGGAUACAAAACAAACUUGUUAAGCUUGAAAAUGAAAUGAUACUGGGUCUUAGCUAUAGAUACUAAUACAGAACAAGAGGAACAUAAGAUGGUAAGAUCUUAUUUUGAGUGUCACAAAAGAUGGUAAUGUUACUAUGUUAGAGAAGAGAUGCAUAUGUUUCCAGGGUGGUCCUGCAGGAUCUCUCACAAAGAAAUUCAAGUUUUCAUAACAAGAUGGGAAAGUAUCACACGAACUGAGUUAAUAGGCAACAUGUUACAGCACUCCGAAAACAGAUACGUGCAAAACACAAUGUGACUUUUUAGCAUGUCUAGAGUCUAAGGCACUGGACCUGUCUUUUUUUUUUCUCUAACACACAGUAUCAUUAUAUUAAGAAGGAAAAGAGUAACAAUAAUACAACCUCCAGUGGGGUAAAGAUAAUACAAGAUGACACUGGGCCUGUCUGGAUGUCAUUGUUUCAAAAAAAAAUCAUGUUAUCAAGAAACCGAAAUUUUAGAAACAAGAGGCGUGCAAAACCAUGGUUUAGGAAAAAAGAGGUUCUGAGUUGUACCAAUAUUUAUGGUGUUCAAAACUAUAAAAUUUCUUGUAUCCAAACACCUUGUAGGUUUCCAAAACCAAAGUAUUCUGUAAAACUGUAGUAUAUUUCUCUAAAACUCUGAAAAUCCUUUGUCUCCAACAGGGCCAAGUGUCAGAUGCCUGUAAAAUUUGGAACCACAUCAAGUAAUGGGAAUAGCAGUACCUCAGGGUGUGUCUGGGGCGUUGGUUGGCCAACAUCGACUAUUCCUCCAGAAGUGUAUGCAGCUCGCUGUACCAAACCAUGAGAAGCAGAUAGGAAUCGAGAUGCUACCUGGGUGCAACAUUGCAAGACAGAGAUGGAUCAGUACACUGGUAAACAGCGGUAAAAGAGAAACACUGCUUUUUGUGAGGCACUGAGUCCACAUUUCGCAACAAUUUAGGAGAAAAGACAUAGGUCAGCCUGUGAAAAGAAUUUGCCCCUUCUCUCAUCAUGAAAGGGAAGCUUGGCCACUUCGACUAACCAACCAAUUACAAUAAAAUUACACUACGCUCGUAUCGCUGCAGCGGCACUGUGAUUCAGUUGGCAAUCAGGAAAUACAAACAUAGCCGUGAAAGAAAACAAGCUACAUGUUCCUAUGUCCAAAGAAAAUGAGACACAUGCAAUCCACACAGUUCCGGCCCAAAUUAACCAAGAGCGCCAUCUAAUCUUGAAAUGAGCUCUACUGGCACAUGGAGGAAUUUUUCCUCGACAACCAAUCCAACUAGGCCAUCCAAGACUAUCUCACCUACAGGCUAAUACGACAUGUGCCCUCCAUUCCAAGCCUGACCAAUGUUUCUACGAUCCAGAAUAAAAUUCAACAAAACUCCAGACUCCAAGAUGCUACCUGAAGCUACUCGCGCCCAAUCCAAUUCCCAGAGCCCAGAAAUACUUCAUACUUGAGCUUUUGUUCAUCGGAACCCGCAACAAGUCACACCCCAAGCAUCAGCAAUCCGGAGGAGCCACACGGAUUCGCCAAGAACACGGGCCCGGAGGAUCCGACGCCUAAGUUAGCAAAGCAGCGCGCGCAGAAUCCCACCCCCUCCUCUCCGAUUAAAAAAAAUGAAAAAACAGAGAAGGACGACAAGGGACGGAGGGUGGGGGCAAAUGGGAGAGGGGAGGGGGAGGGGGGGGGUGCUUCAGGCUUCAGCGAUCUGCUUACCUCGGUUGCUCGCAGCGUUCGCCGUAGCAGCCGCGCCGCCAUGGCCAUCGGCAGCAGCACAGCAGCCUCCCUAAAACCUUGCUUGACUUCGCUUUCGCUUCUCCUUCUCUAUCAAGCUGUCACCAAUCUUAAAGCACCUCUAUUAGGCCAGGUCGCUAUGCGUGCUGAGCUCUCGAGUCCCGACUCCCGAGAGAUGGAUGGGAUGGGAGAAUUCCGAGCAGGCGGGGCCGCCGGCGUGGGGCGAGGCUGGCUGGCGGCGGCCGGCGCGGGAGCAGGGGCGGGGGCAAGCAGCGAGCGCGGAGGUGGAGCCGGCGGGCGCUGCGGGCGGCGGCGGCGAAAGUGACAGGAGUAGAGAGAGAUGGUAUGGGAAUGGGAGGAUUAAACAAACACUGACAUGCGGGCCCUACAUUAAUGUUGAAAAAUUGUGAUAUACUAGCAAAGACUGUUGCGCAGGAAAGCGCUAUGAUUUUGAUAAGAAGUUUUGGAAUUAAAAUUACAUAAUACUAAAAUAUGAUGUCAAGACAUUCUGAUGCCGAAGCGCCAGUAGUCCUCUCAGAAAGUAAGAAUCCCAAUUUGUUUUGCACAAUCAGAUUCAAAACACAAAUUACCAGCAAACACGGUGGAUGCCAUUCAGAACGCAACUUUGCGUACACCAACAACUCACAACAUAAUACAAAUUACUUGAAACCAUGUCAUAGGAAACCGGAAAGAAAAUCCUUUAUCCGAUCGAUGUAGGGCGACCGGGUAGGGAUUAUGUGGCCCAUAUCAUGCUCAACAAUGGAGCAGCAAUCCUGCUGAAAUUGAUCAGCAAGUUCACAGCUCGCCCUGUUCGCUAUCUGCCGAUCAUGGCCUUCGCCAUUGCCAAAACAAUGCAGCGAGGGGAGCUUGAUUAGUUCGGCAUCAAAAUCACCCACUGGUGCUGGAUACCCAGAGCAGAACAUCCCAAACCUGAACUUCGGAGCACCGGAGGUCUCUUGCUGCUUCCUGCAGAACAAGGCAGCCAUGGCAGCGCCCUGAGAGAAGCCAAGGAUUCCGUCGAAGCACCCCAUCUGAGAGAUUGUGUUUUCUAGGUAGGCGUAUGAUUCCUCAAAGCCUUCGGUUUGUUGCUGGUACUGAAGUGGGUCGAAUGGCGCAUCUGCAACCUUCCAGUCUUGCUCGGUGCUGCAGCUGGAGUUUGGAGCGAUGAGCCAUGCGAAUUUCCGUUUUGGUGUCUCAGGCGGAGGUGAGGGUUUGUCAGAGCAGUGGCUCUGGAUUGGUUGGUAUACAAAAGGAAGCUCAUGAGGAGCGUCUAUGAAGACAAGCUCAGCAAUGUGCUUCAGCUUCUUGGCAAGUGCUGACAUUCUUCCCUUAAAAUUGGAUGCGUUCUGCCGGAAACCAUGCAAGCAGAGGAUCCUCAGCUUUUUCAGCUGCUCGCUACCUGUAACAUUUCACCUAAGUUAGAGAAAGGUCAACCCUAAGAAAUACAAGUAGUGAAGCUAAUUUACGCAACUGCAUGUUAUACUAGUUCAGACUGAAUGCACUAGAGAACGUCAGAAUAAACAGAUGAUUCAGAGGAACAAAAAUGCAUAUGGACUAAAACUCUUCAGAAUUAGGGGCAUUGUGUAAUAAAGUUAAUAUUGAUAUUACGGCUACCCAACCUACUACCAUUUAUCUAUAUUGUUCAAGCCUAGCCCAAUGCAUUUGUUCUGUACUUCUGUCCAUAGCAUAGGACCUAUGUGCAUAUUGAUAAGAACAUAAAUAUAUUAUCUAUCGUCCAGAAAGUGCAGUGGAAAACUGAUACAGACCUUACCAUUACACCAGGGGACUUUGGAGGUCAGAAUGUGAUUGCUUAUGGAUGGCUUUUCAAAACCAGAAGGUUCAGAUAGCCCUGUCUGUAUCUCACAGUCUUGCCUUGUUGAUAUUUGGCAGGGUUCCUUUCCAUUCUUUUGACACAGCUCGCAUACAUACUCCUUAGUGGAAUCCUAGAGAUUAAAAAAGAGAAGUUAGGCGAUUAUACAAUUGAGCAUAAAAUUAAUGUGACAAUCAGCAAACAUUCAUAAAAAAAAUGCAUUAAAAAAUAUUGCAUUUGACUCAACCUGACAUGUAGGGCACACUAAGACCAACAUUCUACAGUUGCUGCAACGACACCGGGAUGAAUAGUCAUCAUAGGAAGAACCACAUAUCAAACACGUUCCAAGUAUGUUCUCUUUCAGGCUUCCCACUGAGAUUCUGUAAAACAACAUUCCACAAGCUAGUGGUAAGGAAACUAAGGAAAUCCAGAAGGGCACAGUUUGGAGCUUUGUUGCAUUAGACAACUACCAACCUGUGGUCAAAUACAAAAUUCUUUCCUUCAAAAUAGCCACCGUCUGGAAAUUGCUCCAGAUACCGCUGGAUGCCACCAUAUAGCUAACAUAAACAUAAUAAUAAACAGUCAAGAACAAUACAAACUACUCAAGCACGCCCAAGAACUCAAGACUAAAGACAAACCAAACAAAGUCUAGCAUAUUACCUGAAAAACGUUCUCAAAUCCUUCACCUUUUGAGCGAAUAUAAGCUGAUGCCAUCUCACAUCGUAUACCUCCAGUGCAGUACCUGUAAAUACCAAUAAGAUAGUUAAGCUGCCUGCUUGGUGUUGCCAAAUGCAUCAGUCUAAUUCAAGGUUAAUUCAAAGAUCCAGCCAAACAUACAUCAGAAUUGACUUCCCACGCAACUUCUCAGUAUGCUCAUCUAUCCAUGAAGGCAGGUCACUGUAUUGCCUGAUUUCUGGAUCUAAAGUCUCCACAUUUGGUACAUUGAACUUGCCAAUCCGCGUCUCAUACACAUUCCUCGCGUCCACGACAACCACUUCAUUCUUCUCUGCAGAUGCCACUGCAUCCGAACUAGUCCCAGCUAAAAGAACAAUCCCAACUUAGCAAUUACAAUCCAUUCUUAAACCAGGAAUUGGCAACCCAAACUGAAAUGGACAAGUCUCAAUCUGAGAAUCCACUCACCAACAUUUUGGAGCACUGAAUGGAACUCAGCGGCUGACAAGUGUUUCCCUGCACCCAAAAUCUCCGGGGGUGCCGAGGUGGGAUUGGAGCACAGGGUAACCAGCUCCUGCCAACCAAUGCAGCAACAACAGUUCAAAAGUGACGAAUGGCUCUACAAAAUAGUAAAAGGUGAAACCAUUCUGCUGGAAGGAGAGACAAGAACCUUGACAACCCUGACGGAGAGAGAGGUGAAGCCGCAUUCCCUGGCGACCCUCUCGUCAACGGGGUCCUCGCAGGACGCCAGCUUGAAGUCGGUGCCGUCGAACAAGGCUUUGGAGCUCAUCUCGGCGAUGUGCUUCUCUAGCGCCGUCAUUCGCCCUCCGAGCUAGCAAUACCAAAAUGCGAAAGCCGGUGAGGUCACCAUGAAUGAAUUCAUGAACGCUACAAAAUCCAAAAAGCUCGAAAUCUCUGCCCCAAAGGCCGCCUACGAUGGAGAGAAGAGAGAGAAGCGGGGGGAUGUUGUCACCGUGGCGUUGACGCCGUCGGGGCCGACGCGGACGCGGCCGACGAGCGAGAGGCUGCGGCAGUGCGUUUCGUAGAACGCGGCGAGCGCGGCGGCGUCGGGCACCUCGGCGUACUUGUAGUAGAGAAGCACGCCGUAGCGGUCUCCGCCGCCAUCUCCUGUAUGCUGCUCCUGCUGCCGCGUCGCGUCCAUAGCCGAAAACCCUAGCGGCGGCGACGGCGGCGGCGGAGCGAAGAGGAAGAAACGGAGACGACGACGUGGUGGUGGUGUGAAUGGACUGGUAGGGCCUCCAGCUGUCUUAAAACGGUAUGGGCCGGCCCAGUAUGCAUAUGUGAACCGCGCAAUAGGCCCAAAUGCCAGCCUGUCUACCGGAGGGCCCAAACAUUAGCUCGGCCCACGAAGCACCUUAUCCUUCCCCUCCUCGCCCCAUUUCGCUCCGCGUCCCCACCCCCAAAACCCCCGGCAAGAACCUUGCUCGGCGACAUCUCCGGCCAACUACCCAUGGAGGCCACCGCCGCGCCGCGGGCGCUGUCCCUCCUUGCGCCGUCUCCGCCGCUGACGCUGCGGAUGAACUGUUGGCGCGUCGCCGUUGGAAGUGUGAGGCGGCGGGGGGCCGUGGCAGUCAGGGCGAAGAAGAAGAGGGGGAGGGGUGGGGAUGGGGAGGCGGAGGAGCGGGUGGACACGCACAGCUUCGCGCCCAAGGCCGGCGAGGCCUCCGGGCUGUUUCCCGAGGCCGUCCUGCUUAGAAAGGUUCGAUUUUUUUUCACGCCCUGCUUCUAGUAUUUUGAUACACGGGGCGACGAGGAGGAACAUGGUCUGGUUCCUUUCGGGUUUCUGAUUCUAAAUACUUAGAUGAAUUCCGUGAUUUUGUUUAUUUACGGUUAAUCGGGCAAAUAAUUGGAGUGAAGAGGCGCUAGUGAUUCGCAUUUUAGUGAUUGAGUCUAGUCUUCUAUGCUUGCGUUUGUGUGAGGCUCUAGUAUCAAAGACACAGCCAUUUGCCUAUGUACCUCCUUCGUCCCAAAUUACUAUUCGUUUUGGAUUUUCUAAAUACAUAUUGCUAUGUAUCUAGACAUAGUAUAUAUCUAGAUGAAAAAGCCAAAACGAAUAGUAAUUUGGGACCAAGGGAGUAGCUGACAUUCGUGGAAGUAACUGCUAGCAGUAGAACUUAAGCAGAUAAGUGUAAACUCUAGUGUGCAAGACAGAUCCACUUGCCUAUAUAACUGUUAUUAGUGGAAAGAACUGCUGGCAGUAGAACUUAUGCGGAUAAGUGUAAACUACUAGAGGAAAUACAAAAAUAUAAUGAUGCAGUUUUCACGAGGUCUUUGCUACCAAAAGAGCUUGGGCUAACAGGUAAAAACUUUUGGAUGCCAUUUGUGGAAGAAACAGGAGAUACUCUUAAUAUUUGGAUGGGGGAAUGCUUGAAGCUAUAUGGAAGGCUUUAUAGCUAUGUGUUAAUUACUUGUUUUUGUUGUUUUGUUUUGCAGAAAAUGGCGAGAGAGGAUGGUCAAGUGGCGCCAGAAUUUGCUGAUGCAGAAGAAGGUGAUAUUGGAUUUUUAUGCCAUAAAGUUUCUUUUUCUAUUAGAUGUUCAUUUUGGUAUCCUAAAAUUCACUUUUGUAGUUUAUGUAAAUAUUUGAUCAUUCUAAUCCAAUUUCUUUUUUGCAGAAAAGCUAUAUGAAUUUCUUAACAUUCAGCUUGAGAGUGAUUUAAAUCUAAAAAGAAGUAAGAGAUCUUUCCAUUUCUCUUUUUUCCAGCCAUUUUUUACAGUUUGCGUGUGCUGGCAUUACUUGCUGGUCAUUUGCAUGUGGAUAUCUGAGUUCAACUUAAACUUCUUCCUUUCACAGUGCGGCACUACGAAGUAGUUUAUCUAAUUCAUGAGGAUCGUGUUGAAGAAGUUGAAGAUGUUGUAUCAAAAGUACAAGGUGCACCUCUUAGCACUCGUACAUCACUUGUGCAUCUGUAAAUCUUUUUGUAAGCAUGUUGGAGCCCUUUUUCUCUCUGAUUAUACUUAGGCCCUGUUUGGAUACUAGGGGCUAAAUUUUAGCCUCUGUCACAUCGGAUGUUUGGAUACUAAUUAAGAGUAUUAAAUAUAAGCUAAUUACAAAACUAAUUGCACAGAUGGAGGCUAAUUCGCGAGACGAAUCUAUUAAGCCUAAUUAGUCCAUGAUUUGAUAAUGUGGUGCUACAGUAACCAUUUGCUAAUGAUGGAUUAAUUAGGCUUAAUAGAUUCGUCUCACGAAUUAGCCUAGGGCUUCUGCAAUUAGUUUUAUAAUUAGCUCAUGUUUAGUUCUUCUAAUUAGCAUCCGAAUAUUCGAUGUGACAAGGGCUAAACUUUAGCUCGAGGAUCCAAACACGCCCUUACCUAAGAAUUAAUGUUAAUCGCCUAAAGGCAAACAAAAGUAUUUAUACAUGUUUCUAGCUGUAAGAGUUUGACGCCCUCUUGGGCAGCUUCCUGUGAAACUUGCUACGGUCUUUCUGAUUUGCUUUGGUGCCUUCGUUUUUUUUUCCCCAUCUCUACAUGCAAUCUCAAGGGUGGGCAGGAAAUCGUUGUUUCUCUAUUCCUCGUUAUUGUUUUUGGGUAUAUUCUUUCUGUUACAUUUGUUUCAAUCAGCCAAUGUGCCUAAACCUAUGUUUCUUAUGUUUUCUAGAGUAGUCCAAUAGUUGAUCGAUAUUACUACUGAAGAGUGGGCGUAUAACUAUUCUCUCUGCUCUCUUGUAGAUUUUGUCAGGGCGAAGAAAGGAAGGAUAUGGAGGCUUAACGAUUGGGGAUUGCGCAGGCUUGCUUAUAAAAUAAAGAAAGCAACACAUGCCAACUACAUCUUAAUGAACUUUGAGAUGGAGUCAAGAUACAUCAAUGACUUCAAGACCCUUCUAGACAAGGAUGAAAGGAUCAUUAGGCACCUUGUUAUGAAACGGGAUGAGGCGAUUACUGAAGACUGCCCUCCCCCACCAGAGUUCCACACUCUUCGGGCUCAGCAGUAUUUUGAUGAUGAAUAUGAAGAUGAGGAGGAGGAGGAGGGUUGGGAUGCCAGGAGUGAGCUAGAGUCUGCCGAUUAUGGUGAGGAUAAUGCUGAAACUGGCGAUGAACCUGAAAUUAUUUAUGUUGAUGAAGCUGACCAGGAUAAUUACGAAGACACUAGAAGAAGGAACAGGAAGCUGAAGGUGAAGAAGUAUACCGCAGAGAAGGUAUUGAGGUAGCAUUAGUGUAUGGCUUUCAAUUAGCUUAAGUCUAUUUUAGUUCUUAUACAAUGGACCACCUGAGUCUCUGUAUGAUGAGAAAACUUCACAUAGUGCCUUACCUGGUGCCAAGGACCAGUACUAUGAUAAUGAGAUAGGUGUAUGUGUUAUGACCAGUACAGCACUUGUAGAUGCCUCCUUUAGCGCACCUUUGUUUUUUGUGAGUAUCACUUUAAUACGCGAAGAAAACCAAAAGCUUAAUAAUGUAUUAUGAGUUCAAAAUACAGCCCCAUUAUGAGUACACACUGAGACCCUAACAGCUGCUUGCUUCAACCCUCCCAGAGGGAGUUGCGCAAAUCUUGUAGCAUUCCAAGGGGUAACUAGUCGGAAGCAACCCUUUGGUUUGUGCUUUAAGUUUGUGCAUCUCUCAAGUAGCGUGGAGUAUAGAAGCUCCUCCAAUUUGAUUAUCUGCAGAGUGUUUGGUAGGCGUCUCCUUUUUAUCUCGUGGUAAAAUUCCUGCAGGUCAUCACUUGCAAGUUUUGUAUUGACUGGGUAAUAGUCCGUGCGUUGCUACGGGCAGAAGAAAUAUAAAAAAAAAAUUAUUCUAAAAUAUUUUUUUACGAAUCACACAGUACAGAUGCAGAUGCUCGUAUACAUUCAUGCACACCUGCUCCUACGAACGCACGCACGCAACCCUACCCUUGUGAGCACCUCCGAAAGACUAAGCUGGGAAAUCCUCGAAAUUGACGAAGUCACCACUAGUGUCUUGUUGUCGACAGUCAUGUCGACUACCACUAGAAGAAUAGCGUCAAUUAAUUCUGGUGGGCAGGUUCCAAUAUGGUAACACGGUGGUUCUAAAAAUUUCUUGAAGAUAGUGAUUAGUCCAACUCAAUUUCGGUCCUGUUUGUAUCCGCUUAUUUCCCGCUUAUCGGUGGAAAUAAGCCAUAAGCCCACCCAAACGCUUUGAUUAUUUCCCGCUUGAUACGUAAGCCGCUUAGUGCACAAGCUGGGAAACAACUGGCAUCCGGCUUAUUGUGUAAGCGGGUCGGGAGACGCUUCUCCAAUAAGCGAAGGAAAUUUCCCCCCGCUGCCCCUCACCCACCGACGCUCCAGUCGUCCGCCCCGCGCCUCCCGCGACCGCCGCCGGCUCCCGUCGGUCGCCAGGUCCCGCUGCCGGGCUUGGCCCGCCGCCGUCGCUCGGUUCCUGUCCGCCGCCGCCGCUCCCGUGCCUCCCGCGAGUGCCGCCGGCUCCCGUCCGCCGCCCGAUCCCGUCCGCCACCAGAUCCCAUCGUCGGGUCCCGCCGCCUGCAGAUCCCGGCGCCGACGCUCGGUUCCCGUCCGCCGCCGCCGCCCCCGCGCCUCCCACGACCGCCACCGGCUCCCGUCCGCCGGGCUUGGCCCCUGGCGGCUUGGCCCCCGCCGCCGGCUCCCGUCCGCCAGGCUUGCCCCCGCCGCCCCCGCCGCCAGGCUUGGCCCCUGGCGGCUUGGCCCCCACCGCUGGGCUUGGCCGCCGCCGCCGGCCUUGGCCCCUGGAGGCUUGGCCCUCGCCGCCAGGCUUAGCCCCCGCCGCUGGGUUUAGCCCCAGCUAUUAUCAGCCUUAGGGGCAUUCAGGUCAAUUUACCAACCUGGACAGACAAUCGACACAAAAUAAUCAGGAUUGCCAAACACCCUGCUUAUUCAGACAGCAGAUUCUCCAGGCAGCAGGCUUAUCAAAUAAGCUUGCUUGCCAGAUAAGCGAGUUCCAGAAAAGCGUAUACAAGCAGGGCCUUCUUCUUCUCGAAAGAUACUAAUACGGUGGUUCCCAUUGCUUUCUUAUGAUGAAAGAUAAUUGAAUUUGGCGUAGUUGAGAAUAAACAAAAUACACACGAAAGUGUCGAUUCUACUAUACUUUAAAUAAUUAAUUCCUAAAUAAACAGGAACACCACCACUUCGCGGCCCCUGCCCGGGUCACCUUUGUAUUCAGCACAUUGAAAGACUCCAUAUAGGAAAAUCCCCUAUUAACAUUCAUACAGGAAAACCAAUACAACUCGAAAAAGGCAUGUUAAUUGCAGUAGCCAUUUCAACACUUUAACAACAGCAAUUAACCAGAUGCAACGAAGAAAGAUAGGAUCAGCUCAUUAAAAGACCCCAUUGAUGAUGAUACUUUUCAAUCAGAUUACAGGUGAAGUAAUGGGUCUGCCAUGGUUUCUGAGCGGUCGCCUCACCUUCCCUUGCUGGCGCUGGCAACGAGGUCUUGCCAGGCCGGGCGAGUCGAUUUGCCUCUCCUGCGCGAGCAAGCUAGUAAUUGCUUGCACAAAUAUCGAAAAAAUCUCGUUGCACUUCAGCAAGGGAUCCAAAGCCUUGUUUAGUUCCCAAUUUGGGAGCGGCAAAAUUAGCAUUUUGCCAUAAAUACGUAACUGUAGCGUUUCGUUUGUAUUUGUGAAUUAUUGUCCAAAUAUUGACUAAUUAGGCUUAAAAGAUUCAUCUCGUAAAGUACAACAAAACUGUGCAAUUAGUUUUUGAUUUCGUCUACAUUUAGUACUCCAUGCAUGUACCACAAGUUUAAUGUGAUGGGGAAUCUUCUUUUUGCAUAGUGUCAAAGUUGGAAGUUUGAAGGUGUUUGGUACCGGGGACGGGACGGGACGGGGCGGGACGGUCCCAAAUUUGAUAGUGUUUGGUUCGGAGUCACGAGGGACGGGACGGUCCACAAAUGGGAAUAUGCUCCCAAGAUGCGGGAUGACCCCGUCCGGCCAAAACGAGCGGACAGAGUCAUCCCACUUCGGGCGCCGUCUGCUCCGUCCUUCUCCGUUCGCAAGACUGGCGCGGGGCUGCUUCGUCUCCGGCAGGACGGGGUCCUCCAGUGGCGCGGCCGGUGCCCAGGGUCGGCGGCCGGCAGGGACCUCCGACGGCGUGGCCUGGGACGAGCGGCCGCCGGAGCAAGCGGGUCCAGCCGGCGGGGCGAGCACCCCGGCGCCGCGGCCGGUGCCCACGGCCAGCAGGCCCCUCCGGCGGCGCAUCCUGGGGCGAGCGGGUACCUCCGGCGGCGCGGCCUGGGGCGAGCGGGGGCGGCGCGGUUGGGACCUCCGGCGGGGGCGAGCGGGGGCGGCGCGGCCGGGGCGACAGGGACCUCCGGCGGGGGCGAGCGGGGGCGGCGCGGAGCUCCGGCGGGCGAGCAGGGGCCGUGCAGCCUGGGCCUUCGGGAGCUCUAGCGGGUUGGAGAAGAUAAGGAUGAGGAGAAAAAAAAAAAGAAAAGAAGAUGACAUGUGGGCCCAUAUAUGACAUGUGGGUCCCACUAAACACAUGUAGCUAACGGUGUUACCCGAGCCAUCCGUCCCUCGUUUUCAAUCCAUCGUACCAAACAAAAAACUGGGAUGAAUUCAUCCCUCUCAACCAAACAUAAGACGGGAUGAUCCCAUCCCAAAAAAUAGGAACGGCACCGUCCCAUCCCUUCUUGUCUCCAAACCAAACGCACCCUAAACAUGGCCCAAGCGCACCCAAUAUCUCUUACCAUUUACCCAUUGUAUAAUAAUAAUUGUUAUUAUUCUAACAAAGAGAGGAAUUUUAACAACCUGCUAAGCAAAACAAAACUAUGAUUGCACAAAAAAGGGAAAUACUCGUACAGAAAUGGGUCAAUAAUAUGAAGUGCUAAAAAGGCACUUGAGGCAGAACCACUGAAUAAAAUGUGGGGAACAUUGAAGUAAAAAGAAUAGCUUCGUUAUCCCAGCCUUGGAAUUCCAAAAACUAUACAUGUUCUGACUUCUGAGAACCAAUUAGUUAGGUGGGUGUGCAUUGCUUUCACAUAAAAGGAAAAAUGUAAAUUUGACCAAAGUAAUCUCAUUUUGGUAGCGUCCAUGUAUCACUUUGAGCAAAAGGUAGGUUCAGCAAUCAAAUCUAACAGCCUAAGUAAUCCUACAUCUUAGUUGUGCCAACUAUGUUCCACAAGGCCUAAGACCAUAUAACCCUUUACUCUUGAAGAAAGGUUGAAAGCAAAGACUAAUUCGAACCAACUUAAAUGGAUAGUCUGACAGAACCCCCAAUGUAUAUGCAAGGGAACAUACAUGUCUCAAAUAACCACUCCCCUUCUAGCCCAAUCAUUAAACUAAACCUUGACUUGGUAGAGUUUCGGCAAAACGCUAAGGGUCUCUCCUCCCUUGUACAUGCACCGGCGGUGUAACAUCCAAGUCUUAAAAAAAAUAAAAGAAGGUCAUUAAGAAGGUUAAUGUGAAAUUUGGGCUUAAAAAAGAUAUCAACUGAGCCAUGGUCAAAUUUAGUAAAAAAUUCAAAUAAAAGAUUCAAAUUUGGAAAGAAAAAUGGAGAAAGAGGUUUGAAGGUGUUUGACAUGGUGGAAUUAAAUUUGGGUCUGUUAGAGAUAAUUAAGAAAGCUAUUGUAAACCGAGUACCAGAUUGUGGACUUGGUUAGAAUAGGAGAUAGAGAUCAGGAGUUGGAGAUAUAGUCUGGUUGUUUAGAUUAACUAGAGUUCAAAUGAUGUAUCCAAUAGGAUUGCGACAGGACUUAAUCUCCAACUACUCAGCAGUUGUAAUCUCCUAGGGCUGUUCUGUUUCGCCCUAUAUAUUAAUAGGAAAGUGGCAAUGCCAAAUAGGCAACCACGUUCUCCCAAUUUUACAUGGUAAUUAGACCAUCUUCUUCCAAAUACAUCUACUGCCUCAACCACCCAUGGCGUCGUUGUCAAUAGCAAGCUCGGCGUCCCUGGGUCAUCCCGUCUCGGAGAAGCUCACCCACGACAACUUCUUGCUAUGGAGGGCACAGAUCCUUCCUCCCGUCCGCGAUGCCCAGUUCAUGGGCAUCCUCGACAGCUCUACUCCGGCACCCAUAAAGACACUUGAAGUGGAGCAGGAUGGCAAGAAAAUUGUUGUCUUCAAUCCGGAGUAUGAUGCGUGGCUGGCGAAAGAUCAGCAGCUAUUGGGCCAUCUGCUCAACUCUAUGACCAAUGAUAUCCUGGUCCAUGUAAUCUCCCUUGAAUCCUCUGCAGAAGUCUGGAGUGAACUUGGGAGGUUAUUCGCUGCAAAUUCCAAGGUGAGGAUCUCCAAUCUGCGUAUGCAGCUCGCCAACCUCAAGAAAGGUAACAUGACCACGGCAGCCUACUUCAACAAGAUGACAAGCAUCAGGGAUGAACUUGCUUCUGUGGGUAAGGCCGUCGAUGAUGAGGAGAUGGUACAGUUCAUUAUAAACGGCCUCGACUUUGAUUACAAUCCAAUUGUAUCCUCUAUUCUUAGCCGUGCUGACCCCACAUCGCUCAGUGAUCUAUACUCUCAACUUGUGGCAUAUGAUAUGCGCUUUGAGAUGUAUCAGGAAAGUCAAGGAGGAGGAGCGCACUUUCAGUCCUCUGCCAACAUGGCAGGACGUGGGCGCAAUAAUUCUCGUGGUCGCAUGAGAAACAGUCAUGGUGGACGCAGUCGUGGCCGCGGCAAUCCAUCUCGCAGCAGCAACAAUUCAAGCUCCUCGUACAGGCAGCAAGGGCAAGGCGGGCCAACCACAAAACCAAUCUGCCAAAUCUGCAAGAAGGGCGGGCAUGAGGCUCCGUCCUGCUGGUACCGCUAUGAUGAAGAUGAAGAUCAGCAAAACAACAAGACAGCAGGGGUAGCCACCACAGGAUACGGCAUCGACACAAAUUGGUAUGUGGACAGUGGAGCAACUGACCACAUCACCAGCGAGCUAGACAAGAUGACCAUACGAGAUCGCUACAACGGGCGAGAACAAGUGCAAACAGCUAAUGGUGCAGGUAUGCAAAUUAAAAACAUUGGGCUCACUACCUUAUAUACCCCUGCUAGGAAUUUACAUCUUGAUAAUAUUCUCCAUGUACCAACUGCUCAUAAAAAUCUUGUCUCUGUUCAUCGCCUAACUUCCGAUAAUAACACCUUCCUUAAAUUCCAUCCCAAUUAUUUUCUCAUCAAGGAUCAGGAAACAAAACAAGUGCUCCAUCAAGGUAGAUGCAAAGGUGGCUUGUAUCCGCUCAUGUCAAAGCAAGAAGAGGCGGAUUCAAGAAAGCAUGCUUAUAGAAUCAAUAAGCCGUCGUCCACCACAUGGCAUAGUCGUCUAAGACAUCCAUCUUUUCUUAUAGUAGAUCGUGUGCUUAGAGAUAAUAAUCUUCCUUUCAUUAGUGAUAAAAGUAAUGAAACCGUGUGUGAUUCCUGUCAGAAGGCUAAAAGUCAUCAGCUUCCUUAUAUUGUUUCCAACACCAUAUCCAAUGCGCCACUCACUUUAAUCUUCUCUGAUGUUUGGGGUCCGACCCCUACUUCCGUUGGACGAAAUUCCUACUAUGUCAGUUUCAUUGACGACUUUAGCAAAUACACAUGGAUAUAUCUACUGAAAAUACAGUCAGAUGUGUUCCAAAUUUUUCAUAACUUUCAGAAUCUUGUUGAAAGGAAAUUCGACAGGAAGAUUAUCUCUAUGCAAACAGAUUGGGGUGGAGAAUAUGAGAAGCUGAGCUCCUUCUUCACAAAAAUUGGUAUCUCGUAUCGUGUAUCCUGCCCUCAUGCUCAUCAACAGAACGGCUCCACCGAACGCAAACAUCGUCAUAUUGUUGAGGUCGGGUUAGCUCUUCUUGCUCAUGCUUCUAUGCCCUUAAAAUUCUGGGAUGAAGCCUUCUUGAUCGCUACAUAUUUGAUUAAUCUUCUUCCCAGUAAGAUUCUUGGCUUUCAGUCUCCCGUUCAGCGCCUUCUCGGUGAGCCACCUGAUUACAGCUCUCUCCGCACUUUUGGCUUCGCGGUUUGGCCCAAUUUGCGGCCGUAUAACACCAGAAAGCUAGCUUUUCGAUCCACUAGAUGUGUCUUCCUCGGCUACAGCUCUAUGCACAAAGGUUUUAAAUGCUUAGAACCAUCCACAGGUCGCAUUUAUAUUUCCCGUGAUGUCGUCUUUGACGAAUCCGUUUUUCCUUUUUCAACUCUCCAUCCCAAUGCCGAAUCACUUCUACAAAAAGAAAUUCUUCUGCUCCUUGAGAAUCUUGUAAAUCCAGGGGUUUUUGGUAGUGCUAACCCUUUGUUUACUAAUGUUUCCCAUGAGCAUGAUGAUGUACAGGAGAAUUCCCAUGAAAACGGUAGCCACGACGGAAGUCCCAGCGCUGCAGAUGGCUCCAAUGCCAUGGAUCCAGCAGCCGCAACAAAUUUGGGCACCAGAUCCCAGGAGGAUCCGGCGGCGUCCGAUUUCCCGCCUCCUCCCACUAACUCCCAGGCCGAACCUCCCGCCAACAGCGUGUCGACGUGUGGGGAGGGCUUGCCUCCGGCCCCGGCUCGCACGACGCCUUCGAACCCGCUGCCGACGCGUGGCGCCGCUGUCGGCCCGACUGUACCAGCGCCUGCUUCUGAGGGAGAUCUGCCCUUUGGAUCUUCUACGCCACCCGCCAGAUCCGGUGCGCCCGUCCCUGAUCUACAAAUUCCAGGCGCUAGUGAUUCUGAUGCUCCGCCACUUACGAUGCCCCUGCACAGGACAAGGCUACAAAGUGGAAUAGUCAGACCCAAGAAAUUAUAUGACGGAAUGAUCAGGUAUGGUUUGCUUUCUUCCACAGGAGAACCAAAUAGUGUCCAGGAAGCAUUGGGUGAUUCACGGUGGAGGAAAGCUAUGGAAGAUGAGUAUGGUGCAUUACUUAGAAAUCAAACAUGGCAUCUUGUACCACGGCAAGAAGGAACAAAUGUGAUAGAUUGCAAGUGGGUAUACAAGAUUAAAAGGAAGGCAAAUGGCACAAUUGACAGGUACAAAGCUCGACUAGUAGCGAAAGGGUUCAAAUAGCGAUAUGGUAUUGAUUAUGAAGAUACUUUCAGUCCAGUUGUUAAAAUUGCCACAGUCCGACUUGUAUUAUCUAUUGCAAUAUCGAGAGGAUGGGGCUUAAGGCAACUAGAUAUUUAGAACGCGUUUCUGCAUGGUGUUCUGGAAGAAGAGGUUUAUAUGAGACAACCGCCAGGUUUUGAGAGUGCUAACAUGCCACAAUGUGUAUGCAAGCUUGACAAGGCUCUGUAUGGGUUAAAGCAGGCACCGAGGGCCUGGUAUUCAAGGCUCAGCUCGAAAUUGUUAGAUCUUGGUUUUAGAACUUCAAAGUCUGACACCUCUCUCUUCAUUUACGGCAAGGGACAGAUAACUAUCUUUAUGUUGAUUUACGUAGAUGAUAUCAUUGUUACCAGCUCCUCACAAGAAGCUAUUGCGGCGCUUCUCCAGGAGCUCAAGAAAGAGUUUGCACUGAAGGAUCUCGGGGAUCUACAUUAUUUUCUGGGAAUUGAAGUAAAGAAGGAGAAGGAUGGUAUACACUUGUCGCAAGGAAAAUAUGCAAAUGACAUCUUGAACCGAGCUGGUAUGAAAAAGUCCAAACCAUCUUCUACUCCCCUUUCUACAACUGAGAAGCUGUCAUGUCAUGAAGGUAUACCACUUGGACCAGAAGAUAGUACACGGUAUCGCAGUAUUGUAGGUGCCCACCUUACUCUCACUAGACCUAAUUUGGCAUAUUCUAUUAAUAAGGUCUGUCAGUUCUUGCACUCUCCUACUACAGUUCAUUGGACUGUAGUGAAAACUAUUUUAAGAUAUGUCAAAUACACCUGUGGCGUCAGAUUAAAGAUUCAGAAAAAUAAUUCACUUGUUGUCGGUGCUUUCUCUGAUGCUGACUGGGCAGGAAGUGUUGAUGACCGAAGAUCCACUGGUGGUUUUGCUGUAUUCUUUGGGGAUAAUCUUAUUUCAUGGAGUGCAAGGAAACAAGCGACGGUAUCAAGGUCCAGUACGGAAGCUGAAUAUAAAUCAAUGGCAAACGCUACGGCAGAAGUAAUAUGGUUGGAAUCCCUGCUAGCAGAGUUGGGUGUGCGCCUAAAGCAGCCACCAGUUCUAUGGUGUGAUAAUCUGGAUGCUACAUACUUGUCAGGUAAUCCUGUCUUUCAUGCAAGAGCAAAACAUAUUGAGAUUGAUUUUCACUUUGUUCGUGAACGUGUGGCAAGGAAGCAGCUGCAGGUGCGGUUCAUACCAACAGGUGAUCAGUUGGCGGAUGGCUUCACAAAAGCUCUCCCUGUUCACAAGCUAGAAGAGUUCAGGAACAAUUUGAAUCUUCAGACUAGCGGAAGCUUCGACUGAGAGGGGCUGUUAGAGAUAAUUAAGAAAGCUAUUGUAAACCGAGUACCAGAUUGUGGACUUGGUUAGAAUAGGAGAUAGAGAUCAGGAGUUGGAGAUAUAGUCCGGUUGUUUAGAUUAACUAGAGUUCAAACGAUGUAUCCAAUAGGAUUACGACAGGACUUAAUCUUCAACUACCUGCAGUUGUAAUCUCCUAGGACUGUUCUGUUUCGCCCUAUAUAUUAACACGUAUCGUGGCAAUGCCAGGUAGGCAACCACGUUCUCCCAAUUUUACAGGGUCAAGAUCUGGACCAAAAGAUCUUCGAAUCAAUGGUCAAAGGUAGAGACAUAGGGUCAACCCUAUAAAUCCCUGAAAAAAUUAAGUCUGAAUACAGUAAUAAAUGGCCAACUUUGGGUCAAAGAUUUUGAGGAAUUUUGCAUAAAAUUUUUGAACAAGUUUAAUCAAAAUGGUACGUGUGAUAUAUGGUUAACAGCUCCCAGCAGUUCUUGAGCAUAGAAAAAUGAGUUUGAAUAUUUAAAUUGGAGGUCAAAGAUCGAACUUUACACUGUCUCGCAUUGCCUGGUUAACUAACGGAAUAGUUCUGAAGGUUCAGAAUGAACUGGUGUUUUGCCCCAAAGUUCAGAGGUUCUUAUCUCCAAACCCAUGGAUUUCUGAAUAAAAGACCUAUCUAUCAUCUAUACCCCUAUACGUCAGCUACAAAAGUUGGAAAAUGUGUGCAGCAAGUUGGUAUUCAGUUUGCUCUUGUAUCUACUGCUCUAUCAGUAAAAUAGGCACAAUCGUUCGUUCAAAAAAAAGUUGCUAUUCAGUUUUGGAAGAAUUUCAGUGAGCAAAUGUGCAGGUUUAUAGCAUGGACACGUACUGCAUCUCGUGGGGAAGACCUGAGCCGUGAUCUGCAAGCCUGCUUUGCCGCCUCUCUUGCUUACUGCCGACGCCACUUGCACCAGCGAUUUCAGCCGCGAUGACACGCACCUGCUUGCAAGCACGGCCGUACCGAAGAUUUUGAGGCCCUGGAGCAAACCAAGAAAUGGGACCCUAUAUAGUAGUGACUAGUGAAAUACAAAUAAUCAAGAUAUAUUUAGAUUCCAGUAUAUGAGUAACAAGUACAUGCUUUUUUGCAUACAGAGAACAACAAUAUGAAAUUAGGUACUUAUAUUAUAGGAUUAAAGGGUGAAUAGUGCAUACCAAUAUCUUCUUAACCUCUAGUAAAAAGCAUCAUUCAUCUGGUGUUCUUUGAAAUGAAAUCUUCAAUUAUAUCUUCAUAUUUAAUUUUCUCCAAAACAUCAAUUUCAAGUGCAAUUGUUGCCAACCCAUUGAGUCUUUCUUGUGUCAUUGUACUACACAUGUAGGACUUUAAUAACUUCAAUUUUGAAAAGCUCCGCUCCGCAGAUGCAACUGUUACAGGAAUAGUCAAUAAAAUUCUGUAUGCAAUAAGAGCAUUUGGGAAACAGCCCAUCCGUUUCACAAACUUCAAAAUAUCAAGAGGGCCCAUGUCUUCCUUAGGGAUGAAAUCUUGGAGGAACUUUAACUCCACAAGUAAUUCUUUGCCAUCAAUAUCAGAAUGUUCACCACUCUUAAGUGCUUCCUCAAGACGAGCACAACAAGAUAACAAACUCUUAUCAUCUAAGGAGCAUAAUUUACGUGAAGUGAACAAAAAACCAAAAGUCUUUUCAUACCCCUGGUAUUGCUCAAACCUCCUAGUUAGUGAAGCAAUUGCUUGAUCAACAACAGGCAAAAAAUACUUGAGCCUAAAUGAUUCCUCUUCGGACUGUGAAGCAAUAGAUGCAUCAUCAGGUGUCUCAUCAAAUUGCCUUUUCCUUUUGAUUUUACGCUUGGUAUGAAAUGCUGGCUCAAUAUCCAUCUCGUGUGCUAUUUCUUUUGCAGAUUCUAUUGCUUUUGCAAAACCAGUUUCUCUAUACUUACUGAAGAAGGAAAUUAGCCCCUGCACUUUCUCUAUUGCAAUAUCAAUAAGCAUAUCCUUUGCUUGUAACUGUUUGCUGACCAAGACACGCGGAUUAAAAAAAAGUGAGGAAAGGGAAGAGAUGACAGAUCGCAGAUGCAUGCACACACCUCAUACGGAGACCCGGCGUACCACUGUACCAGUGGUCCAGUGUACCACAAACAGGCCGGCAAGGCACCCGCCGUCGGAGCCGGCCGCCGCUGACGACCAAACCUGCGCCACGCCGGGCGCCGGCGCGGAUCACACGAACGGCGGCUUCAGUGGGAGCUGCAAUGGGAAGGUUCGCACGAUACACGCCCGCGUCGUUUCAGUACCCCGCGAUGACCCCUGGAAUUCACGGUACACGUCCCAACGGCCGCCUAUUCCACUUCUAUGGAUAGUAGAUGGGCCGAGUUAAAGUCCAAUAGUUGGGGCCCCUAAUUUUUGGGGGCCUGGCUCGGUCGGUCCAGUUGCGCUGCCUAAUGGACGGGCCUGCUUGCAAGCUAGGGCGGACAUCCCCUCAGGCGGAAGCUUGUAAGUUCUAGUUACUAAGAUAACAUAAUUGAAUUACCGACUUGAUUGAGGUCAAGUGAUGACAAGUUGGGAAUGCAAAUGAUGAUUGGGAGGGGACCUUAUGCAAACUUCAUUAAUGAUCAAACUUAAGGAAUGUUGGACAGUUGGGUAUUAAUUAGCUCGCAGGUUCUAUACAUGUUGAGAUUUAUCAAAUGGUCAAUUACUUGCAUUAACUUAGGGAAUCUUGCUCAUAUCUCAGCUAAUUUGUAGCAUUUCACCUGAAAUGUUGGGAUAAUCAUGGAUUUGCUAUUUUUGAAGAAAUCAUCUUGAUUGAUCAGCCUAUUGUCACCAUAAUAUAAUCACACGAGCGAGCAGCUAUUUUGACGGUAAGGACCACCGGCUGUUUCAUGACUUAUUGUUCAUCAGGCUAAAAAUCUCUCAAUCAGUGUACUGCUGUACAUGGUACAUACCCCUGUGUGCUCAAUCAAGCAGUAUGCCUAUCAUCUGGAAACAUUUAUCGGCCGCCGUUGCUGCCUCCCUUCUACUCUGUGAUAAUGAUCUAGACGUUUCAUAGUGAGUUUUCAAGAGCUGCAUAUAUGUUGGCUUCAUCGCACAUGUACAGUGUGUUAGUUUGUUGUUUUUGGUUUGCCCUGUGCUGUGUGUAGGCUUAAGUGAACAGUGUAGCUACGGCUUCAAAGGUCUCAAUCAUCUCUUGUGCAUAAAUGCCUGUACUGGCUAAUGAAUGGUUGCCUAGCAAACUUUGUGAUAGUCAGUCCAUCUGCAGCUCAACGGUUACCAUCCCUUGAGGAAGGCAGUUGAAAUAUCAUUUUGUAAUUUGUUCUUCAAUUCGGUUCAAGCCAUUCGUAUGUGCAGUCUGAAAUUUCAGUUUGUUGCCUAACAAACUGAAUGCCAAACAAAGAACAAAAUAAAGAUUCAACCCUCCGCCUUGCAAAUUGGAGACAUUUCAUCAAGAACCGCCUGCGCCAAUGUGUUCGGUUCUGACACAUCAUGCAUAUCAUCAUUCCAUUCUACUUCGUACAGACAAUUCAAUUGGGUUGCUUUUUCCCGUUUGUCCUAUGAACUGAAGGUACUACGCGAUGUGCUUAAAUUCUUGUACGGAUUAGUGGCUGUCAAGCAGGCUGGCGCACUGCAUAACUGUUUCUGAUGAACUAGAAACUGCCUGAUGGUUGCCGUUUUUUUUCCAAGAGGGUGUACGUGUUUCAGUUCACUGACGAAACUGAUCACAAUAUGAGGGUUGGUUCUGCUGGUUCCUCAAUUAGGGCAUGGCCGCAUGAAUCAUUGUUCGAAUCCUGAAUAACAGCUCGCCCUUUGCUUGUUAUUCCGUUGAUGGAAAAGACAUGCGAAGUGACCCAAAACGCAGCACUCCAGAUUUGCUCGUGGCUUUUGCGGCAGCGAAUGCAUACAUUUUCAGAAAAAAUUUAAUUCCUAGUCAUCACAGCACAAUAAAGCGUUUGUAGUCCAACGGUUAGGAUAAUUGCCUUCCAAGCAAUAGACCCGGGUUCGACUCCCGGCAAACGCAUUUGUUUUUAAGAUUUUUCUUUUUUCCCUCUCUUUCUGGAACAUCUGUUUGUCGGUCACUCGUUUUCUUUCAAGAACACAAAUUCGACUUUUGUUCAUUGCAGUUCCAUGGCGCUGUGUAUUUUUAUUUGUGCAUACGUCAUCGUUUUAUGUACAAAAGGUAUCAAUUUAAGAUAUUAAUCAGAGAUCUAUUUGGCAUUAUGGUUAUGAACUUAAGAUUAUUGUAGAGUAUAUUUGAUUACGAAUCCAACCAUAUAAAGUUUAUAUUAUAAAAAUAAAAAAUUGACAGUUAAUAUAUUGAUCAAAUAUUGUAAUUUUUUAAAAUUUGACAUGUGUACCUUAUAAAUAAAAAUUGAGGGAGUAAUAGCAUACUAACCACGACAGCACGAGAUCAAUAAAAGCAUGAAUAUGAAACAAAUUGCUGUCCGUGGGUUUCAUUCAAGUAUCAAAGCCCUUGGUAAGCUAUGCACAGCAGUUUUAUCUAGAUGAAAAUGAAAAUCAACUCCUCUCUCUCUCUCAAAUUUCAUUUCAUGUUACUAUUUUUUUUUUGCCUACAUGGCAUAUCAAUAUGUGUCAUUCAAUGUGAUUGAAACUCACCUGGUGCCCAUGUGUUCUAUCUAAAUGCACGAAUCUCAUAGCAAAGUGAGUGCAAUAAAUAUAUCCACCCAUAAAAAAAUGCAAUUUUAGAAUUUUUCACACAGAUUAUUGUAGAAUCCAAAUAACUAUUGGAGGUAAUUUUUUUUUUCGGGAAGGUUUGGGAAGCUAUUGGAGGUAAGUUUUUUUUUCUCUGAAUAAGGUUUUGGGGUAAUUUUAAUGGAUCUUUUGGAAUUGCUCUUACAUGGAGAUUAGCCCACCAAGCUAUUCUAAAAGCUACAAUUGCAUUUUUUUGACAAAUUUUGAAUGUAUAAUUGCACUUUGUGCGUGACCAAAUUGAUGCAAAGUGGACAAACACACGCUCUGAACAUAAUGGAUCACUGCUGCCGUAUACACAUGGUAAAACCUACUCCAAGCCGCUUAAUUAGGCAUCUAAACUAAUUAAUUAGGCACGCAUGUUUCCUACUUAAUGAGGCAGGCACAUUUCAAUUCCUGUGUCUAUAUAUAUAUAUACACACACACACACAUUUCAAUUCCUUAUACGUGUGUGUGUGCGCGCAAGAAGAGUAUAUAUAGCAAUUAUCAGUGGUGCCAUGCGAUGCAACACCAGCUGCCUCAUAGCAGCAGAAGCACACGUAGCCCCUCCAUGGCGAAGAAGAUGUUGCCAGCGGCGGCUUACGAGCUCUUCUCCUCCCUCCUCCACACCGUCACGGUCAUUGCCCGGCCACCGCCGCCCACGCGCAGCUCGCCCACCGUCCACCGAUGCGCCCCUCCCGCGGCGCGGCUCGCCGGCGAGGGGACCACGCUGGUCGUCGACGUCGACGGCGCCCUUCUCCUGCCGCGCCACACCCUUCUCUUCGCCUACUUCAUGCUCGUCGCCCUCGAGGCCGGCAGCUUCCUCCGCGGCCUCGUCCUGCUCCUCCUCUACCCCGUCAUCUCCUGCCUCGGCGCCCUCGCCGGCCGCGACGCGGCCGUGCGGGCCAUGGCCGCGGUCGCCUUCUGCGGGCUGCGCGAGGGCACGUUCCGCGCCGGCCGCGCCGUGCUGCCGCGGUGGCUCCUGGAGGACGUUCAGGCAGAGGCGCUGGAGGUUACGCGGCGGGCCGGCGACCCGGCGCGGGUGGUGUGGGCGAGCGCCAUGCCGAGGGUGAUGGUGGAGCCGUUCCUGAGGGAGUACCUCCAGGUGUCGCCGGCGGCGGCCGUCGCGGCGAGGGAGAUGAAGACGGUGUGGGGGUUCUACACCGGCCUCAUGGAGUACGACUGCGACGUAAGAGAGGACAUGUCGGUGCUGAGGCAGAAGACGGCGGCCGGAGGCGACGAUGACGACGUCGUGGGGUUCUCCGCUGGCGAUUCCAUGGAGUUCCUCUGCAGCCCUCUGUCAUCAAUUUGCAAGGUAUGCUUUUUUUUUUCUUGAGAUGAUCUGAUUGAUCUCAUGCAUGACAGCGAUGUCCUAGUAGUCCUCCAUGAGCAACAUCACCAUGGUGGCACCAUGAGUUCAUGACACGAUCUCUAUCGAUGCAGGAGCUGUACGUCGUGCACACGGAGGAGCAGAGCAAAUGGCGGCGCCUGGCCCGGCGCGACUACCCGAGGCCGCUCGUCUUCCACGACGGCAGGCUGGCGUUCCUGCCGACGCCGCUCGGCGCCGUGGCCAUGUUCACGUGGCUCCCCCUGGGCGUGGCGCUCUCCGUCGUCCGCCUCGCCGUCGCGAUGGCGCUGCCGUACCGGUACGCCACGGCGAUCCUCGCCGCGACGGGCCAGUCGUGGCGCCUCCGCGGCGCGCCCCCGCCGGCAAACAUCCGCCGCGGCGGCGCCGCAUCCUCCGGCGAGCUCUACGCGUGCAACCACCGCACCCUCAUCGAUCCCGUCUACGUGUCCAUCGCGCUCGACCGGCGUGUCCGCGCCGUGUCCUACAGCCUGAGCCGCGUCUCCGACGCGCUCUCCCCGAUCGGCCCCACCGUCCACCUCGUCCGCGACCGCUCCCGCGACGGCGCCGCCAUGGCGCGGCUCCUGGGCGCCGGCGACAGCGUGGUGGUCUGCCCCGAGGGCACCACCUGCCGGGAGCCCUACCUGCUCCGGUUCAGCCCGCUGUUCGCCGAGCUCGGCGGCGACCGCGGCGUCGUGCCCGUGGCGCUCGCCGUCGAGAGCAGCAUGUUCCACGGCACGACGGCGAGCGGGUGGAAGGGCGUCGACCCCUUCUACUACCUGGCCAACCCCAGGAUGUGCUACACGGUGGAGUUCCUCGACAGGGUGGACACGGCGGCGGUGGCGGAGGGGAAGGCGGCCAGCACCGACGUGGCCAACGCCGUGCAGCGGCGCAUCGCGGCGGCGCUCGGGUACGAGUGCACCAUGCUCACCAGGAAGGACAAGUACCUCAUGCUCGUCGGCAACGACGGCGUCGUCGCGGCGCCGCCACGGCGGACGCGCGCCGACGAUAUGCGUGUGCCCGUUCGUGCUCCCACUGGCUGCAGAUAACCGUGUCCGAUUAAUGAAAAUCGUGCCACACUACACGUACAGUACUCAAAAGAGAAAAAAUUCAGGGGAAAAUAGAAAAAAUAGGGACUAUAUUAUUCCGUUUAAGAACGGUUUUUGUAUUUUGUAAGAUGCUUGAUGCCUUGACCUCUCUUUUUUCCCCACUUUUUGUGAAUAUACGAUGUAAUGUAGAGGUUGGUGUGUAUAAAAUUAAGGGAAUGUACUUAAGAAAUGAGAGAAUAUUAUGUCAUCUUCACUAGAAGAGGAUGGGUGAUCUGUUUGGUACUUCCACGUAACCAGGUUUUCAUUAUGGAUUUCGAGUCCAUGUCGUGAAUCCAACAUGAUGUGCAGGAAAUCGAGACGUGCAAUGAUGUGAUCACUCUCGUUCUAAAGAGGUGUCUUGACACUAAUUACUCCUUACAUGUAACCACAAUGAGUCACAUAAGCAUGGGCACGGCUCUUGUUUACUAUGUACUCCCUCUGUCCUAAAUUGUAUUCCCUCCGUUCCAAAUUGUAGGUCGUUUUGAUUUUUUAGAUUCAUAGAUUUUAUUAUGCACCUAAAUAUACACUAGAUAUAGUGUAUGCACCUAAAUAUACACUAGAUAUAGUGUAUGUCUAGAUGCAUAAUAAUAUCUAGUGUAUGUCUAGGUGCAUAAUAAUAUCUAUGAACCUAAAAAAGCUAAAACGACCUACAAUUUGGAAUAGAGGGAAUAGGCUGUUUUGGUAUUUCUAGGUUCAUAAAUAUUAUUAUGCACCUAGACAUACACUAUAUCUAGAUAUAUAAUAAUAUCUGCGAACUUAAAAAAGUUAAAGCGACCUACAAUUUGGAACGGAGGGAGUAGGCUGUUUUGGUAUUUCUAAUUUCAUAACUUUUGCCGUCUAACAAUAAGGUUAACAACAAAAUAUUUGAUAACAAACUUGUACUGCAACAUGUACGGAUGUGCCGAUGAUAACAUGAAUGAUCUGAAGCACCUGAUAUUUUUUUGGGAGGAGAGAAUAUUAAUCGUUGGAGAAUCUAUCGUUUGGUUCCUUUUGCAUCUUGUCUUUCCAAGAUACUAAAUUGUGUUUUGCCAGAUUCAGAUAGCAUUGCAGUGACCUCAUCUGAAGGCUGUCUGUUUUACUUCUAAUUCUGAAUUGCUUUCUCAGGUUGGCCACUAACCGUCUGCACCCCCUAAGAGUCUUCCACUUGUUUGAAACGAGACAACCGGUGGAACAAGCUGGACACAACAUCGAAAUGAAACUGAAACACUUCUAUUUCUGAUGAAAUAUUGGACUGUGAUAUUUCAGGACAAGUGAUGAUGCAAAAACUAGAAGAAACUAAAUGGCGAUUGCAUGGGAACAGCCUUUUUAGGUAACAAUUUCCAGGAAUAUUGCGGCAAGGAAAACUCUGACCCGAUAAGCGCCUUUCGUUGCCGAAAAAUGUCUUGAAAUGGCUCCCUAAAUCGUGAUAAUUCCGCCGGCACUGGUCAUCCACUGUACCUCAACACAUUUUCUUCUCGGAACCUCGUGCAUUAUGCUGCAUCCUCAGUUCCUCACAUUUCAGGUACAUAAGUCUUCAAGUUUCGCUAGCAUGGCUGAUAGUUUUGGAAUUAUGUUAGCAUGGGCACUAAUAAAUGAGUUAGAUUCUUUUCUUCCAAGGUUACAUCUGCCAUCCAAAGAUUUUGGCGGCAAACGCGCGCCAAGCCGACAUUUCUGUAGCUCAUAAAGAACCACUGUUGGAGUGAAGGACAGUUUGCAGCGCUCGCAAGAAAUCGAUCAGAUCAAACCACCAUUGGUCCAUUGCUACAGGAAUGGAUGCAAUGAAGGAUGUGGUGUUUGAACCACCAUUGAUCAUCAAGCUGCCAUGAAGGCAAGAUUUUGGACCAGGAAUGAAGGAUGUGGUGAUGUAGAUAGACAGCAUGUAUUAUUGUACUCACGCUCUGCUGUUUCUUCUAUGUAACAGCAACUACGGGGCCUAGUUCGGCAGUUGGGACUUCCUCAGAAGAUAUGUUUGCAUUUGGAAAAGCGAUGGAUUAACAAUACAACAGGGAAAUGAGUAAGCAAAAAGAAUGUAUCGCGUUUAGACAUUCAUACGGUCUCCAAUCAUGAAUGGAGAGGUAGAUGUCAUGAAUGCCGAAGAAUUUUGGAACCGCGGUGAAGAUCUUUCCUGAUUGAGAAUAAAUUCCGUACUAAAAAAUCAAACAGUGUAUUGAUUUCUGAAACUACAUUAACUCGGACGUUAGGAAAAAAAAAUCAAACAACAUCCAUUUAAUUGAAGGCGACGGUUAGCAGGUAUGUAACCACAAGUUCAUGCAUCUUGUGAACAAGAAUGCGAGAUCCCUGAUCAAAGUACAUUUGACCUACCAAUAAUCCUGAUUAUUCAUGACCACACGACACGACACAGGUGGAAAGCUGAGCAACUUAGAUCAAGUCAGACCGAAGCCCUAACCAGCAGCAACAUACUGACCAAGCUCAAGAGCUUACUAACUGCAUACAUCUGUGUGCUGUAGAGACUGCUCGAGCAUUUAUAAGGUUAGCUCCGGUCAAAUUCAGCUCUGCCAGUUUGCCGGUCAAUGCAUAAAACUGCAUUUUGUUUGCCGACUUCAGUUUGUGAUCCAUGUGAACAAAAAAGUGACCGAAUUCAGCGGUUUAAACAGAAGCCAGAGAUGACUAGAUGUGUCACAGUCAGGCAGUUGUUAGUCAUCCCUGACUGGAAAGGAUCAUCAAGCUUUAAUUUGGCAAAUGUAUCGUCAACUCCUUAUUCCUGAACACGAAUUGGCUUGACGAGUGCGUGAUGGUUCAGCGACAGCAUCGGCCAGCGAGCGGUGGAGAAUGCCAGAUGAGCUACAGAAAUCGGCGACAAUAGCUCAAUGAACUGAACUCCGAUGGAUCGGUUAGAGUGUUGAACUCCGGGAAUCAUUGGAACUAAUUGGAAGUCCUGUCCCGACAUGGAUUCUUAGAACAAAUUUAACCUCGUGAUUUUUGUGCAGCUGAAAGCUUACUGCAACCUAUUACAUUACAUGACCAGUGGCAGCUAAAAACUAGGCACUAUCAACAACCUGAUGCAUGCCGACUCCUGAAGAAAAGGAAAAGACGGGACUGGAUCAAAGUUACAGACUGACGAGAUUGAAACUGAAAACAGCAUCACCUGUGACUCUGACGAAACUGAAAGCAAAAGGUUUCUUCUGACAGAGAAAGAUGCAGAUAGUAGAGGCUGGUCGGUGAAAUAGUUAUAGGGUCAGCUUUGGUCAAAUUCAAAUCUGUUGGGUAAGCUGGUCAACUCUUAGCACCUUGAAGCAAACUAAAGCAAGUGAUCUGCUUGCAUGUUAUUGGAACUUGGAAGGCUGUUGCUCGAUUCAGACUGACUUGAGGUUCUAUGAGAUAGUGAAGCUUUCAACUCAUUACUGCAAAUACAAGCUACAGAUGUAUCAAAUCAGGCAGUAAGCAGUUGUGAACUAAAGAAUUAGCUUAAUUCACCGUACCUUAAUACGAAGGUAAAAUUCUGUAGCUGUCGAUUCACACUGAAGCCCCAGACAGUCACCAUCCCUAUCGUAACACUAGUACCGUACAACUACGACCGUUGACCAGCUCUAAAAUGCAGGAUGCAUGCAAAAAGACACAACAAAGUAAAACAAUUAUUUCUGACAAGUGACAAGCUAAAUCUAACUAUCAAGCAUUAAAGCCCUACCAAUGCAAUGUAAACUCUACUAGUCAUCUCAUCUGUUCUUUUAAUUUUUUUUUCAAAUCUAUCUUUGCUCAACAUGAGAAUUGGUAGCUUAUCUCUGUGCGGACUGCAAAUUCUGCAGUGCAGCAAACAUGUCCACGUUUUAUCUUCACCCAACCAUGUAUGUUGGCAAAAAAAAAACUAUGCUUUGUUGGCAAUUGCAAGGCUUCUCUGUGAACCUGAAGAAUGGUAUAUUAUUUUAUGAAAUGUGAUCCACGAAGCCAAAAUAUGGGCAAGCAAUAAAAAAACUGUAAAAUGUCAUCUUCUACUAAUGGAGUUCCCACACCACAAAACAGAAUACACUGGCACAUUAUUAAGGAACCAUGGAAAAUAAUAUGGUGAUAUAUGUAACCAGCAUGCAUUGUGUACUUCAUUUUGUUUCUGUUGCACUCAUCAUCUGCUAUUUCUUCAUUGUAAAUUUGUAAUAGCAACUACGGGGCCUACUGACCAGGCUCAUCAAGAGCUUUUUAGCUGCGAGCUUAUUAACUGCAUACACAUGCUCACUGAAGCUUCUGCUCCGUCUUGGCGGCAACAGAGAUGGAAGGUUGACCAACAAACGCACUGAAGAUUGCAUGCUGCGUUCAGUGAAAGGCCGGCCGGCCCUGUCGGCGCCGGCAGCCGCCGCCUGGUCGGUCAAGCAGUUGCAGGUCAGCUCUGGUCAAAUUCAAAUUUGCUCGAUGGGGUGGUCAACUCUUAGCAUCAUGAAGUGGACUCGAGCUCUGAGCAUGUGGUUAUGUUGAGAGGCAGUAGCUCAGUUCAGACGGACUUCAGCUUCCAUGUGACAGUGAGGCCAUGAAGCCUCAUUACUGCAAAUACGACCCGGUCCAUGGGUCAAAUGAGGCGGUUAGAUUUUGUGAGCCGUGGCACGUGUCCGAAGAAACUGUCAGCUUAAUUUACCAUGCAUAGGCCCUGGGCUAAAUUAUGAAUUAGGCCUCAAUUUAACUUCUGGAAAACUUAUUUUAGUUAAUAACACGAUUGUACCAAAACAGCCUCAGUUACAAUGGAUUACCUACAUAUAUUACUACAAACAACAUGUCUAUUCCAGUGUGCACAAAAAUGAGAAUUUGGUUAGCCCUCAAAAAAAAAUGACAAGUUGGUUUGAUCAGUAUGCACUAUUCCAGUUACACCAUAAUUGGUCCGUCCCAAAUUACUAUUCGUUUUGGUUUUUCAUGAUACAUAGCUUUGCCUACGUAUCUAGACUUAGUGUAUAUUUAGAUGUAUAGUAAAAACUAUGUAUCUAGAAAUGUCAAAAUGAAUAGUAAUUUGGGACAGAGGGAGUACAUAAGUAAGUACAUAUGCAUUCCAAUCAUAUAGCGUAAGGCGGACAUAAAAAAAAGUAAGACAGGCCUUGUUGAUGAAUUUUAUAUUUUUCCAGUAGUAUUAGUUAGCAUAUACACGUAAAAACACGAACUAGUGGAUUGUACUCUGCAUGAGGCACACUUAACGUUCGAUUCAAGAUAGAUAUUAGCUAGAAGGAACUCAUCUUAGUAUUUUUUUGUUGCCUUUUUAAACCCGUCUAGUCUCUCAGAUUGAUGAUUUGGCAGAGUGCGGUUCCCUCCCUAAGGGCUCCUUUGGGAACUCAGAACCCCGAGGGGAUCCCGCUAUUUUCCCUGGGUCAGAGGCCCACGCGGGCAUUUCACCACGGGCCGAAUCGCCUCCUCAUUUGGGAGUCCAUCGGACGGGGAGGCCAGACCACAUCCGCGAGUUUUCCCCGGGGCGAGCCGUCCUCACCUCGAGGCUCCUGGCGGCGCAACCCCCUCCGCGUCGCGCAUCCAGGCGCCCCCCCUCCGCGUCCGCAUCCCCAUCCCUGCCUGUGCUCGCCCGUGCUCCCCCGUGCCGCUGACGACCGCAUCGCGCCGCCGCCCCCCGUGCCGCUGGCGACCUGCGAGCGGCGUCCGUGCGGCUCCCCUGUUCCUGCACCUCCCCGUCGUGGCGUCGCCCGUGCGGCUCGUCGUCGCCUCCCCGUCGUCUCCCCAUCCCCACGCCGGCUCGAUCUUCGCUGGAGAUCUGCUCACUGCCCCCACCUCCAGUGAUUGCUUCGUGGCUCCGUGACUGCUCCGUGGCUUCGUGACUGCUCCGUGACUCCGUGCUACCUUGCCUCAUCCUCCGGUGAGUCUUCCUGUUCUAAUUCCAAGAUUUGUACAUAGAUUGCUUUGACUUCAUAUUGCAAGAACAAGUAGGACUGAAGAUCUGGUUCCAGCUCGGCACCAGAUCAAUCGCUUUGAUGCGGAUAAUAAGAUCUGGGUGCCAGCUCGGCACCAGAUCAAUCGCUUCCUGGUCGACUAGUUCCAUUUGUGUUCUGAUUGGUCCUUAAGGGGGUGUGUAUGUUAAUUCAAUUGCUGUGCGCAAAUUUUGGAGCUGAACUAUUAAUGUUUGGCUGCCAUUUUCUGUAUUAAUCUUUGGAAGCGCGAGCUAGCAAUUCCAUCAGUGACUUCGAUCGUGGUAUGUAGCUUUCAGGUUCUGCUUUCUCAUCAGCAUGUUGUUUUGUAGUUCUUGGUUUAUUGCCGUUCGAACAUUUUGGGAGAAAGCUCAGAGACCUCGGGGCUUGGAUACUGUUGUCAUUUGUAACAUUACCGAGAAGUCGUGGAUUUGGGUGCAUAGUAUUUUUUUAACGAAAAGGUAGAUAACAUUGGCAAUCCAAUUUUUUAAGGUGUAAAUUUGGAGAAUGUUCGAGAUUGCAGUACUGUCUGUCAGGUUGGUUCGUUUUCUUGGCAAUUAUUUGCCGUUUGCAUUUCGAGCUACCUUGCUGUGUUGGAACUUAAUACCAAUGUGCAUGUGUACUAUUUGCUGUCACUUUCUUUUAUAGAGAAGAUGUUUUCUUGCAAUAUUUCCUUAUCUUUUUGUCGGCCAUUUUUUGUCAUUGUCAUGAUUAAGAGCAUAUCCAGCAGCUUGUCUGUCUAUACCCUAUUACAGUACUACAGACUUAUAGCAUGUACGGUGCUUCAACCCUCCAUUGCCUUGCUGCCCCUAGAUUGGAGCACUGAGCACUGAUUGCAAUAUUCAUCUGUAGUUUUGCCACCAUUGUCGACAACCCCCAAUGGGAUUUCCCUUUUACAUUCAGAAGGCAAUGCCGAUACAAAAUCUGUAAUUUUGGUCAGUAGAAAGAGUACAUGUUGCCAGGUUGCUUUUAUAAGGUUAGACCGUUAGAGUAAAAGUGUUACAGGGUCAUGGGCAUUGCUUCUGAAUGUAACCAAACUGUCAGCUCUUAUUAUCCUUUUGAUGCGGCCCUUUUCUAGGUACAAGGUCAAAAGUUAACUAGCUUUAAGCUUUGUGCAUGCCUGGAGUGAAGAAGCUCUCGCACGCAACUCAUAAUAAUCUAAUAAUCACAAAAUGCAUAAAGUUGUUUCAGCUAUUAUUUCACUCGACCAAAAGCUACAGAAUGUCUAGUAUAAGCUUUAUGGAGUUUAAUGAUGUAAUGCCCUUGAAAUUUAAUAAAAACUUCCUUUAUCGAAAAAAAAUGAUUUAUGGAGUUUAAUGGAAGGAAACAAUCAAUGUCUAAACUGAAAGCUUCUAUUGAUAUCAUCCACAUUGCAUUUGAGUAUAAUUUGUAUAUCAUCAGUAUAGAUACUGCUUCUCCAAAUGAUGUUGUGGCAGCAGUAUAAUUUAGUAUUUAUCUUUUUAUGGAUCUCACUGUUGGUGCAUUGUACAUGUAUUUAUUCCAUCAUCUAGAAUUUUCCUCCAUCAUCUUGUUCAUUGUGAUCGUUUGUUCUUCCUUGUGAGAAGGGACCCGUAUUUCUUGCAGCCAUGUCAACGGAAAGAGCUACGUGGAGCUACACGUAUGAGAAGGGACUUGUGGAUAUUCUGAAAGAGCUUGCCAACGUCCCAAUGUUUAAGGGACAAAAUGGGUGGACUGCUGAAGGUUGGAGGAAUAUCACAAACAAAUUCAAUGAUAUGUUUCCAACGACACAUUUCACGAAGCAACAAGUGCAAGAAAAGGAGAAAGAGCUAAAAGGAAACUAUAAGAUAAUAAAAGAAGCGAGGAAAAGUGGUGUUGGCUGGAAUGACACUUUGGGUAUGAUCAUUGCAGAACAAAAAGGAUGGGAAAAGUUGAUUAAGGUUAGGUCUCUUAAAUGAAGAAUCAACUUUAUAUAACAACCCUUUAUAUAACAGCUAACCUUUAUACAAACCAUCUAAUCAUAUUUUUUUUGUUGUACUUCAAUAGGAUAACCACAAAGUUGCCAAGUUCCGUAAGAAGCCAUUUCCUUUAUUUAACAGCUUGGAAUUAUUGUAUGAAGGUAAUGCUUUCAUCUUGUUGUUCAUUGCCUCUGUUCUUGUUUUAGUGCUAUGGUGUGGAUGGUGCUUUAGAGAGUCACUUCAUUGUAGAUUAUGUUCCUAGUUUGAACUCUCGCUAUUGUAGAUGCUAAGAUGUUGAUAUUGUUACCUUGAUUAUUUGUUUAAUAGGAAGUGUGGCCACAGGGGAUUUAAAUUUUACAUCAAUUCAGCCACCACCACAAAGAACUGAACCCACUCCCCAUAACAGUGAGCUGCCAACUGAACCCACUCCCCAAACAAGUAUCUCAGAGCAAAGCAAUCAUAGCAUGGCAUCUAUUGAUAGAAAUCUACUCAGUUUUGGACUUGGUGGUGUAGAAAGCAUAGAAGUUCAAUCUGCUCCAGCUAGUCGUAAUUCAGAGGACCAAGAUGUUACCGGUGGAAAGAAACGCAAACAAAGUCAGAUGGCUGCAAAACUUGGGGAUUACAUUGACUUUAGAAAGGAUCAAAUUGGAAAAACUCUAGAAAAGUUAGAAGAGAAGAGAAAACGUGAAGAAGACUACUCAAUUGAGAAAUGUAUUGACAUUGUGGAUGCCAUGGAAGGGCUAUCGGAUGAACAAAAAGCUGAUGCAAAUGAAGUUUUCCAAAGUGAAACAAACAGAAAAAUAUUAGUGGGCACAAAAAACCCAAAUGUUCGGCUGAUUUGGUUGAAGAAAAAGAUUGCUCAGGUAUGCUCCCUUUCCCUUUGCUCAGGUGUGUUUGUUGGAUUAGGCUAUUUGAGUCUGAUAAGUUAAUCUGGUCUUUCAUCAACAAAUUUAUAGGAGUGUGGCCAUUAUAUAUUACUGUAAGUUGCCACUUCUCCUAUUGCCUAGUUGUGCCAGAUCUUUGAUUUGAGUUCUAGCAUGGUUGUGUCUGCUACCUGCUUUCUGUAAACCAGUAGUAUGCAUGCAUAGUAAUUUUUAAGUUGUGUUACUUGGCUUACAAAUAAUACUAUAUUGGAUCAUUGCUUCCUGUUUUACGAGCAUCAGUUCUUUCCAUGUCCAGUCCUGCUAGUUUCACAUUCCAACCGACUGGCCUUGCUAGUUUCUAGUCACAGUUUCACAUUCCAGCCAGCCGACCUGCACGACGUAGCAGUUUUUCAUGACAAGUUGGGGUUGGUACUUGAGUCCACGAAAUCUAGGGGUGAAGUCAAGUGUCAACUUUGUUGCUGCACAAGUUUGUUGGCUUCAUGCUAGUGCGUGGAGAAAAUAGGCAUGGUUAGUAGGAUGUUGUCUAGUCCAUUUACCAUUUCUGUUACCGUCUUAUGUGUGAUUUGGGCACAAGCCAAACUAGAUUAAGCAGACAACUUAGGAAGCUUGUGAAAUAUAAAAUGCUUACCAAAUCAUGAUAAAUUCAUACUGUACAAUUUUAGGAGAUCAGACUAAAAUUGUUUAUUGUUUACAACUUUUCAAUGCUGACUGUUGUUUAUUUUUUUUCAGAAUCAGUGAACAGUGAAUGGUGGAAGAAUAUGAAUAGGAGAAAGCAUGUUGGAGGGAAAGUCCUUGGCUUAUUUUACUAGCUAAAUCUCUUAUACAAUAAUUAGAUUAUGUGGCCACAGUUGAGUUGAAAGCACUAUAGUUAAUUAAGUAGAUGCUUAAAACAUGCAAAGAGCAUCUGUUCAUUUAGUCCAGCUGGAUGCGAAUGUAAUUUGGUGAUUGAUGUUGCUUGUUGACCUUGUAGGCAUGUUACGGAUUUUAUUUAUCAAGUUGCUAUUUUUUAUUUUCUGAUUUCCCCUCUAAUUUUUAGGUAUUUUUGGAGGUAUUUUUGGAGGUAUUUUUAGAAAAGAGAUGCUGUUACCUUAGUACCUUAGGACUACUACUGCAUGCCAUGUAUUACAUGUACUGUUUGUAUUUUGUAUUUUUUUCAUGAAAUUAUUCCCUCCCGCUGUGGUGUGGAAAGGGGAAGGGGCAGCUCUGCCAUGCGUCAGGUUCUCCAAACAGCACUGCUAGGAAGGGGGCAGCACUGCCACUGGAGGAGGGGGAUUUCAAAAUCCAAAAUAAAUACCCCGUAGGGUCAUUCUUCCCAGGGUUAAUUAACCUGAGCUUCCAAAGUGACCCUAAAUGGGAGCGAGAGGGUGGCCUGUCGGUAGCCGUCGCCACCCUGGUCGGUCAAGUAGUUAUAGGGCCAGCGUUGGUCAAAUUCAAGUUUGUUCGAUAACCUGGUCAACUCUUAGCAUCUUGAAAAAAAAACUGUAGAGUCUUGAGCAUGGUCUGCUUUGUUAAAACUCGGAAGGCUAUAGCUCAAUUGAGAGUGACAUGAGUGAAGCUUCCAACUCAUUAGUCACUGCUGCACAACGAGGUACAGCCUAAAGAUGGGUCAAAUCAGGCAGAUGGCAGCGUGAACCGAAGAGUCAGCUAAAUUCUCCAUCUCCAACUUACGAAGGUAGUAAAAUGCUGCAGUUGUCAGUUCAUCCUCAAGCGCAGAUUGUCACCGUCUCUAUUAACUGUACAACUACAACCAUUGACCUGCGGCAUAUGCGGUAUCAUUUUGCAUGGCUUCUCUGUGAACCCUGACGAAUGGCAAAGUACUUUCUCAAACCAGAAUGGAGCUCCAUCAAGCCAGAACAUGGGCAUGCAGUAAAGUAUCAUCUUCUUCUAAUGGAGUUCCCACAACAUAAUAAAACAGAAUAAACGGGGCACACUGUUACACGGCGAUGGAACCAUCAACACUCUAUGAUGGACUAAUCUGCCAGGGGUAGCAAAAAGUACAAAAAAGAAGUCCCAAUCUCACUGUCUAGCCUCGUGAAAUAACCGAUCAAGUUUCUUUUACAGCCUGCUUGCUUCUCCGUUGGUGCACAUCCCAGUUGAAUACCCGUGCAAUUGUAACCUGAUAAAGAUAUCAUUCCACGGCACAGGUAUGAGAUCAAGAAAAUAUCAUUGCCGAAUCCCACAAGACUGUUUAAGUCAUAACCGUUUUACCUGAGUGAUGGUUUGCUGGUCUCUCAAGAACUGAAGAUCGGCAACAAGGACUUCUAAGCUAGCCUUGGCAUUUUCCAAGUUCUUUUUCAAGAGGGCAUUGGCCUGCAAAAUUUCAGGAAAUGAGAGGGUCACACUAAAACAACAGUGGUUAUGGAAAUAAGGAUGAUUAAAGUAACCUCAUCGCAGGAGUAUUCCAGCAUCACAUUUGCACCCAACCACAGGCACACAGAGUCGGUAUCUUCAAUUUUUGCACGCGAGUAUAUCCCCUCGGAUAGUUCGAAAUCAGCUACAAGUGCCUGCAUCAAUUAGUUGGAAGCCACAUAUAGUUAACUUUCACUCAUAUGGUUAUCUACAGAUACAACUCCCAGCCUGCACUUUAAGCAUUGUUGAGCUUUAAAGAAGCUAAGAAACCCACUGCUCAAUUCCCAAACAAUGUGCUUGCAGAUUUAAGGAUUUGAUUAUCUUGAAAAAACAGCUUACACAGUUGCCAGUGGAUAAAUUUGUGGUAUGGUGCCAGCAUAUAAAAACUAUGGUGCAGGUAUACAAACUUUCCAAACUUAACACUCUUGGUUGUUUUAACUGAGAACACAAUAAUCUCCUGUUCUUUCGAUGAUUAUGCUUAGAGCAUUUUAUCCAGCAUAAACUCUCAGCAGGCAUUUAGAUGAUCAUACUCCAUAUCUAGCAUAUAAGAAGUUAUUAGCCAAUAAGAAGUUUGCAGAAGAAAUAAACGAUAGAAUUCUUGUCAUGCGACAUGCAAAUGUUUGCAGAUAGUAAUCUUCAACACAAACUAUACAUAAAAAAAUUGUAGUCACAGUACAAGAUCUAAAAUUUCAAGGCAACAUAACACAAUUCACAAAUAUCAAGUAUCCCAUGGACCACAAAUCUGUACAUUUUAUUAGGCUAAAGUGCUAUAGCAUAACCUUCAACAACAAAGUCAUCAUGAUAGUCGAUACAAAUGUAAAAGUUGAUCCAGAGUUCUAGAAAAUUAUACAAACCUCACCCAAAGCCUUCUUAGCCUGUAGUGCUGCAACAAUGUCCAAGCAUUUCUCUAUAUCAGGAAUUUUCGCCUGUGGCAACAGAAUGGAAGGCAAAUAUGUUACAUAUUCUAACAGAGUACCCAGCACUGAAAAACUGCUAAUAUAAGUACUAGCUAGAGGAUAGCUGUGCUAUAAAACAUGGUACCAUGAAUGAGAAUCUGAACUUUAGUAAUAAAAAAAUCAAACGUUUAAGAGAAAGUACUGUGAUAAAACCAGGUCAUACUUCCAUUCAUAGUGCAGUAGUAAUGUUAAAGUAACUGUAACUACUAAAUUUACUAAUCAUGAAACCUAAAUUAUACUUUAUAUAAGCAUGCCUCCAUAACAAAACUAAGAAACAAAAGGUAUGAGCACCUGAAGAUCUCUUUGUUGUGCUAGAAGCUUCAUCUCCACUAUUUUGUACUGCUGUAGCCUAAAAAGGAAGGUGAUCCAUGAGUUACAUUGCUUCUCAAAAUAAAGCAUAACAAAGUAAGAAGUCAUUAAGUGUCCGCACACAUAUAACAAUUUGCGAGUUUGCCAGAUAUUUUUAAACAAGGAAAUUCUCAUGAAUUAACUCAAUCAAGUCUGAAUGAGUGCCCCUAAGGUUUCUCCCAAUGAAAUUACAACUUUCAAAAGGAAAAAUCUUCAGCGUGGUUACUCAGCUUUAUGCCAAAGUUUGGUGGACAAAGCAGCUUACAUGGGAUGUUUAUAUGCUCACACGCUAACAAGUCACACAAAUCUCUAGGCAAACACAGUUAGUUACUGUUGUGGGCAGGUAAGUAUGAUUUUGGGUUGAAUCCAAAAACUAGGUCCAUUUGCAACCCCCAAAACGUUUAUCUAACUAACUUGGUUCAUGCAAAUGGCAAGGAGGUCAGAUUCAGUGUCAAUGUCAUGGUGUUUCAUGCCAAAAGAAACUCCAACCAUGACUAUAUUGUGCACAGAUGUACACAUUGCUGAAAGUCCAAUAAGGUGGCUUCAGACUCUUUUUGCAUCUCCUAGCACAUCAUGUUCUUGUCUGAUGCCCCAUGAUGGACAUGAGCUCAGCACAGGCGAAAUAAAAAAGUUAUGGGCGACCAGACUAGGACAGGGUAAACAAAUAGAGGAUGGCCAUACCAAAGACCUUAUUAUCCUAGCUUGUCAUUUACCUUUAAUGUUGAGCAAACUUCAAGUGGAAGCACAUAUAACCAGCAAUGUAGUGAAUAGAUGAUAUAGCAUGGUUGAACAGCUGGACUCCAACUGACUAGAUCAUGCAAACUGUUUGCAACAUAUAGUAUCCACGAAGAAGGAAGCAGUCUAAAAGAGUAUUAAUCUAGAAUGGUAUGCUUAUGUAAGAAUGAAUUUAUUUGUAGAAAAAGGAUAAAUGGACAUUAACUAUGCCUAAUGGACUUAUAUAUCCUAACUAUCGUUUCCGUGCAACUGUGCAAACACACAAAUUUUCACUAUGAGAGUUGAACCACCAUGGGAAUGAACUAUUAGCAUACUGGAACAGAACAUAAACCUUCCUAACAUUGACCAGACAGCUGAAAGUAGAACUGAAUUAGGUAUUCACGCUCAAUAUUUUCAUCGGUGAGUACUAACUAAGAAGGAAACCGAAAUCGAAAUGUCAAUAUAACCAUAUAGGCCUCUGGCUGAAAGUACUGCCAUAAUAAGAUAAUAAAGCUGGAAGUUUCUUCUUCCUUUUCUAUAUUGUGCAAACCAAGAGUGUCAUCAGCAUUCAGCACGAAUGGAUGACCUUUAGCAACAGAGCACCUUCACAGUACACCAAAAUCAAAAUCGUUGCACAAUUAAUUCAGCAAACAAAUUGGCAAGCUUGCCGAGAUCCGAGCAAAGGAUCAGCUUAUGAAUCCAGAAGCACCGCCAAAACCCCCCGCGGUACUAUCCCUAAACGAAGCUCCCAGUUCGUCAGAUCACCCAAAAAGUGGGGAGCGUACCCACCUCCACUCCUACAAGGGAGAGAAGGCGGCUAGGAUCCAAACGAAGCGGACAGCUUCUCUCAAGCUACGCGCGCGAAGAACACGCGGAGAGGUCGACGAUCCAUGGAUCGUAGCCAAGCAGGCUGUCCGCCCUGAUACGACGACGCGAAACCUCCGGUACGAAGACGCGGUUCCCGGAUCAAGCGCGCUCCAUAGCAGGCCGAGAUCCCUAGGCUACUAAACUACUUAUUCACGGCGCAGGCAAAGGGGGGAGUGGAGGGGCAGGGUUACCUUUCCUGGAGGAAGGCGAGGGCGGAGUUCACGUCGAGGCCGGCCUGGCGGAGGUAGGCCUCGACGUCCUCGACGAAGGCCGCCGCCGGGAUUCCCCGCCGCUCAGCCACCCCCUGCGGCGUCGAUGCCGCCGCCGCCGCCGCCGCUGCCAUGAAGGGAGAGAGGGAGGAAGACAAGGCCCAGGCGGAGUAGAGAGCGAGAGAGAGGGGGAGUAGAGGAAUAGAGGGAGAGGCAGCGAAAUCAAAAGCCCAAAGUGGACCGACCACGUUUGGGCUCUUGGCCCAUUCUGACGAAACGUAUGGCGGCUGGUUUCGCGGCCCAAAACAACGGGAAAUCUAGUGGGCCGCCCCAUUUGAUUCCGAGACGGAAACGGGCCUGCUGGCUAUAUGUUACCGCCUGCAGGGGGAGGGAGAGGGGAGAGAGAGAAAGGCCUCUGCCUCUUCCAGAGGAUGUUUGCCUCUUUCACAGGGUGUUUGAAUAUGAGAUGCUAAACUUUAGGAAAGUCACAUCGAAUCGAAUGCUAAUUAGAAGGACUAAACAUGAUCUAAUUAUAAAAUUAACUGCAGAACCCCUAUACUAAUUCGUGAGACGAAUCUAUUAAGCCUAAUUAAUCCAUCAUUAGCAAAUGGUUACUGUAGCACCACAUUGUCAAAUCAUGGACUAAUUAGGCUUAAUAGAUUCAUCUCGCGAAUUAGACUCCAUCUGUGCAAUGGGUUUUAUAAUUAAUCUAUAUUUAAUACUCCUAAUUAGUAUCCAAACAUCCGAUGUGACGGGUACUAAACUUUAGGAGGUGUAUCCAAACACCCCUAGGACGAAAUCGAGCGCAAGGAAGAUCCGAAGAAGGCGGCGAUGGCGAAGGUGCUCCGUGGGGUGCAUUCCGGAUCCUCCUCUCGGCUUUUGAUCCGGCCGUCUUCCGACGCAUGGCGCAGGAGGUCGUCGCCUAGGGAUCGUCUCCGGCCGCCCCCGCAGCGGGCAUGGGUCGUCUGAUGCACACGGUCCAUCCCCUCUCUCCUUGACUGCUUGAUGUGUUCUCUUCAUUUUCUACUCAGGUUAGGGUUAUACAAGAUUGAUUGUGAGAGAGCGUAAGGCUUAUGGUGUCCGGAUCUGAACUGGAGGGACUUCUUGCUAUGCUCUCUUCAUUUUCUGUUCUGAUUAGGGUUAGAGAAGGUUGCUUGUUAGAGGCGUUAGCUUUAGCUGAUGGUUGCUGAAUUCGAACGAGUUUGCCAACCACAUCAAUAAGAGGCGGCCUGCUGAUUGUGGAAGGGAACACAUUGCCAAAUCAUAGCUGAUUUAACUAAUUAUUACUCCCUCCGUCUCCCAAAUUAGAUUACUGGCUAUAAACUUAGCGGUGCACACUAUUAAAGUUUAACAUCUGUCACAUCGGAUUUUUGAAUGCUAAUUAGGAGUAUUAAACAUAGGUUAAUUACAAAAACUAAUUGUACAGAUGGAGUAUAAUUCGCGAGAUGAAUCUAUUAAGCCUAAUUAGUCCAUGAUUUGACAAUGUGGUGCUACAGUAACCAUUUGCUAAUGAUGGAUUAAUUAGGCUUAAUAGAUUCAUCUCGCGAAUUAGCACAAGGUUCUGCAAUUAGUUUUAUAAUUAACUCAUGUUUAGUCCUCCUAAUUAGCAUCCGAACAUCCGAUGUGACACUGUUAAAGUUUAGCACCUCGUAUCCAAACACCCCCUAUAAGAGUAUAAACUUAUAAGAGUAUAUUUGAUUAAAUCUACUUAUAUUGCAAAAAUAAAAAAUUGUUGAGUAAAUUAUUGGUAAAAAAUGGUGAGGGGUAAGGGUCCCACUGACCAAGAUACUGGUUGGUCAUGACAAGUGGACCCACCCGAUCACGCCGUGCGUGCCAAGGCAUAAAGAUACGUGAAGCACAAGUCCGGAGGCUGGGCCAACCGAUUCUGCCCGGAUAUUACAUGAUACUUGUUGUAGUCCGACUCAAAUUGCUUUCCAUGUAACAACCGACUAGGAUUAGAUCCUAUCCGAUUCGUAACAGUAGGUCAUCAGCCUAUACGGGGGAGUUAGGGACACCCCCUGAGGGUAACGCACAUCGACCCUUCACAUCCCAUACCAGCAAUACAAUCCACUAAAACACAGCACGUAGGGUAUUACUCUUCGAAGGUCCGAACCUGUCUAAAUCUUGCGCCCCUGUGUUACCAUUCGAGUUCUUGGUCUUACGAUCUCUCCAUCCUACAAAUCUAUCACCUGGGUAACCCCUGGUGGACUGCAGGUCACUAAAUCUGGCAGUUGGUCUGAACCUUGAUAUGCGUGUGCGCCUUGUAAACAGAAAUGGAGGGAGUACUCUUUAGUGUUGGUGCUAGUGCUUUGUAUGAGAUGGUCCAUGUGCUUGGAUUUUGCUCUGACUCGAAUAUCCGUGCUUAAACUGAACUAAUUGUUGGGUGCCAAGUUGCCUUUCGGGAGGCAAGCUCUCUCUCAACAAGGAUCGUGAGGAUGGAGCAGUGAGUACCUCAUGCACAUUACACUUCAAUAGUUGUAUAUAUGCUAAUAUGCAAGGUUUGAAAAGGCGAUAGGCGCUGUCUAGGUAGUGACCCUCCGCCUCGCCUAGCCGUUUCCUAGGCGUUACAAUACAUAUACGUAUACCUUAAAAGAAAAAGAAAACAGAGGACAUCAUUGGUCUAGAGUUGAAUGGAAAGGCAUGUUAAAGCAUCUCAAGCCCAAGUCUGAACAUCACCGCAUCCCUAGCAUCCCAGUCCCGAAUAAAUUGCAUGGGGACGGUCCCCAGUUGUUUCUCGGUGAGGACCUCCUCCCAUCAGGUGCCGCGUGGCCCAGACGGUGAUUUGACGUGUCCGACGCUCGCUCGCACAGGUGCUGCCUCGUUUGGAAAUUGCAUCGUGUGCCUAGACCUAUGAGUCGCCUCAUUGGCAGAAGCCCUUCUCGCUCGCCCCAUGCGGUCCGUCACCGCUGUUGCAUCCUCCAUCAUCCACCGCCGCAUCCCUUGCGUGCCGCCGAUGCUGCCACCAUUUUCCGACAUCGUAGCCUCAUCUGCCGACAUAGUUGUCUCAUUCAAGGCCACGCAGUCGGUGUCCGCCAUCGUCCCUCUCAUGUAUCUAAGGUUCAAUUUUUCUUUUGUUUACAUAAUUUUCUUGAAAUCGCUUCCUUCCCUUAAGACCUUAACAAUAUGUUAAAUGAUUUGGACCUGAGCAUCGCAGUCGUAUCAACAGUCAUGGAAGAAGGAGGCCACGAAGAUAGCAGUAUGCACUUCACCAUAGGAGAAGCCUCCCCACAUAUCGCAGCUGCAAUGGCGGUAGGAAGCCAGGAGAAGGACAGCAUUCUUGACUCAUCACUUUAUGAUGUCAUCUGUGCCUGCCUUAGCAUACAACAUAAUGCAGCCAACACGGGUAUUUUUUUUUCACAUUCUUUGAUCAUCAUAAGUUUUCACGUUCUUUGAUCAUCAUGAGUUUUCACGUAUGUGCUAGAUUGCAUAGAACUACUCCGGCAAUGACAUCAGAGUUUGUUGCAUGAUACCUGAACAAAUAGCAGAUGAAGCACAAGAUAAGGUAACUAAAUUAUAAAUAAUUUAUUUAAUUGAGAGCAUAAUAUUUCGUAUUGUGGUAAGUCACAUUAAUUCUCAACUUAAUGUACAACAGAUGGCUGAUGAAGUUGUGCAACCUAUGAUCGUUCCUGAAGUUGGAAUGACUUUUGAAUUAGAGGACAAAGCUUAUGAGAUGUACAACACCUAUGGUGGUAAGAUUGGGUUUAGUAUUAGAAAAAGCCAUACACAGCGACGAUGAGACAGGAUUCUAUGUCAGAAAUAUUUGGUUUGCAGUAAUGAAGAUCAUCGAGAAACUGAGUCAUCAAGGGACACUACAAGGAUGGAUUGCGAUGCUCGUGUUCAGUUUAGUAUCAGUAAAGAGGGGAUUUGGACAGUGCAAAAGGUUGUGCUUGAUCACAAGCAUUACCUUGCUAGUCCAAAUAAAAGGGGAAGCUGAGGUCCCAACGAAGUGUUCAAGAAGCGGAUAGGAAGCUAAUUGGGCAGAUGAGGGAAUCCGGGAUGAAGCCAUCCUAGGUUUUUGAGUUUAUGAAGGAGUUUUAUGGAGGAGCCAACAAAGUGCCAUUCUCACGGAUGGAUUGCAACAAUGAGAUUGGUCGUGGGUGCAAGAAGUACUUAGAAUCUAAUGACGCAGAAACACUAUUGGAAUACUUGAAGCGUAAGCAGAUAGAGGAUCCAAUAUUUUUUUAUGCCAUGCAAAUAGACAAGAAAGACGGUUGGUUAGCUAAUUUCUUUUGGGCAGAUGGCUGAUUUAUCAUGGAUUACGCAUGCUUUGGUGAUGCUGUGUCAUUUGACAUCACGUUUCAGACUAAUAAGUUUGAAAUGCCUUUUGCUCCAUUCCUCGGAACCAACCAUCACAAGCAGACUAUCAUUUUUGGGGCUGCAUUGUUGUUUAACGAGACUAUACCAUCAUUUGUUUGGCUCUUUGAAACCUUUCUAGUAGCAAUGUCAAGCAAAUAUCCUAGCAUAAUCUUCACUGAUCAAGAUGCGGUCAUGCUAGAAGCAAUUGCUUAUGUAUUUCCAAACAUAAGUUAUCGCCUCUGUUUGUGGCAUAUUUACCUUAAUGCUGUUAAACAUCUCGACCAUGUAAUUCAAAAGCAUCCUGAGAAGUUUCUACCUGAUUUUAAGAGAUGUGUCUAUGAAGACAAAUUAGAGUUUUACUUCAAAAAGAAGUGGGAUGAAUUAUUACAUAAGUACAACCUUGAGAACAACAAAUGGAUGGAAAACCUAUAUGAUUUGAGGACAAAAUGGGUUGCUGUGUAUCGUGACUCAUUUACAGCUGAUAUGAACUCAACCCAAAGGGGCGAAGGUAUGAAUAAUAUAUUCAAGAAAAGAUUUCAUAGAAAAUUGGGUCUUUCGGAACCCCUUGAAGAAUGUGAGAAGGUUUCCAAUAGUUUUCAUAAUAAUAAGUUGGAUGAAGAUUUUAACUCACGUCGAAAGAGUCCAGUUACUCAUAUUUCUCUAUUGAAGACCACAACUGAGUCAUAUAUAGGGAGGAUGUAUAAAGAGCUUGAGGAAGAAUUUAACAAACAAUUUUGAUUAAGUUGUUGUAAAUUGGAGGGUCAAUUUUGACAUAUACGGUUAUGCAUAUGCAUUCUGAUUAUGGAGCAACUAUCAUAUUCAACAAAGCAGAUAGUACCGUUACAUGUGCUUGCAGGAAGUACAAAUCCAUAGGUACGUAUAUAUACAAAUUUGAAAAUGCAAUAAUACAACAUCUAAUACAAAUUGAUGAAACAUGGCAUCCAUGUCUGAUAGGUAUAUUGUGCAAGCAUGCCUUCAAAGUCUUCAACGUGAACGAUGUUUUCAUUUUGCCUUCGCAAUAUAUACUGCACAAAUGGACAAAAUAUGCAAAGAGAGGAUUUUAUAUUCAGAAACAAGGAUUUGAGGAGGAAAGUUUUAAAACGCAUGCCGCACGUAUCUCACGGAAGGCAACAUCUAUUGCAUUGAAGUGUUCAAAGUCAAAAGAACUUCUUGAUCUUUUGAAGAAAGCCAUGGAUAAGUUGGAUUUUGGAUGCAGAUAAUUCUCUAAGCCAAAUGGAAGAACAACCCAAUGAGUCUCCUCUUGUUUCAGCUGAAUUCGCAACAAAUACAUUUAAAGGUACAAUAUCGUUUAGAGUUCCUGAGGUGGUAAAAGGUGCAAAGAGUAAAUGAGGGACCAUCUCCCUUGAAAAGAACACAGGCAAGAAGAAGAAAAGUGCUAAAAAGAAAGGUAUUGAUUGUAACCAAUUCUAACAUUAUUGUUUUAUUCUAUGCUUGUAUUAUUAACUUUGACUAUAGGAGAAGAAUCAAAGAAUGUAGCGAAAAAUAGUUAUGAAGGUGCUGGUCCAUAUAAAUUUAUUGUAAGACUUUUAACUUCGAUUGCAUUUAUUUUUCAUAUUUAUUUGCUCACAUACUAUUUUUAUGAACACUUUCAUAUUCUAUGACGGACCUAAAUGAUGGUAGCAUUGAUGCUAACAGUACACCACACUUCAAUAUGCAUGGGAAUUUUUCUGUCAUGAGCAUUCCAUAUAUUAGAGGAGGAUACACAAGUCUCUUACUUGGGGUUGAUCAGGCUGCUACAAUGCAGCUGUCUGCUAGAAAAUUGAACUUUGAUGUACCGACAAAUAAAGAAAUACAGCAAAAGUUUAUUUUCAUUGAUGCUUAUUUUUCACUAAGAUUUGGUGAUUGGGACAUGUGACUUAUCUAUAUUGUUUUAAAAGAACCAGCUAUUUAUGGGAUCAUAUAAUUUAUUUUUUUCAUAUUACCAUAUUGCACUCUGUUCUGCUAUCAUUUUUUUUAUACCACAUAAGAGGAUUACUGAACUAGAUUCACACAUUAAGACAGUAUAUAUUUUUUCCAACAUAUCCAAAUGAGGCAUGCGUGUUUAUAUUUUGCAACAAGUUGGAGAUCAUUUUUUUAACAUAGCCAUCACAUUGAUCAUGUCAAACCAUCUACAUAUCACUACGCAGAUCCUACAUGGACACUUGAUCUUGUCUGAAAAAAUCUCUGUACAUCUGUAAUUACUACAAAGAACAAACUACAACAUCAAACAUUUACAUUCCGAACUGCUCCAAGUACUUGACUUCCAACCUACAUCCCCAACACUACUCAGAGCUGACGAGAAGAAAAUCAGCUCCAAGAAGAGAAAUGUGAUUAAAAAACGACAGAACCUUAGUAAUAUUGGACUCCCAUAUUAGAAGCAUUAUGAUUGUAACAUAAACCGUGGCCAUUAUCAUCACUCCAAGCUCCGCUAUAGCUGUUCAAGAUGGAACUGUGUCAGAGCAACAGAAACUAAGCAUAAUUAAUAUCGGUGAAAAUAAAACUACUUGCAUCAAAAACAUAUUCAAUAGAUUAUUCUUACCAUAUGCAUUGCCAACAUCAUAUACGCUUCUGAACAAAACAAUGAAGCCCAAGCAGGAAACCAGCAGGAACCAGUUUACAACAGGAAUGUAGAUUUUAGCCAUAAAUUUUCGAGAUGUAUGAACAAUUUUCAGCCGAGGAAAACAACCAAGUGCUAUAGACUGCUUUAGGCACUGGAAUAUAGCAACAGUCAUUGUCCUACUGGCAAUCAGUGCAGCCAAAUUCGCCAAUAAGAAAACAGGCCAGAAAACUCCACCUGUAAUAGAAGACGGAGGAAAACGGGGCGAGCGAGAAGGGCUUCUGCCAAUGAGGCGACUCGUGGGCCUAGGCGCGCGCGACGCAAUUUCCAAGCGAGCCAGCGCCUGUGCGCCUGUGCGAGCGAGCAUCAGAUGCAUCGGAUCACCAUCUGGGCCACGCGACACCCGAUGGGAGAGGGUCCUCACCGAGAAACAACUGGGGACCGUCCCCACACAAUUUAUUUCCCCCAGUCCCACCUUAUCCAUUCGUGAGCACGCGCCCUCCCACACCCUGACGGUCCCGACUUGCUCAUCGGUCGCUGCCGCCCGACCUCCCCACCUCCCCCUGUGCUGCCUCCUCCGCCUUCGCCCCCUGUCUCCGCCUGCUUCGCCGCCGCCCGACGUCCUGCUGGCCCCAUCCCCGCUUCCUCGACCGCCGUCCUUGCCUCGCCUCCCUCAGGAGUCCACACUUGGGUGAAUCUACAUGUAGCGGCCACAGGGGAUGUCAUAUCCGCCCGUCUCUAGCUGCGGAUGAGGGGGCGCUGCCUAGGGUGCCGCCUACCCCCUAGGCGAGGCGGUACCCUGCCGCCCAGCGCAUAAGCGCGUCUAGGCGAGCGCGAAAUAGCGCCUUUUGUAACACUACUAAUGUGGGUGCAAAAUUCAUCAAGUUCAUACCUUCUUUUAUGUCUGACUUAAAAAUUCAUCAAGUUCUUACCUUUUUAUGCCUGACUUAACCAGCCGCUACCAGUGGCCGUCCAGUUACUGUAUAACUGUAAUGUACACUGAUCUAACAAACCUUUUCUCAUUCUUGCGUAGGUUCAGCAGCAGGAGGUCGUACAUGGGUGGUGAUCAUGGACCUGACCCGUUUAGUGUUUUCUACAUGCUUGGCGCCGUGUCACUGGGUAUUGCACUCCCGAACAGCAAGAUCUGGAAGCGUAUCAAGGGGGAGUAGGCGUGGGCUGUGCCUAUUCUGUUGAUGAUAAAUAUGGUUGUGUGUGGCAGCGGUCGCUUGCCUUGUCAAGUUAAGCACCGGCUGCUUUAACUUGUUUAUUUUGUAUGUGGCACACUGAAGAGUUGCCGUACUGUAUCAGCCUGAUGAUAAAAAUGGAUGCUUAAGGUAGCGGUCACUAUGCUGCCUAAUGCUCAAAGCCUGUUCUCUUGCCUUGUCAAGAUAAGCACUGGCCCUUUUUUUACUUCCUGUUUUGAGUGCGCCAGUGCUACGCUUGAGACCUGAUCACAUCUGCUUUUUAUGCUUGGCAUUGGCCAUGCAGUAUCUUCCUGUAAUUUUUGGCGCACAUUCAUGCUGGGUAGUUUAUCGUCCACUCCUAUCUCGCUCCCCUUUACCCAACUCUGGCAGCUGGCAUGCCCUUGUCCAGUUGUCCAUGCCCAACGAUCACAUCCAUUGCCGGCCGUCGUCCUUUAUUUAAUUUGAUUCACCUGUCUUUUGGAGUAAAGAGUAACAUAUCUGAUACCUAAUCUUUUUUCCAAUGUGCAACUUGAUAGCAAUGGCACAUAAACCAUCAAAUAGGAACCGUGGAUCAGUAUGGACCUUAUAUUGAUAAUAAAUAAACCACAAGGCAAUUACUUAUUAAGCUAUGGGUGUCGUGUUGAACCAAAGAUUAGUUCUAUGUUUCUGACUUUAGUUUGGAAGUUUGGGCACAAGACUAUGGCAAUAUUGCUAUGUUAUAUCAUCGGUUAUGUCAUAUGUAAUAUGUUUGGAUAGAUCUCGUUGCAUGAUAGUGGAAAACUUGCAUAGUUUUCAUACAAUGAGAAAAAAAUAUCAUAUAGAAGAUGAAAAAACAGCACCAAUAAUGACCUUUGAAGAGCCACGAGGAACCUUCACUCAAAAUGGAUAUGAACAUUGUGUUGUAAGAGGAGUGCUUUGUAAUAAUUUAGAUGUCAUUAUAGAAAUUUCUUCAAAACUAUAAGCUUGAGCGGUUGCAGACUAACUUCUAUAAUGCUGAAUUUUCUUUCAAAAAUAAGCCAUAAACCAUUUCCCUCAUAAAUAAAUCAAGGCUAAAUUGUUGAUCCAAAAUUCAGAUGCAAUAAUUGAGCUCUACAUCCAUCCUAAAAGCCAUUGACUUGCAGUUGCAGUUGUCCAGUCAAUAAAUGUUUAUGUAUCAGAAAUCAUCUGACAGAAAAAAAUGAUUUAAAAUUUGAUUUUUGGAUUAAAUUUUUUGUUGUGGACUACUUUUGCAGAUAUAAUCAUAAUAAAGUAAACAAUAUGUUCAUACAUUGGAAGUGGAGGGAGAGGGAACUGGCCACAUCAGGUUACUGAAGACUGGAUAAUAAAUUGCUACGGCUAGAACUAUUUUUUGAAGUGCACCUUGCAAUUUUGAGAAGAGUUAUUUUCUUUUUCUGUCAUGACCCAAUCUUCAUCCAUUUAAACUUCAAGUCACAAACUUGAGAGUGAUAUGACUGAAUGCUUGGAACAAAAUUUGGAGUUGCAGCAACAUCGCAACCGAGAAGAAGAAAGAAAACAAUUGCUUAUUUAAAUCUUCAAAUUUCCAUUUCAUCGAGCAAGCUUGCAGGCAGUCGGAAAGAUUUUUGUCUCCUUCGUGCUUGUCACUGUCUCAUCUGGAAUUUGAUGGAUCCAUGUCACCGCUGAUUAUCAAGCAGGGAAGCUGAAGUAAAAGACACCAGCGGUGACCAUAAGGCCCAACCGUGCAAUACGUAUUUAGUGUGAGACUGUCGUGUGGGACCUACGUGGCCGUGAGCGUGUUUGGCCAUCGGCUGUAACUGAAAGAAGAAUGCGUUCUGAAGUUCUGAACUUUAGGUGAGCAAGGUGUUUUUCCUUCGUGCCUGAGGCCCUGAGAUCAUCUUGUGUACCCUGUCAUCUCGCCGAACAAGUCCUUUCCAGAAAAACUUAGUAAACAAAAAAACUAUUAAUAAAGAGAAAUAUGUAGCUGUUGGCGCAGAAUUCGGGCCAACACACGAGAUUUGCUAGAUGCACGGAUCGCAGCGGAUCAGCACCACGAACACCUCCUACACAGACCAGUCCGACCGGUCUAGGAAGCCAGUUUGAUCGGAUUCCUAGAAGCUGCCACGGUGACCUACGAACACCUGCUCGGGGAGGGACUCCGGCAGGACCGGUACAUAUAUAGUAUUGCUUUAGGGUCGGCAGGUCACCUAAAACGUCCUCAGUCGUCGUGGAGAUGAAGGAAGAACAAUAAGAUGAGAUUGGAAAAGCUAGGGCAAAAGAAUAAAGGAAAAAUGAUAAAAUAGUAGAUUGGUUUUGUGUUUGAUUGAUUGGAUGUCCUCGAUCAGUCGUGGACCUUUAUAUUUUAUAGGAAGGGGAGAUCUUGCCUCAUUAGAGUCGAAAUCCUAACAAAUCCCGAGUCAAAAUACAACUUCUAACUCGGACUAUACAUACCAAACCGGUAUGACCGCUCUGGCAAACCGGUCUGACUGGCUUUCCUGGGUACAUAUCUUCCCGAGGUCAUAACUCUCAUCCGAACUCCAAAUCGGACGUUCUACGUAUGCAUUUUGAUCUACUCAACGAGAGCUACACAAUGGUGAAGUCCUAUUUACAUUUUAGAGACUUUGGUUAGACCGGUUUAGUGACCAAUCUGUCCAGAUCCUGCCAAUUUUGAAAAAAAAAAUAACUUUGUUACUGGGUGGGAAAUUUAUUUUGGGUUAAGAAUUUAAAACCAUCAACUUCAUUUUCCCUCAAAUACGAAAGCCAAAUUGAUUUACAUGCCAAGCCUCUACUUAUGCUAUGAUGUAAGUACUAGUGUUUUUGUUUAGUCGAUUAAAAUGCCGCGGCGCACCACCGGUUUUCAGGUUGCUGGCAGUAUUUUCGUUUUUCCCGAAACAUGCCUCGCCCGCUCGACGAGUCGAGCUAAGCGUCGAUUGCCAGGUGAGCUCCAAGGCCCGACCCUCUACGGGGUCGACAUCUGGCCUCUGCCCAGUGGCGCUCAACUAGACGCGUUCCUCAGGCCUUGCCGCCUCCGCCGCGGGGGCGGGCUCCCAGCCUCACCACCUGGCCCGGCGCGGCAAUCGAUUGCGCCGCGGCGGCCCCUCCGUGGUGCAUUGCCUCUGCUCCGGCACCAGAUGGACACCGCGACGAGCUCAAGCGCCUCCGCCUCCCAAAUCGCUGCUCCCCCAAGCUGCGGCCUGCGGGACUCCCCCGCGGCGUGCCUCCAGGUGGCCGGGGCACCGCGGCCAGCGAGGUCGGCGGCGGCACUCACGGCCACCGCAUCCGGGUCGUUGCCGCUGGCGCGUCAAUGGCGGGGAGGAGGCGGUCCAGUUACUCCUCGAUUGCCGCAUCCGCGAGCCGCGGCGGCGACGUUGCAAUGACCCUGCUGCCGGCCAUUGCCGAUGUUUCGCGUGUAUACACUGACUCGGUGCCCGCUCGAUGCAAUGCCUCGGAGGAACAGAGUACCUCAGAAUGCCUUCGGUUGAUGUAAGUCCUCUCAAAUCGCUCUACAAUGAUUCAGAUAACUUGUCGACCAAGAUGUUUGCCAAAGGAGAGGGAAAUGACAGGUGCAUUUAGCCAAAUGUAAUAAAUGAUUGUAGUACCUAGCCAUGUUAAUUGGGUUGGGUUUAUUGGUUUUAAUGGUUUGGUUUAUAUAAUAAGAUCAUUUCAAUUGGUUUAUAAUGAGUUGGCCUGCUAGAUGGUUUGGUUUGGUUUGGGUUUUACAAAUAAAUAGUUUGGAAGGUGUUUGGGGUGUGUGGUAUUAUUUUUGGAUCUAAAAGACUCUCAACCCGUGGGUUGAGACCCAUUAAGAACCCAAAAGCCUGGAGCCUCAUCUAUCAAGAGUCGGACCCUAAAAAUAAAACCUCGCGUUCACACCUUAAAAUUUUGGAUAAAUUGAUCGAAACUUGUUACAGAUGAAUUAGUUUAACAGUCCGCUACUGUAUGCAAAGUAGUACGGCUGGACUUAUAUGUGGAGCCCGCGUCAAGAGUCGGACCCUAAAACUAAAACCUCGUGUUCACACCUUAAAAUUUUGGAUGAAUUGACCGAAACUUGUUGCAGAUGAAUUAGCUUGACAGUCCGCUACUUUGUGCAAAGUAGUAUGGCUAGACUUACAUGUGGGCCCCACGUUGAGAGUCACAUACAAACUCAAAAAAAAAGUUAACUAGGGUUUUUAUUGGGUACCUAAUGGGUUCUUAUUGGGUUGUAACCAUAUUUGGCAAGUAAUUUGUAUAACUUAUGCAAUGGUAAGUUUGGGGUGGUGUGGUGUGUGAUAGUGGAGGUUUGGUUUAGGGUGGGUUAUAUUUAUUUUCUUAUGAGAAUAGAUUGGUGUGGUUACAACAUGGGUUACAACCCAAUUAACAGGGUACCUAGCCAUCCAGCAAAACAAUUAUUAUUUCUCUAAUAAACAUACAUGUACGUACUCCAAACAUUAAGCCAUUUUCUUCUUUACUUAUACUUUCAAAGUUAAUUUCCAGAGGUACUUUACCCUAUUUCAGUUACCCAGUGGAUUAACAGAAAGAGGGUAUUAUUAUUUGUUUUCUUAUUUUUUGGGCGGUGUACGCAAAUCCAGCUUUCAAAAAGUCACAUUUACAUGUACUUGCUUGCGAAUUGUUCUGUUGUUUAGUUCUUUGAUGCACAAUAGAAGUUCUCUAUGUUCCAUUCUUUGUGUGGAUAAAUAAUUUGCAAAUAAAAAGUCACUCUUUUAUGAGGAAACCGUACAUUUCUGUAUGAUGCGACACAUCUGUUCGAUGAGUAGCUCAAUCACAUUUAGCUAUGUACUAUUACAGUAACCAUGCAUAGAUUGAUUUUGUACUUACCCUUUGCAUGCCAUUUAUGCAGCAUGUUCUAUCAAUCAUUUAACUACCUCUUUUUUUAUAAAAAAAAUUGUGCCAAUUACAACAGCACUGUGUAGUUGCAAUCAAGUACCCACGAUUACCUAUAAUGUCAAACAUGUAGUAGCUAAUCUUAGCAGUGAGUUCUCUGUUUGCAAUGCUUGUUUAGUCUCUACGGUGUUGUUGAAAAUGCAUACAAAAUUAGGGAGGGACGUAAUAAACAUGUUAUUUGGAAUAUUCACAACUCUUCGAUUUUUUGCAAGCAAUGGCAUGUUAUUUCACAACUAAGUAGAGACUUCAUUAUCGUACCAUCACAUGUGCUUUCAUGAGUUAUGCAUCUAACAUGUGAUACAAUUGUAACAGUUUGACGGUAUAGCUUAAUUGGUUUCCUUCAAAUUUUCGUUAGUUAUGCAUCUAACAUGCUUGUUAAUUGGUUUUUCAAAUUUCACAGAGCAGUAUUCAAUUGACCUUUGCUGUGAUGGACAAACUGAGGAGAGAUAAGCCAGAGGCAGGUCAGUCUACUUUUAGGAUUUGCUGUCAGUUCAAGCGUCAUUCAGAGUCCAUAGUUGUUGAGCUUUGGUUCUGUUCUCCUUUCCUAAUGUAAGAAAAUUUGAUUUGAUCUAACGUUUUAAUGUUUUGAUUUACUUACUUGCAGUUGUCCGUGCUCCUACCAAAGGUAACUCCUCUCUUUCCACGCCAUCACUGCUCUGCAUUGUUUAUCGUAGGUCCAUUUCUACUUUUCCUUCUUCUGUUUUGCAUCAUCACAUCCUUCUGACCUUGGUGUUAGGGCAUUCAUUUAUACCAGGGAUGAAGUGUAGUUGGCACAUGGUACCAGAUUGUUCUGUAUGAAAUUUCUUCUUAGCCUUGUUUAUAUCUUAAAGUAUGAAAUAACCAAACAUCUAUUGACUGAACUGGAGGGGGGUGGGGAUCUGAUUUUUAGCCGCUACAGAGUAUAGGGAGAGGGUGUGGGUCUAGCAGUCGAGGAGUUCUCAGGCACACCAGAACCCAGUUUCUACAAAGAAAAUAUGCAAACAACAGAUUCAGUUAUCAUUCAGUUUACAUAAUCAGUUCAGCGACUUCUUGGAUUCAGUUAACUUACUAGGACAGAAUGGAAGACCUCAAGUGAGUAAAACUUACCCUAAGUUCAGCAAUUGCUCUCUUGGUUCGUGCCAGAAUAUUUUUUUUAGAACUGACAGGCGCCUCGCCCUGCCCCAUUUUAUAGAAAACAAGGCAUGACAGCUGUUUUUGUUUAGGCGUUUACAUGCUCGUCGAUAGAAGCCAGAGCAGUGUACUACCUAGUAGCCUACAGCACCAGACAGAGCACAGCCCGCACAGCAGCUCAGAGAAGUCUGAAAUACAGAGAACUGGGCAAAAAGAAAAGAUUAACUACUCUCUUGAUCCCGUCUUCAUGUUGUUCCUCUUAGGAGUUCAGCGUUGUAGUCUCCAGGGGGGGGGGGGGGGGGGGGGGGGGGGGUUCAUUUUUCCCCCUGCACUGCCCAGCUUGAACUUCUUCAGGGAGCCUCGAUUGCCAAGGGGGUCUUGAGGACUUCCUCCAAAGAGUUGCACCAUUUGUUUAUAACUUCCAGCAGGGUCCCCUUGAACAUUGGCUUCCAAAUCAUCAUACAUUUCCACAUCCUUCGUAGCACUGUCUUUAUAUCCACCCAUACCUGUCCAUGAAAGAUCAUGUCGUUACGCGCUAGCCAAAGACCCCAGCAAACUCCCGCAGAGGUGCUGUUGAUUAUAUCAUAUUUUUUGCCACAUAACCAUUUGCUAGCCAUGUCUGAGUAACUUUUAAUCCAGAUAUUAGUGAAAGCAUUAACAAACUUCCAGAUCUUUUUGGCAACUACACACUCAAAGAACAGAUGUAGAACGGUUUCAUUCUCAUCACAGAAUUGGCAAUUCAACGGUUUCGAUAUGUUUCUUUUCAGAAGGUUGUCAGUUGUCAUCAAUUUAUUGUGUGACAGAAGCCAAAGAAAGACCUGAACUCUAGGAGGAGUAUGCACCUUCCAUACUGAAGGGACAUAGACAGGCCUAACGCCCCUGAAGCUAAUCACUGAGUAAAGGGAUUGGGAAGGAUAGACUCCUUUACUGUCAUACUGCCAGACCAAAGCAUCCCCCUCCUCAUUGUAAUUCACCCCAGUGACAAUCUCUUCCAACUCGUACCAUCUAUGCAUUAGAUACUCAGAGAAGUUUCUCCUAAAGUUCAGUUUUAUAUCCACUCCAUCCCAAACCUCAGCCAGCGUCACACCUAUUUGGUUGCAAAUACAGAAGAGAUCCCAGAACUGCACCGCCAAUGGCGCAGUUCCAAACCAAGUGUCCUCCCAAAAACCGUAUCUUGGUUCCAUCUCCCACCUUCCAUCUAUACCCAAACUUUAGCGCUUUUGCUGCCCACAUCACACCCUUCCAAAAGGUAGAUGAUUGUGAGUGUGGGAGACAAGAUAUUUGUCGCGUUCCUAACAUACUUCUGUUUUAUGAUGUUGUGCCAGAUUUUAUCCUCCCCCAUUAUGAACCUUUUUACCCAUGACCCCAACAGGGACAGGUUAAGGUUUUUCAGGUCAGGGACCCCCAGCCCCCCAUCCUAUUUUCUCAUACUGACCAUUUGCCAAUUUGCCAGGUGUAUUUUGCCGUGACCCUCAUAAUCAUUCCAGAGACAGUUUUGCCAUGUGGGAAUUAAUAAUAUCUAGAGCCCAUUUAGGAAAUUUAAAGGACAUAAGGUACACCGGAAUACUAGCUAGGCAAGUUUUGAUUAAAAUUAGCCUCCCAGCAUAGGACAGGAGCUUCCCCCUCCAGCCCGCAAUUCUUUUGACAAUUUUAUCUACUAGUGGUUGCAAAUCCUCUCUUCUAAGCUUCUCGUAGUGCAAAGGGAUCCCUAAAUAUUUUAUGGGAAAAGCCCCCACAGGGCAGCCGAAGAGCCUCCUAAAAUUCUCUAAUUCUUGGUCUUCCAUAUUCAUAGGGAUAAUUUCACUUUUGUUAUAAUAAUCCUCAUACCUGACAUAAGCUCGAAGCAGGUGAGGAUCCACUUAAUGUUGUUAGCUUUUUCCAGAUUAUUUUCUAAGAAAAGAAUGGUGUCGUCCGCGUAUUGCAAACUCAUCACCCCAUUAGGACUAAACUCCACCCCCAAACCUCUGAUCAUACCAUGAUCAGCAGCUUUUUGCAUCAUUUUGGUUAGAACAUCCACAACUAAGUUGAAAAGAAUGGGAGAGAGGGUCUCCUGCCUAAGCCCUUUCCCUGUUUCAAAAUAGUUUCCUUCUGCAUUAUUUAUUUGGACUCCAACAGAGCCAUUAUAUAGGAUUUUCCUAAUCCAAAGUAACCAUCACCCCCCAAAACCUCUUUUGUUUAGUAUGUCCAUGAGAAAAUCCCAGUUCACUUUGUCAUAUGCCUUUUCAUAGUCUAGUUUCAAAACUACACCAGCCUCCCCCUUUUGGUGCACACUAUGGACAAUUUCAUGAGCAGUGACAACACUCUCCAAAAUAUACCUCCCUUUGAUAAAAGCCGUUUGAUUACUACUGAUCAGCCUAUCCACUACCAGAUUAAUCCUGUUAGUGAGCACCUUAGUAAAGAUUUUGUAACUGCAAUUCAGAAGACUAAUAAGCCUGAAUUUGUUCAUAGUACAAGCGUCAUUUUCUUUUGGAAUCAAAGUUAGCCACGAAGUUUCGGAAAAUAUCAAGAUUACCAUGGUAAAAGUCAGUGAAAAGAUCCAGCAGAUCUUGUUGUAGGGCUCCCCAGAAGUGUUGAUAGAACAUAAAAGACAGACCAUCCGGCCCUGGAGCCCCAUCAGAGUACGACUCAAAAACUGCUUUUUUAAUUUCUUCUUCAGUAAAAGGCGCCUCCAGCACCUGAUUUUCUUGGUCUGUUACUUUGGUCUCCUCACUAAAGAAGUUUUCAUUAACACCUAUAUCUGCCCUAUCCUCAUGUUUAAAAAGAUUUUUAUAGUAGUCAAUCGCAAUUUUUUGUAUUUCUGCAGUGCUAGUGGCAAUCCCCUCGGGGCCUUCGAUAGCCUGAAUCAAAGUUUUCCUUCUUCUUUGGUUGGCUACAGUCUGGAAGUACCUAGUAUUCCUAUCUCCCUCCCUAAUUUCUUUCUCCCUAGAUCUUUGUCUAGCUUUUGUUUCCUCCAUGGUCCAGAUUCUAUUCAAAUCCAUCAUAAUGUUACUCAUCCUAUUUACUUGUGAUUGGUCAAGGUUUUGGCUUUCAGCUAGUCUAUCCAGAGUGUCAUAUUCUCUUAGGAGCUCAUGUUUCUUUCUUCUAUUGGCAGCUUCUACAUUAAUGCUCCAACCUUUAACUUUCCUCCUAAAAGCCCUGAUUUUCUUUUGCCAUCUAUCAAUAUUGCUAUCACCAUUCAUCGGUGUGCUCCAGAAAUUCUCUACCAUACUUUUGAAAUCAGCAUGCUGGAGCCACCAUUUUUCAAAUCUGAAUCUAGGUUUUGGAAUCGAUUGACCUUCACCAGAAUCCCACAGAAUCGGUGUAUGGUCACUAGGAUUCCUGGGAAGAGCACUACAGGUAGCCAGAGGUGCUCCUCAGAAUAUCCAGACCCCUUUUCAGAUCUUCCUGGGCCUAGCUCCUCAGCCCUUUGUGCAUUCUCCUUUGAGUUGCUGUAGUACUGGCCUGACACGGCUAUGAGAGCUCCUCCGGUCAGCCCAAACAUCAUGAGGAUGACGUUGUUGAGAAAUUUCAUUUUCCUCUUGAGAUGUUGGGUAGUUGCGUUCAACUCUGUAAUCAUCUUUAUGCAUUCUCACAUAAUCAAACAAUCGUAAAUUUGUGACCAAAAUUGUGAAAGAACAUUUGAUAGAAGAAAACAAUAUAGAACAAUUCAAACCUCAUGGGUCAUGUCAGGGGUUCCUCCAUUGCUCAUGAACCUCUGAAAUCAAGCAAAUUGAUUAAUACUAAUAUGUACACACUAAUGCCACUUAGUUAGAAAUAAGAACAAAUUCUUGAACACACAUAAGGUCUUGGUAAUUGCUGCGUUCCACAUAGUUCUAUCUAGAAUGUGGGACACAAUAGUUCUUAAGGAUUUUCUGAUUUCUUAAUGGUUGCAGGCUAGGAAUUCGAAUGAAAGUUCAACUAAAACAAGGGAACAAUUCUCAGGUUGCAAGGAAAUUAUGAUCCAUACAAGAUAAAGAGACAUGUAGAAACUAUGCCAAUACAUCAAAGUGAACAGAUGAAACUGUAAUCUCCAAAAAGGCUCUAAAUCACAAUCUGUAGUACAGUAUUAAAAUAAUAAAUACUUAACAUGGUAAGUGAUAUGUUGAAGAAACAAACAUAAUGGAUCAACAAUUUCACGGUAAAAAGAUAGAUAUGCCAUGUAGUGCGCAGCUCAUAACACAAAGCUCUAUUCAUAGACAGUGAAGAAGCCUAAAUCAGAUAACUUUUAAAUUCAUUAAGUGGAGAACAAAAAUUAAUCCAAUCGAUGAUCAAAUCAACAAAGAAAUGCAUGGUCUCAAGAUAAGAAUAAUUAAAGAUAGUUGUACACAUAAGAAAGCAUCUGCAAUUGACAAGUUGGAAAUGGAACAAACCCAGGUCUACUAUCAAAAACAACAAUAAAAGUACCACACAGUAUUUUGGAAUGUCUAUUAGAUAGCAGACUACACCAGCGUACUGCACAGAAUUUUGGAAUGUCUAGUAAUAAACAAAUUAGAUUGCAGACUACACAAUCACACAGAGGCACUUACACAAUAAGCAAUGAACUUAUGGAAACAUAUUACAAGUCAAAAGACUGUAAACAAUGAAAUAAUACAGCAACAACUGAACAACAUAUACAAACAGUGCAACCAAAGGAUAGAACCAAUAGAGGUGUUGCAUGUAUUGUACAAAUUACCACUGCAAACAUAAGAGAUCUUCAGCGACAAUUGCAAUUAGCUAGUAUCUAAAAGACCCCAGUUAAAGGUCAAGAAACUCAUAACAACAUAUUAUGACCUCAAAACAUACUGAGUUAGGUGUUCUGAGUAGCAAGCACCAGCAAAGCUCAAUUUUACAGAUUUUGACAAGGCAAAACACCAACCACACAGUUACCCUGAAGGAGAAUAGUUGAAAUAAGAUUACUAACAGAGCAAAACCCUUGCUAUACAAAAGAGAUUGCAGGGAGGUAGUGAGCAGAGAACAUGCAACCAAACAACACAUACGAAACAGCAGAUCCAAACAAGGGGUCUGGAAAUGUAGGGUCAAUCGAAAACACAGUAUCUGCACAGAUACGCAAAAUUCGCUGAGUUUUAUUAAAUCACCUUAAUAGUCACAGGCAAAACUACAUUUUUUAAAAACUGUAAACAUUUCGACAGUUCAAUUUUGAUCUAUCCAGCACAUUAACAGCAUUACAACAAUAAACUGGCUAGGUUGGUGUCUGUUUUCAAAAUGGUAGCUGAGAAAUGAGAUGACAUCUACACCAAUAGGCUAGGCUAACUAGCAGACAUGCAACACUAUCACCUAGUAUCUAAAUUAGCGCAAAAGACCUAGGCUUGACUAACAAAUUUGAAAAAUUUCAGGAGUUCGAGUUUUAUUCAGUAAAUUAACAGUUAGAAACUGAAAUAUCUUUUCUUGGCAAACCAAGCCCCAAAAUUUAAGAUAUUGUUAAUUGCUGAAUUCCCCUUGUUCUUUCUACCAUUUGUGGUUCACAGAAGUGAGUUUUCAGAUUUAUUACUGAAACUAAAACACAGAGCAGACGAGUUGAACUGUUAAAGUGAAGCUUUUGGCUAGAAACCAGACUAAGAAUUAACACAGAUGCGCUGCUACUUUUUCUUCCCACAAAAGACCAAAUUUAAGAUAUUGUUAAUUGCUGCGUGCCCCCUUGUUCCAAAAUUUCAAUCAGCGGUAAGAUAGAGAGCUGGAAAGGGGUGGGGUAUCAGCAGUAAUCUCACCUUGAACCUUAAAGGAGAUCCAGCCCUCAGAUUGUGGAGCCAUGAAGAGCAAACCCUCCCCUGCCCCUGCUGGAACAGCCCUCCGAGCUCCAGAACGCAGGAUGGAGUCAAGGCUGGGCGGAUCCCACACCCUUCCCACGACAAAAUGUAUAUGAAAAAAGAGCAGGAUCCUUUAGGUGGGUAUUGAAAUACUGCAACAUUUCUUAAAAGCACCCUAUAGAAUUUAAUUUAGGUGGUGAAUCAACUCCAGACGUUCUUUUUUCCUUAGAAUUUUCCUUAUAGAAGGUUCAAAGAAAAGUAUGUUAUCUUAGCAAAUCGCAUUUCCAAUCCGGUUUCCCUAUUUUUUCUUAUUAAUCUCCCAUCCUCCCCUUUCGUGUUUUCAUCUCCUGCCAACAUCUACAGUACGCACCGCCGGACACCGCCCAUUCAAUUCCACCGACGCCGCAACAGUGGCGCCGCACGACAACCAGGCACCCUUGCCGCUUCAACUAGUUCCACCAAGCGAUUUUGUGUCGCCACUACGGAUUCAUAACCGACAAGACAUUUGACACCUAGUUAGCACUAGGACUUGUUUGGUUGCUGCCAGGCAGCACCAUCUGAACUUAGAACUCAAAAUCUAACAGCCUCAGGUGCACUCCUGUUGACACCUCUAUUUUUGGAACGAGAUCCUUUGCCUUUGAUCCCUCUACUUUUGAGUCAAUCCCAUGGGAGCCCAAAUGCGAGGGUCCAAGGCUCAAAGUUAGAGGAACCUGGAACCUCUUCCCUGUGUUUGUUCCUGCAAGCAAACCUAUUUUGACACUUGUUCUCUUCAGCCCAAAUUCAUGGUCACUCCUUUUGGGUUUGCAAGUUUCAAAAGCUCAUAAUUCCACAAUUGUAUUGGAAGUUUUAAAAGGUCAGGAUUUCUCAAUUGUGUGUGUGUAUGUAUUUUAUUUGCUUUACCCAUUUAGUUUGUUUUGAUUAUAUCUACGACAUUUCUCAUUCUAUGUUUUCACAAAAAAAAAAAGGAUAUUUACCAUGCGACAAGGCAUAACCCACAACUUAACAAAAUUUGGUAGCAUUGCGAUCCAAAUAAACAAAACCCGAACCUAUCAUGCCCUGACUAUGGUCAAGCUAAAAUUUGGUGGAGCUAGCUAGCCAUUUUUUGAUGGGAUUCAGCGUCAAGCACCCUGAUGGAAAGUACAUACUUGAUUUGAUGGGCGAUGGUGUUCCAUGUACACUUUGAACCAAAAAAGCGCUGAAAUUCAUAAAAGCCAGAGCGUACCUUUGGCAUCUGCAAAACAAAAUGGUAAGCAUCUUGCAAUUCUCUACCAGAUGGAAAUGAAAAGAGAAAGGCCAACAUUUAGUUAUUAGGACUACGAGGUAACGAAAUGUAGUGUUGGAAGAAAAAAAAUAAUUACAACAAAUCUCUAGCAAGAUUAAGGCGAGCUAAAGAAUAAAUGCCUAAAAGCACGAGCUGUAUACAUGUGUAGAUAAAUUAUUUUGUUUUAUGUUUUGGGCUUAGCACGUGCAGAUGCGAAAAUUCGUGCAGUGCGCACGAGCAUUCGGCUGAACUUGCAAGGGUCUCGACUAGUAGGGCAUAGAGUUGGAAAUCCCUUAACAAGGGACAUUUAACAAGGGAUAUUUAAGGGGAUAUUCCCUCUUCGCAGAUGAUGUAGUACUAGUUGAUAAAACUCGAGUAGGAGUAAAUAGGAAAUUGGAGUUGUCGUGGGAGAUCCUAGAGUCAAAAGGUUUUAGAUUCAGCAGAAGUAAAACUGAAUAUAUGAGAUGUGAUUUUGACACUACUACAUAUGAGGAGGGAGAUGUCAGUUUGGAAAGUCAAGUAGUGCUCAGGAAGGAUACAUUUCGAUAUUUGGGAUCAAUGCUACAACGAGAUGGGGAUAUUGAUGAAGAUGUUAGUCAUAGAAUCAAAGUAGGAUCGAUGAAGUGGCGCCAAGCAUCAGGAAUUUUAUAUGACAAGAGGGUACCAUUAAAGUUAAAAGGCAAAUUUUAUAGGAUGGCGAUUAGACAUGCAAUCAUGUAUGGUGCAGAAUGUUGGCCUACAAAAAGACGACAUGUCCAGCAGAUAAGUGUUGCGGAAAUGCGUAUGCGAAAGAAGGGAUCAAGUUCGGAAUGAGGAUGUACCUGAUAGGUUAGGGGUAGCACUAAUUGAAAAAAAAGCUUAUUCAACACCGGUUGAGAUGGUUUGAACAUGUCCAACGAAGCCUUCGGAGGUACCGGUACGUAGUGGAACCCUAAGACGUGAUACUAAUGUGAAGAGAGGCAGAGGAAGACCAAAAUUGAUAUGAGAAGAGGCAAUAAAAGGAGAUUUUAAGGGAUGGAAUAUAUUCAAAGAUUUAGCUCUGGAUGGGAGUGCUCGAAAAACGGCUAUUCAUAUGCUCGAACCCUGAUUUGUAGCUCUUAUUGUGUUUCAACUUUAGCCUACGCCAACUUACUUGGGACUGAAAGGCUAUGUUGCGAUUGUAAUCAGAUACAGCAGCAUUUCUCAGCUUAUCAAAUGAUGACAAAAAUGCAGCGUGGUCAUACAAACCGUGCCAAGAACCAUAUGAAACAGGGCGCAAAUAUAGUGUAAUCGGCACAUGAAAUUUAGAAAUCGAAGGCACCAACCAAACCCGACGCUAAGAGUCUCAGACCAGCAAAACACGGCUGAUGCAAGGCCGACAACGGCAGCCGGCAGAUGAUGCGAUACAAAAAAAAAAUGCUGAUCUUACAACUUCGGUUUCAGUUCCCUCAUGAUCACAAUCGACCACAUGUAUACACCACUGUUGUCAGCGCAAUCUACACAGCAUGUUCUUGCCACAAAUUCAAGCCCGGAUCAGAUGUUAAAUGCGCGUCGCCACGAAUCAGAACCCAAGACUCCAACCAGCCCGAGCUCAGUCACUAACCUAACCUUGCUGUCAGAACUCAGGAAUUACAGCCACAAUUGCCCUGGGGGGUGAACUCGACAAAAUAGAAGGCACCUCAUCUGUACAACAAAUUCCCAGCCUUAGCUGUCCCAGGGAGCAAAACCAUACAGGAGGUCUCAAACCCUUCUCGAGAUCUGACAUGCCUCUGCGGCACUGCCGGUGAAAAUACCGUCUCGCCCGAUCGCUUACUUGCUUUAGCAAGUGACCGACUGGGAGUUGCGAUAUUCACUCCUCGAGGCUGUUCUUUGCAUUCCGCUGCUGGAUGGCAUAAUGUCUCUGCAGCUCUCGGAGCCUCUCCAUAAGGUCUUGAAAUGAUGGGCGCUGCUGUGGGUCGCUGCUCACAGAAAGGGCAAAUGAUCAGGAAUAUGCAAAUGUUACAAAAUACAGAACUAUAAAUUACUUCUAGAGUAAAUUUCAAAAAUCUGCAAGUAUUUUGACAUAGGUUGCAGAAACCUACUCAGAAAUGCAGAGAACUACAGAGACUGGGGCCUAACGCUUCACAUUUCCUAAAAGCAGUAAAGAAAGAAAGGAAAAACAGUAAGUACCUUUCCCAACAGCUUAGGAUAAUUGAUGACCAUUGUGGAUCCACAUCACUCGGAAUAUCCAAUCUUUGGUUCAUGAAACCAACUGCACCAAUGACCUAUGUAAGAAACAAACCCUUGAGAGUUAGUAUCCAGGAACUUGUCAAAUAUAUGAAGAAAAAUAAGCAGCCCAGAAAGAUCAACAUGGUAAAGGUGUGCUCUGCAAAAAUAUUAUCAGUAAAAGUGCUGUCAGGCCACAAUAGAUCUAUUGCUGGAAUAAAAAAAAAGAUUACAAGCUUUUGGUGGGGUUGGUAAUUCUAAUUCCCAUGUGGCCAAUUAAAAACUAGCAGUCAAAGUGUACUAUUCUCCUAAUUGAUAUGUUUAGAUUUUUUUUAAAGCUGCUACAAUAAAUAAUGAUCUUGAGUUCACAAUAUCAUAGUCGCAAUUUGUCACUACAUGUAUGGUCAAAAUCAAACAAAAUUUAACAAAAACAGAAUUAUCUAACAAGAAUAUACCUGCAUAGAGUUCAGAUUUUCCCAGGGUAUCUUCUGUGUAACAAGUUCCCACAAGAUCACCCCAUAGCUAUACACAUCAGACCUACAUUAGCACCAUGAAAAGAUAUUACUGAACUCAUAUCCAGAGGUGAUAAGAGGAACAUCUGUUCAUAAAGAUUCUCCACAGCUUACUUCUCAUCUGAAGGUUCAUUUCGCAACACCUCUGGUGCCAUCCAUUGUGGCUGGAUAGGAAAGCAACAUCAGCGAGUUAAAGAGAAAACAACACAAGCAAAGCUUCGAACCAAUCACGUUAAUUGAUAUAUAAAGUACUUAAAUUAAGAUUGGUUGAACUUACUGUUCCUUUCCCAGUUUUUGUUGUCAGAAAAGUUUCACGCUUGAUACGUGAAAGACCAAAGUCCGCCACCUGAUUGACCUCAUGAAAUGAGAGGAGGCAAGCAGGAGAAUGUAAAAAAUUUGGAAAACAGAUAAAUUGUGAUGUACCUUCACAGUCCAGUUCUUAUCAACCAGAAGAUUAGAUGAUUUUAAAUCUCGAUGUAUGAUAGGUGGGCUGGAAUGGUGGAGAUAAUUCAUGCCCCUUGCCUGUAGAAACACAAAACACAGAACAAUAACUAGGGGAUUGAAGUAUACAUACAGAAAUAGUGUAGAACAUUUAACAAAAUUUUAUUUGCUAGGGGAUUGACAAGUCCCUUGCUCAAAAUAUGAAGCAUUAACUAGCUGAUCUAUGCACUGAAUCAUGUGGACAAUAGGCUCAUAAUAUAAAGAAAAUGCACUUACAAUAUCUAAAGCCAUGUGAACACGGCGUCUCACAUCCAACUUGGUACCACUCCUUUGAAGUAAGCGAAACAAGCUUCCCCUGCAUUUAACAAGGAUGAAAAUGGGAAAAGGAACCAAAAAUAAUAAUGUGCAAGUAAUCAUCAUAAGUUUGGGUAGGUGACACAAAGUGUUUAAAACAUGCAACCAAACCAAUCCAAGCAAAAAAGAACAAAAAAAAAUCAUUUAUCCACCUCAGCACCCAUGAAGAAUAUCUUCAAGCUUAGAUAUUAAUAGUUCUCCAUUUCACAUGUAUCCAGAUUAUCCACAAGUUUGACAAAAGUACAUCUACAGUAGUUUUCCAUAGAACGAGAAGCAUCUUACUACAUGAUCCCACUUAAAUGUAUAUUUUACUCGAUAGACCACUUCCAACAACAAAGGCAUAUCAAUGAUUUCUCCGCUUAAACCAUGCCAAGAACUUCUGACUUUCAGUUUGCUAUAUCUUAUGCAGCUAUUAUUGUAGUAGUCAAACAAUUUAUGAUUCAAUCAGAUGUAAACAAACUGCUGAGCUCAAUUUCAUGAACAUGAGCAACAGUGAGGAAAUACCACAUGAUAAGAACUUGAAAAGGUUAGUAGACAUACCGAGGGAGGAACUCUGUUACGAUACAGAGGCGUUGUGGAGAUGUAACCGCACCCAUGAAGAGCAGUAUGUUAGGAUGACGCAGUUUCUUCAUGAGGGAUACCUUCACAUAUGAAUGACAUCAGUACAAUUAACAAUCCAAACUUUGAAAUGAAAGUCACAAGAUCUCAAGUUAACAAAAGGCUUCAUUAACACUUCCAGAAUCAGCUCUAAAGAAAGUAAAUGAAGAUUUGUCAGCGUCACAUUUUUAUGUUUGUUAUUUCAAAAAAAACAUUCUACAUUAAUAUAUUUGUUGACAAUGGAAAUGGUAGGUUUUGCAGGAACCCUGAAAUAGAAAAUACAAAUUGUUUUUUUUACAAGUUUGUCUGAAGUCUGAACCAUCCCAAACUAUGACUUUUUGAUCAAACUAAUCCAUUGACACACAACGGUUCAUGGGCAAAAGGUGAGUUGUUUGGGUCCUGGAGGAUUGACAGGGAGAACUGAAAUAAUUAUGACACUAAUCGGGUUCAUAACUUAAUAAUACUCUGCAGCUAGAGGAUGAGCUGCAUGUCCUAUUGCCAUAAGCUGUAUGGUAGCUGUAGCUGGGGAUGGGUAUCUACCUCUUGUCGAAAGGUCUGUAUCAGUUCUUCUGAAUAUUCUUGCUUGGAAAAAACUUUAACAGCCACAUCCUGCUAGAAACAUGUCAAAUAAGAUGAUGAAACUAAAAAAUAAAAGUAAAUUGAGAUUAGUAAUGCAUGGUUCAUGCAACAGCCAAGCAACAGAACAUACCGAACCAUACCACAAAGCAUGAUAUACUGUCCCACAAGAGCCUGCAAAUACACAAGUUAAAAGUACGAUGAUUAAAAGGUAUAUAAUAUAGCAGAAUGCAGCGUACACCUAAGUUUGCUUUUAGUAGGAUGCAUGUAAAACUUUAUUACUUAAUAUAAAAGAACCUAGAGUGGAGAAUAUUCCUAUAACCAUAAUAAAGAUCAUGCCAAGGCUUAUUUGGCAAAUCUAGAUCCUCGUGUAUAUAAAGUUUCAAGAGCAUCCAUGUUGGUGAUCAAAAUUCUCCCGAGGUUCAGAUCCUAAGAGCAAACACAUGUGCUUGGAGCAGGACGAACUUAGAAACUAGUAGCAACAUAACAAUUUGAAAUCUCGAUCCCAGAUUUCAAUGCAAAGCAGGCUAAGGCUCUAGCCCUGGGUAUCAUCAUGAGCACAUGGUUCACACUUCUGACAAAGUUAGAACCAAAUAGCGGCCAAACAGGGGCUAAAAUGGGUAUAUUCACAUCUCCAACUGUAGACCAUUCUAGCCCAGAUACAAGGGCUCUGGGGAAGGGAAAUUCUAGACAGCCUCACCCUUGCUUAACUUUGCAAGGAGACUGGUUUUAUCCCCUGGACCUCCAGACCACAAGUGUUGAGACUCUAACACUGUGCCAGGCCUGCCAUUUCUAUCUAGUCAUGAUAUCAUUUUUAAGAAGACAUAGAGAAUACAAAAACAAAUUUAGAGGAAAAGAAGCUACUCCGAAGUACAGACAUGCAGACAAUAGAACGAACCAAAUGCUGACAAAGAACACUAACAAAAUUACAUGAAAGAAAAAUGGAACUUUUUAUUUGGUACGAAAAAGAAAUAUGAAAUCAUGCAUAAACACAUCCAUAUGAUCAAGCAACCAUUAGUUAAAGGAGAAGCAACUACCUUGACCUAUUUGUUCUCCAAUGACGAGGUCUUCCCACAAGAUCUCAUAAUCCAGACAAUCCGCUUCAUGAUCUAUUUUGUAGAGAGCACUGCUAUUAGUGCUUCCAGUGCUGCUUGCACUGCUUGUGCUGUUAUUGUUGAAAGAGGACCAGGAACCCGAUGCCUCAUUUUUGCUAGGCUGGUUGUGUUCAGCGCCUUGGGCAUCUGGAGCUGUGCUAGAAUCAGAAACCUUCUGAUGAUUCGGGCCAUUCUCUUGGUCACCAUGCGUCCAUGGUAAUGUCACAUGAUUUCUUUCAUCAGGUCCCUCAUUCUCCCGCCCUUUCCAAGGCCAUGAUAUCCCUUUCUUGUUCAGCAGGGCCUCUGCCUUUGAACUCAAAAUCUUGUGUAACCCUACUUUUCCUUCACCUGAUUCAUCACUGUUUGGGUUGGUUGAUUGCCCAGGCGAGUGCUCUUCCGUAGAAAAGAGGCCACGUGGUGCAUCCCCUCUUGGCGUAGUUGUUCCACUAGACGUCGGUUCUUCCUUGGCACCACGAUCAGAGCACUGACUCUCACCACUGCCACCUUCCCGUUCUAUGCCAUUCUCAUCUGCCCUGACCCGAGAACGAACUUUAUUUGUGACCUUGGUAGCCUGUGUUGUGAUUCUAAAAAUCAAAAAGGAAUAUGCUAGCAACAAACAAGAAUAUAUACUAAAAACAGAUCAGAUUUGAUGCCUACACAAGUUCCUCUGCAGAUAUCGUUCUAGAAUUUACAAAACAACCAAGGCAACAUCUACAGAUGACCGUACACCCCCAUUUAAAGUCCUCAUUAAGUAACUAUUGUUAUUGAGAUGGUGUGAAAUUAUAUGAUGUCUGGUAAAUGACCUUUGGAGUAGAAAUGGACCAUUGAAAGAAAAGUCUAUCAACUUGCAAAAUUGCAAUGUUUUUAACAACAUAUUAUUACAAGCUAGAAUGCUAUGUAUUUGAAAAAAGUAGUGCUAUAUCUACAACUUCUGUUUAAUAGAAAAACAGAGCUUACCAAAUUUGUUAUCUUAGACGCUAAAGUGCUUUGCAGGGGUUGCUGAGGAUCAAAAGGACUUCUGUUCAACAAAUUGGUUUUGCGACCACUGUUGCUGCAACUCCCAUCACAAGAUGCCCUAGACGAUUCUGGUUGGGGCCUUGCAGGGGUUGGAGGCCUACAAAAUAUCUGCUCCAAGUGGCGGGAAUCACUUGAAACGCAAAUGAUACCCACCAAACUCCCAUCCUCAUCGUAGAAAGGUGUGUUGGUGGCAACAGCUGAAAAUCUAUCUCCUUCCUUGUUCUUAACUGGAAACUUCCCAGUCCAACUUUCACCCAUAGAAAUACGUCGGAAGAUGUCAUUUACCACAUUGUGGUCACGGGAAUCAACCAGAAGCAUGAGGGCAUCCUGACCAAGGGCUUCAGAUGCAGGAUAGCCAAACAGAUUUUCCGCAGACCGAUUCCUGUAGCAGUAAAUGACAGAAUUUGGUGAAAAGGGAAGCACUAACAAGAACAAAAUGGGAUUAAAUUAAGAAAACUUGUGCAGAACCAGUUGUGCUUUGUAGUGCAGUUUAGAAGCACGCACACUUAUCAAACUAAGUUGUUUGUCUGAUUAAAGACAAAGAAGCAGCAUUUCAAAUUUUACAAAUGAUAAAUAGACUGCCAUGGAGCAAACUGCAUAUUCUGUCAAUAUUUAAAUUUAAAUAAGCAACGCAAGUCAAAAAAAUCAACUACCAUUCUACCAACAGAGUGCAUUUUGUGACUUAAUGCUGACCCUCAAGCAACGAACAGUAACAAGAUGUUUAAUGAAGGCAGAACUUCACAGUACUCAUCACCAGAACCAGCUAGAGUCUAUGAAUCCCAUCUAGUAUUCAAUUACCGUGCCUUAGCACAGAUGAUAAGUAACCCUAAUAUCCUUACAGAGUUAGGGUUCUAUGUGCACCAACAGUGUAACAGAGUGUCACCCACACUAUCCCACUGUAACCACUAUUUCUAACCAGUAUCACAUGCUAUGCUAGAUAAAAAUGAUACACAGAGAUUGCUAGUGCCCGAACACAUUUCAUUUAGGUUGCAAUGUCACUUACUCACUUCGUUUCAGGCGCUAGAAUCAAAAUAUCUGACCAGCAUGACCAUUGGAUUUCCUCAAACGUUGUCAAGCUUAUAGGUUGCAGGCAAGCAAAUCAAGAAACACUGAAGAACCAGAAAUCUAACCAGUAUAUGAUCCUUCCAUCGAGGUCGAGAAUGUGGACGGACUGCCCCAGCGACUGCAGCACCCUGGAGUACUGCCUCUCAGGCAACCUAGCGCUGGUGCUGGCGUCUCCGGCGCUAGUGGCGCGGCCCUCGCGCUGCAGCGGUGACGAGUGCGGGAACGAAUUCGAUCCCCGGGCCCACGCCCGUUGACCGCCCUCGAACCCCCCGGACAGCCGCCUCCCCGGCGGCUUCCCCUUGUAAUGCGUCGGCGGCGGGGGCACCGGCGCGCCGCGCUGCGGCGAGACUGACUGCGAGCGCCGCCGCUCCGCGACGCCGGGUAUGAGCAUGGACAUCUCCUGCUUGAGCUGCGCCUGCCCAACCUCCAGCUUCCGGAUCUUCUUCAGGAGCUCCUCCCCACUGGACUCCAUCCCCGCCGGCGCCGGCGCCGGCGUCCUUGAAACUGCUGAGGCCGACUCGUCCUCAAACCGAGCCAACCGCCGGCAUCACCGCCCUCCCGAGCGCCCUAGAGUUGCCGCCGCCGCCGCCGCGUCCGCCUCGCCUUCUCCAGACGGCCCCUCGGAGCUCGAAAGGUCGCUCCUUUCUCCGCUCCCGAGGCAGAUUCGACAGCAGAUGGAGCAGAAACUGCGCGCUCUCCGAUUCUCCGAGAUCUCCAGCAGCGAUUUCCCGGACAGGAACCGGCUGAAUCGAGGGAAAAAUACGAUCUUUUCUGGGGAGCAGUUCUAUCUCCCUCACAAGUCACACACACGCAUCCAGAUGGAGAUUGAAUAAAAUAAUAUCAAUAAUAAUGGGGAGAAUAAAUGGUAGAGAGAGAGAGAAAAUAUAUAUAGGAUAUGGAGGGAAAUGGUGACUUGGUGAGUUGUUCUUGAGUGUUCUCCUCCUGUGAUUGGUCAGCUUGGUGAUAAAAAAAACUGCAGGGGCUGCUUGCUUGGCUUCCUAAUGCCAUUUUAUGUAUCUGGUCUUAGUUUUUGUUUGGCAUUUUGGAGUCUUCCCAAAAUACUUUCUAACCAUUUUCAGUUUCUGCAAUUUGAAGUUUUUUCUAUAAUUUCCUCGGGUGUUGUGUUGAUCCACACAGGGCCUGUCCCUGUCCCUAUCCAUCUACCUUGCUGCCAGUGCCAACCUGUGUUGUCACCCUGUUGAAAGAAAAAAAAAUUGGCAAUUGGGAAAUUGGUUGGUGUACUACACAUCACAACUCACAAGGGGGCUUGCAGCUUGCUAUUCUCACCUGCUGGCCUGCUCACCUGGUGUUGUGUUGCUACAAUUUCGGGCUAGGGUUAGGGUUAGUACGUGCUUGGCUUUUACAGCAACUGUCUUUUGGUCUGUGACUGCAUGUGUUGCCAGUUUUUGUUUUGGUGCUCAUUCAUGUGUUUUGUUUUUGUUGCUGUGUUGUAGGGCCCUUUUGUGGAUGUCUAUAGAUUAGCACUCAACUGUCUGGAGCUGCAAGCUUCCCUGCCACAAUUUCGGUCACCUUUUUUUUCACUUGCGUUUGUUGUAUUGUUGAUAUUCUUUAUGUGGUGGGUAUACUUUUGACCAAAAGAUCUGGUCAUGCCCAUGUCUAGCUCUAGUGAUACCCAAGCAAGAUGUACCAAGGAAAAAAUGAUGUAUGAAUAUUGGUUCAACUAUCAUGGGAUGGGACAAAGUUCUGAUUAGCUAGCUCUUUAAUGCUCCAUGUGGCCUGACUUGAAUUCAAGAUUUAUAAGACAAAGGUUAUGCUUAAUCACCAAGGAAAAAGUUUGAGAAGUAUCUAAAAAAAGAAGAAAAAGAAACAAUAAUAUACUCCCUCCAUUUUAAAUUGUAGGUCAUUUUGAUUUUUCUAGAUUUGUAGAUGUUUGUAUGCAUCUAGACAUACAAUAUAUUUAUGUGUAUAGUAAAAAAUAUUUAGCUAGAAAAGCCAAAACGACCUACGAGACGGGAUACUCCCACCCGUUACAACCGUUACAAAUAACUAAGGUUUUAGAUAUUGAUGACAUAGUCCUCAAAACACAAUUUUAACUAUUAAUUUUCGUUACAAAAUAUUUAUAUUGUAUCUCAAGGCAAAACUACUGAAAUAUCAAUUGUAAAUAUCUAAUAUAUGUCAACAUAUAAAAAGUGAUUUAUAGCCAUUUUUUAUUUAGGACAGCCUAGAGGGAGUACUAACAAACCGUAUGUCUUUUUGACAAGUAAAUCAUCUCCGGUAUUCCCCUAAAAUAGUUAUGUCCUAUAUUAAAUUAUAAUUUCAGGUACAUUAAUAUAGUUUCAGUCUACCGAUUUUUCUCAUAAAUGUCAACUGAUUAACAAACUUUGCUUUUGCUGGUUUUGACCAUUGAGCAAUAUUCUAGUCUUGCAGACAACUUCUGGCAAAUCAGAUGCAUUUUUCUAUCAUUGGCUUGCACCGCCAAAACCUGAAGUCAACGUCAUGAAUCGUAGUCACACGAAAUAUAUAAUACUCCGUCCGUUCCAAAUUAUAGGUCGUUAUGGCUCUUUUAGAUCUAUAGAUAUUAUUACGCAUCUAGACAACUAAAAAAUCAAAACGAACUACAAUUUGGAACGGAGGGAAAAAUUAUGUUAGCUUUGCUCUAGCUAAAAUAGUCCAGCAUCAGGUCCAGGUACAUUGAACUGUUUCCAAAUCCCCUUUAUGAAUCCAGAUAACCAUCCAGCAGUAACAGUUAGAGCAAAAAGAACGGCAUUUAUCCGUAAAUAGUCAGUCUGUCGACCAAUCUCUUUCAGUUGUCAAGUUUGCCUAGGUUUCUCAGAGAUAGUCGUCCUCGCACAAGAGCAUAUUCCUUCCAGAAACAUUGGAUCACAAGCAAUCAUUAGCUUUGCAUCCAUAUGAAGCAAACCCUUUCCUGGAAGUGUUUUGCUCCCGGACGCGAUUCUUGCUUGUGCAGACGUGCAGUACAUCCAUGAAACUUUUGCAGUUCGACUAUCUGGAUCUGGAUAUGGUGUCCAGUGCUUCAGCUUAGUAGCAUAUCAUGAACAGAUCAUCUGUGAAAAAAAGAGAGAGGAUAUUUUCAAGUAAUUUUCACUGUUCGUUCACUAUUUAGAACUUGAUUAACAUCAACUCUUAAAAUUUAGUGAAUAAAGUCGAGAUAUUUUUGUUAGACUUUCCAAUAGAGGCGUUUUUUGAGUAUUGUAUAUUUAUCACUAUUUGCAUACAUUAUAGACACAUGUGAAAAGUGACACUCAAAUUUUAAAUACUGAAAUAAGUAAUGAGAAUUGUUUGUAAACAAAAGUAGCACAAAGAUAGGCUACGCUACUCAGCUAAUCAAAUACAUACAUCAGCUUUCCUUCAGAAAGAUAAAGAAAUCAACUUACAAAAAGGGAUAUUUGCAGAUCGCAAUAGCAUGCUCAACCAAUUGCGCACCUGGACCACAUAUUCUCUUUCCUUUUUCUCUGGCUUGAAUUGUCACACACAGCAAAUGGUUUUUAAUUAUUUCUUUUGACCACCCCUCGUGCCAGAUGUCAUUUCAAUGACUGAAAAUAUCCAAAAGGGUGAAAGAAACAUAAUUUCCAGAAUUCCCGCUUCUGUCUUGGCCCAUUUGCAUGGCUGACAAAUCUCCAUGUAAAAGUUAUCAUCUCCAGGUCCAAUUAUGCAAGAUGAACUAUCAGAUAUUGGCCACAGCUGCAAAUCUGAAUCAGCAGAGAACACAUUGCACUGGUCUUCACCACUCUUUUCGAGCUCCAGCCUUUACAACCCUUCCCCAGCCAGCCACUUGAGCUGCUGCCACACAAAAGAGCCACAGCCACAGGCUGUUCAUGAACGGGGAGGUGCUCUAUCCUCUGUGCAUCUUCAGCAAAGCUGGCAUCUUUCCAAGCAGCAAAGGCAUCACGGGCCAAAGGGGGAAAGCAACGGAGGUGUCGCCAUCCAUGGGCAAGUGUAGCUUUCAUCAAACAAACAGAAAGAAGAACUCAGGACCUUAAGGGCAUAAUUGACUGCACAUGAAUAGCGACAAAUCACCAUCCCAGGAACUGUCUUUUCUUUGUCAUUAAGGAAGCUGAGGCACAGGUCCGAGGUCAGGACGGUGAAGCACCAAUUGUGAAGAAGUUUGAUUUUUACCUUGAUGAAAAAAGAGUUGUAAGGCAGGCUGCCAAUUUUACAACAUUACAUACCUGGCUAACAAAAGCCUAAAACACUGGGAUUUGAUAGAGUGAGCUAUUUGCCUACUUCCCUGAACCUAUGAUACACUACAAUCUUCUGAACGAAGGUGAAUAAAAAGCUUGCAACAGACCCAACGCUAACAGGGAUGAUGAGAUGAGAUUUAGGGGAGGCUACAACUGCAACGCCUGUAAUCUCGGUACCAGAUUGGGCGGAUUUGCAUGCUGUACUCGCUCAUUGCGGAGGAGAAGGAUGUUAAUGGUGCCAGACUCUCUCAACCAGGCAGCCACCACAGCACUGGGUGACACAAACCUUCCAAUGUUGAAGCGUUCGACCUGAAACGGUGCUCCAAUUGAAAGGAGCAAUGCUUCAAUGACACGCCGGAGAGUGCUUGAGCCAGCUAUCUUGCUAUGCUUUCCCCAUCCUGUCAGAAUGCUGUAGAGACAUAAAACAUGGAGUUAGUUCAGGCAAAGCCAAGAGAUUCAGGACCAAAUACUAGAUUUGCACAAACGCAUGAUAAAAUGGAAGUGCUAGAUAAGGACCAAGUACCUUAAAAAUUCAGGCAUAGCUCGUCCUUCAAAGACAAUAGAGCGCACAUUCAGGAGCCAUGCAUGAACCAUUGCUUGAGCUGCACCACAUGACAUAAGGUGCAGGUCCAGGCAGAACUCGCUCCAUGUGUUCUCCCAAACACGACGGUUUACCCCUUCAAGCACAACUUGCUGAGCUCCUUGUCUCUGAAAAUGGUCAGUAACACAAACAUGUCACUAAAAUCGCUAAGCUAGAUUAUAGUGAGAUACAUACGUAUAUGGAAAGAGUUUACACAACUCAUGCAAUGAAAAGUUAGGAUGGAUAGUUGGGAGACAACAAACAAGUUGUCAAAAGCGAAAUAAAAUAUAUAGUCACAACAUUCCCAGGUCAAUAUGGUCGAGGAACACGGUACUACUUGUGGAAGGUUUUCACAAGGCAGGGACAACGUUCCUGGAAUAGGAACGAUGUUCCCAGCUCGAGGUAUGCCAGCAUUAACACCAUUCCUUGCAACUAUUAUAAAAGUAGUUCUUUUCCAAAAAAAAAUUAACAGUGGAAAAUAAUAUUACCAGAAAAUAGUGACCAUUAAUAAACAACAGCAGUACUUGAAUCCAAGCAUACAAUAAAGAGAAAAUCUACCUGGCCAAAAUGCCAUAGCACAUCAGUAAGAGCAUUGUAGAAGGCAGAAGAUGUUGGAGAAUCCAUGCGUCCCAACUGAUUAAAGAGGGACCGUGCUUGAGACCAAACUUCUCGAUGGCCCAUCAGAAGCCCAUACGCAACCCCAUAUACAAAGUUAUCAAACAAGCGAAGCUGUUCCAGUAAAAGGGCUGCAUCUUCAAAACUGUUACAGCGACUGCAAGAACAAGAUUAAAGCAAACAGUUAGAAACCACACAAAACUUAAGAGGACACAGAACUUAAGAGAACUUAGCAGGCUCAUCUUUCGCUUUUGUGCUAUUUGUUUUGAAUAACAAGGCCACAGCUAGCAUAUUCUAGUAUCAAAGAAAACGAUAGGUUUACAGAAUAUAGAGUAACUUUGUGUAUUCAUGAAAUACAGGAAUACUGAAGUUCAACCAGUGUAAACAUAAAUCCAUAUUGAAUUUAUCUAGUUUAAACUGAAAAAAAAACAGUUUAAUAUCCAGGGUAAUGCAGCACCAAUUGUUGAAUUUUCAACUGAUACAGUGCACAAGAGUGUAUUUCUACGGGCAGAACAACAUUAGCAAUAGAAAAGCUCUAAUGAAAUGAUGAAGAUGGAAAGAUGUACCUGCAAGCAUUCAGGAUCGCAGAAAACGUUACAACAUUUGGUCGUACACCCUGCUGGACCAUCUUCUGAAAUAAUUCCAGAAUGAAAAAUAAUUCCUGGGACCUCCUCAUCCGAGCAUCAACAGCAGAGCGCCACCCUCUGGUCGCUGGAUUAGCAGCCCUUACAAUCUGGCCACCAUAAACGCCAACAAUUCCCAGGUCAGCAAUCUCAGGAUCCUCCUCAGGAAGAAUCUUAGACUUGCCAAAUGCAUCGAUAAUUGUGUUGUAGGUUACAACAUUUGGCUUGAUACCCAUCUUCAUCAUCUCAUCAAGCAAAGACAAAGCACAUUCUACCAAGCCAUUCUUGGCUAAUGUAUCAAUAAAAGAGCUGAACAGAACAACAUCUGCCUUUAGGCCAGACUCCUUAAAAUCCAAGUAGACAUUAAAUGCAUCUCCAUGCAUUCCUGCCUUUGAAUAGAUAUCUAUCAAAGUUGAGUAUGUCAGCACACUAGGAGCUACACCUUGUGCUCGCAUAUCUUGAACAAGCAAAGCAACCAUAUCCAAGCGUCCUUGCUUUCCAUAUCCAUUAAUCAAGGAAUUGUAUGUAACAGUGUCUUUCUCAAUACCCAAACUCUCCAUCUCUUCACACACAGUAGCAAUUUCAUCAUACUUCCCUGUCUUCACAUAUAUCGCCAGCAAGGUGUUGUAGCAAACUCGGUCCAGUUGAAUUCCCAAAGACUUCAUCUUUCCGCGCAACUUGAGUGCCUCAUCAUAUUUCUCCAGUUUUGAGAAGCCAUCCAUAAGCGUACUAUAUGUAACAACAUUUGGCUUGACAUUUUUUGCUUCCAUAUCCAAGACAACCUGCAUAGCUAGCUCCAUGUUGCCACACUUGCAAAUUGCAUCGACAAAUGUGUUGUAAGUGUAAAUGUCACGACCACUGCCAAGAUGGAUCAUUUCAUCGAAGACUGCACGAGCAUCUUCCAAAUGGCCAGCCCGGCUACAUGCAGCAAGAAGUGAAUUAAACGUCUUGCGAUCUGGACAGAGCCCAUCCUGCAGCAUCUGACGGAAAUACCCCAGUGUGAGCCUAAGGUCAACACCCCCUUUUCCACAUGCAUCAAUAACUGCAUUGUACGACACCGUAGUAGGCCGCAAGCCUGCACCUUUCAUCGACUCGAGCACCCCCAUGGCCUCCGUUGCGAGCCCACUCCUCGCAUAAGCUGAGAUGAGUGCAGAGUGCGCAAACACCGUGUUGCCAUAGCCCCCAGCAAUGCCAGAAUCAAAAGCCCUCCUUGCCAGGUCAGGUCGACCAAUCUUGCCAAGCGCACCGAUAGCUGCAGUCAGCAGUUUGCCUUUCUCAACAGCACCACCACCAACAAGAGGCAACGCAGCAUAAAACACCUCAUAGGCACGGUAUGCCGAUUUAUCCCUGUCGCCAAGCUCCCGGAGGACCUGGCAGUAGUCCUCGGGAGCGACUAGCUCGCCCCGAAAGGACGAAAGCGCCGCACUGAGCGCUCGCUGGUCUUCAGGCGCCAGACGGAGCAGCUUGUCGACGCAGCGCCCCGCGGCGGCCGAGGACGCACGCCAGCGGUCCUGGGCUCCCGCGCCGCCGCCGCCGCCACGGGUGCGCUUGGAGAUGGUCCUGGUGGUGCGCGCGCGCCGGAACUCCGGGCCGAGCGCGGCGGCGGCCGCCGCGGCGCGCUGCGGCUGCUGCACCCACGGCGCGCCGGGGCCGACGAAGAUUGGGUUGUGGGCGGGCGGGCACGCCGCGGAGGAGGAGGCCGUGGACGCCGCCGCGAGGAGGUGCGGCGGGCACAGCGCCGCCGCCGCGGCCGACGCCGAGGCCGGCGGCGCGGACGCGUGCAGGCGCGCGGUGGCCGUGGCCGCCGCCGCCGCGGACGCCGAGUGGUGGUGCGCCGGGUGGUGCGACGCCGCGUGCGCCUGCGACGGCGUGAAGUGCGUCGCCAUCCCGGCGGCAGCGGCCUCCCAGCAGACCACGCAACCGCGCGAGAAUCACCUCCUCUCCCAGACGGCGGACUCUUCGCCUCCCCUCCCAAACCCGAUCAAAUUCCGCCUACGAAAUCCCACCAAGCUCCAAUCUUUCCCACGAAAUCACCAACUCCUCACCCCCUGAUCUCCUCCUACACCCCAAUCCAGCCAAAAAAGGCAGGCUACGCCCGGAAUCGAAUCUCCGGGUCCUCGCGCGCGGGAGGCACGGGACUAGCCAAAACAGAGGCUCCAGAAAGGUGGGGGCUUUGACGGCUAAACCAGGUCCGUUUCGCUGCGGUGCAGCGUCGGUGGAGAUGAUGGUGAGGGGGUCAUCAUGCCGGUGGGCGAUCGAUUUGGCGAUAAGAUGAGGGGAUUUGGCGCCGGAUUUCGCGAGGCGGGGAUUGGGUGGCUGGGACGAACACACGCGUGGCGUGGGUGGGGAAGGUGGAAGGAAGCGAAGGAAGCGAAGGAAAGAGAUAAGACGCCAAAAAAAAAGUGAGCGGAUUUUUGGACUGUUUCGUGGGCCCCCCGCACACACGCCUCGGAAGAUUUCCUCCGCAACCUACCGGCAUUUCCUACAGAUUGUUUAGUGGGCUGUGUUACUGACGUGUGGGACCAAAUACCUCUCGUGGCCCACCUGCAGUGGGGUGUGGAGGGGUGGUGGCGUGUCGUGUGAGUCGAGGCGGCCAUUGGCUUCGGGGACGCCAGGGAGGGAGGCGAGGCGGUGUGGGAGUAUGACAUGUGGGACCGGAUCGCAGCGCGGCUGAGCUGGCGAGUUUCGUGGCGGACGAUUGGGUGGCCCGGGCGGCUGCUGAGCUGGCAAAGUGCUACGGCCACUCGUCGAGCGCCUGCGCUUUCCUGCGCGCAGAGCUGUUGGGCUUUGUUUGUUUUGGUCAAAUUCCGUGGAAAAGUGUAUAAACUCCAUUUGAAUUCCUUGGGAUUUCAUACUCCUAGGUGGAGUUAUUGCAAAUGGUGUGUUGUUUGGAUACUACAUCCAUAAUGGUUGACGUCAAAUUUAUUGUUCUAAGGAUUGGAGCAGAGAGUUAGCGAACGUGAAGAAUGCAAAUGGUUAGGUGUAAUUUUCAACCGUAUGUGUUUCUUUGGUAUUGGCAAGAAUGAGACUAUGGAAAAAGGAACAUAGAAUUCUAAGAUAUAAGAUAACUGUUUUGUGUCAUUGUAUGUGGUCUUCGGUCUUCUCGUGAGAUGCCUUUCAACUGAUGGCACAUAAUUUAUCAUGGACUUUGAUAACUAACUUUGAAAACAUGAAUCGAUGCAGUACAUUCUUUUCUUCGCACAUGCAUUGAAGAAGAGAGUGCAGGGGGAUAAAAACAAUGACCCUAGGUCUCCUACAUAUUAUUUGAUUCAUUUUCAACACUUUGGCUCGCCUGAUGGAGAAGAUUUGAAGCUUAUACUCUUGAACGUACAUGAGCACCUGGUUUGCUCAUAGUAUUUUAGUAGUACUUCUGUUGAACGAGUUCGCUAGCUUCCACGGUAAAUCCUGUUCAAAUAUAAACAAAUUUGAAAACGGUAUGAGUGUGCAUUGAUCUUGCUUGGUUAGGUUUCCUACGUUACUACCACAAGUUUAGAGUACAACUAUUAUUUUAAGGAUGCCUCCAAAGUCACAUCUAAUUGCUAGCUAUUUUUCAUCCACGUCAGCUAGAGAUGGCACAAAAAUUCGCCCCUCCAACGAUUACUUAAAGCCCCCUCUUAAGGCCCGACACUCCAAUCGAAACAUUCACAUGUUGUUGCUUUAGUGAAAACACAAUUAAAGAGGCAUGUCGUGUUUGGUGCUUAGCGGGUUUAGGGUACACAUUUAGUUACUAUCCAAAUUGUUACAUAUUUUUAAAAAAGUAUUUUCUAUAAAUUAUGACAAUCCGCAUUUGACUGUAAGUAAAACUUCAGCUUUAUUAAGACCGGUUUCACAUGGUCCCAUGCCAUUAGGCCAGUUUCAUGGAGAGUUUCAUAAGUAUUAAUUUUCAUGCCACAUCACCAAUUUUGCUGACUUAGCAAGGUAUUUAUGAUGAGAGAGAAGGAGGAGUUUCAUUAUAUGUGAGAGGAGUUUCAUCCUCAUGACACUCAACAGACACAGUUAGCUAGUUCCCAGUCUUGUAACUGUGCGGUGAAAUUGUGCACUGAGAUUAGUCUUAGUUUUACAAACCUACAACAUCUUUGCAUGGACCCAUAUGUUAGCCGCACAAGACCACGUACGGAUCCACGCACAACUUUCAUCACCCACGUGUACCUAGGAAAAUUGCUGUAAUAAGUCGAGGUGGCACAAGGAGGUGUCGUUACGUGAAAUGGAUCCCAAGAACUGGGGUUCUUAUUUGAUAGUUAGGCAUGAAUAGUUGGAGUUUUAGGUUAAUUCUAAUGAAAAUUUUCAUGUUGAUUUUUUCAAGAUAGCCGCAAGAAUGAAAUGAAAUGGUGUUUGAAAGUACCCUCCCCAAUGCAUAAUUUCGUGGUAUGGUUUCAUAAGAUCAAAAUAACAUUUAAUUUCAUGACUGAUGGAGAGUUGGUAUUCGUGUAUACUUGAUUUCAUCCAGAUGAAACUGGUCCCUCUCUCUCUUUUUUAAUUUCAUGUCAUGUUAUAAAAAAAUCAUAUGUGGCAUACUAAUUAAUGAGAAUGAAACUCUCCGUGAAACUCCCACUGAAACUAAACUAACUUCUCACAAAAGGAUGCGAAUGACUUCGUUUACCCUUGGAUACUAUUAGAAUAAAUUCAUUAGCCACGUUUGCAUUGUUCGAGUGGCAAUUUAUAACUAAUCUUUCCCAUAUCCAAGAAAAGACAACAAAAUAUUUUACAUAUUUAGAGAAAUAUAUUUAUCUGGACCAUUGCAUCAGUUCGAAGGCAUUAGGCAUGAGGAUAUCUAGAAACUUCCACGCUCGAUUUUUCAAGAGUUUCGUAGGUUCUGAACUGGUGGCAAUGGACCUAGAUGACAUUUUGACCGUGUGUUUGAACUUGGAAGCGACUCCACACGGCAUCAAAAAGACAAGAGUCAUGAACCGGUGGCUUCUUGUCCUCUCCACACAGGUGAGAGGUUCAGAAAGGCACACGUUUCAGGUACAUGGACCUGAGAAAACUCUAGUUGGUCACAUCAUGGGUGUAUCCCACAAAAAAGAACGGAGUUUGCAACGCUGGAGGAGGAGAAAAAAUGGUGGCGCGGCGACUGGUUUUCCUCCUGGGCGGCUGGCGUUGCAACAAAGGCCGUAGGAAGAAAAUGACCCCCCCCCCCCCCCCCCCCCUUAGGUGUGAUCUCGAGAGAUAGCUCAGGCAGCCAAAUGUAAGCCGGCAAAGUGCAAAUUCUCCCAAUUCUUUAUAGCCAUCUUUUGUUAUCCCCAUAGAAGUACCACAUUCUCUCGUUAAUAAUUGCUGGAAAUAUUUUAAGAACUCUUGUGGGCAUGUCACGUGCUCCCCGUAAGAAGUAACUAUGAAUUCUUUUUUGUCGAAUGUAUAGAGUGUAAAGGAUAAAUGUAUGUAUGCUUUGGUCUAUUAAAAAAAAGAAAAACAAGUGGUUUUUGACCAGAAGAGAUUCCCGAUGAAAUUUUAGAAUGUCUACAUCUAUGUCCAUUUUCAUGGGAAAAACUAUAAAGUUUUGGACGCUAUUUGGUUGGCUACCAAAUUUUGCUCAUAUCUCCCAUUUAUCCUACCAAAAUUUUGGCAAUUUUUUUGCCCAACUUUUGAUUUGUCAAAACUCUAGCCUUUGGCAUCAAACCAAUCAGCUCUAAAUGCCAAAAAUACCAUGGGAGUAACAUCACUAGCAAGAGCAUAAACUUCUUUGUGGUGCUGGAUGAGCGAAAGCGUGUUACUCGAAGCACCACUAAAAUUCUCAUACUAUAGUUAAAAAAGAACAAAUUUAGGAUCUUUUCACGCUGAAAAAUACGUGAAAAGAAUAUGAGUUCACCGUCCUAUAAAUUCCCCUGGAGAUUCCCGUGCGCUUCAGACCGAACACAGUAGCUGCAUUUCCUGCUCGAAUUUUGGGGUUUUCCUCUCCAUCGCAAAGCACUAGAAAAACCCUCAUCCAUCUGAUCUCCAUCAGGCGGCUGGCAGGGCCCUUCCUAUCUUCCCCUCGCUCUCUUCGCCACUCCCUCGUCGCUUGGAAAGUUGGCAACUUGGCGCUCCCCCUUCCCUCCCCGCCUCUGGUUCCUCCUCCCGCCCCGCGCCUCCGCCUAACAAAGAUAAGGCUGCAGGGCUCAUGCUUCCAGAAGCUUCCGGAACCUCGCGCUGAGCCCGACCCCAUCACCGAAGUCCGGUACUGGAGUGGCUGCAUGAGUAGUCGCGCCGCCGCCGUCGCAGCAGCAGAGGAGCCAUGGGGAUGCUCGCCGCCGCCGCCGCAGCCUCCGCUCUCCUCGCCUCGCCACAGGCGCCUGCCGUCCGACGGCGCCUCUCCGGCGCGUGGACGCUACGCCUGAGGCCCGCCGCCGCGCUCAGGUGAAUGUCUGUCUGUCUACUCGCCGCCGGUUCGCGCCCUCGCCCGCAGAACGCGGCAGCUCGUGCUCUGUUGCGCGAGGAAUCGAUAAAGAUUCCUUCUUUGCUCUUUGGAGUCUUGGAGUUCGGAAGGGAGACGAGGGGUGUUUUGCUAGAAUAGGGGAGUUGAGCUGGGGAUGAUUCAUAAUAAUUUCAUAUGCAAGAUUGGUGGUUGGGAUUAGGAUUUAGGGCAGGUUGCUUAACCUUGGCAGGUUAGGUUCUUCCCAUUUGGAUGCUUAGUGUGGGAAUUUGGAGUUGUAAUGAUGACGGUUACACUGAGAUGUAGACUACGGUUGAGGUAGUGAUCAUCUUAGCAUGUUCCUGAUGGUCAAAGUUUUUGUUGUGGGUGCUGUGCUACUGGCUCCUUUGUAGAUUGUGCUGCCUUUGCCUUUAUGUCGCCGGGGUAGUCAGUGGCUAUGCAAAGGAAAGCUAAAUUUAGUUGUUUUAUGUGUGUUUGUAUGUUUUCCUGUUGGCAUAAAUGUGUUGAACAGAUUGAGUCACAAGAAAAGUUUUGAAUUAAAAACACUGAAUAGCGUUUUGUGUCCAGCUGAUUGAACACAUGAGGCUGUUGUUUAUUUUCUUGCAUCAAAAGUUUCUCUUGAAAUUUUUAUUGAUUUAAGAUUUUGUAGAUCAUUAACAUGUUGCAUUAUUUUUUACCAGGCUACACAAUUUUGGCCCAAAGUGUUACAUUGCAAAUGUUGAGGUUGAUGUCAGUACUCUCAGUAAAGAAGAGGCUUUCGAUGAUCACGCACCAUUGCCAUCGGGAUGCUCCAUUCCAGUUCUUAAUCUUCAAGGAGAUGUUCUAGAUUCCAGCCCUUUUCCACUGCAUGAUAGGGCCUCCUGUCCUUCUAGUUUUGAGGAGUUGCCAGUACGAAUCUUCUUCCUUUUCCUAUGUUCUUUGUCAAAUGGCUUCUUUUUGUCCUCUUGUGAUCAUCUGUUCAUAAUGCAGGUCUUGUCUGAAGGAGAGCAACAUACUUUGGCCUCCACUCCAGCUCAUCCUGCUGGACUACAUGGUAAGGGAGUUUUUUUUGGACCAUCUCAUGGCAGUAUCUGCAUUACUGUUUACCCUGUAUAAGUUUUGCAACUUUGCAAAUAUUUUUGGAAGGAAGAAGAUCCAUCUUAGGGUAGCUGUUUAAUAUUUUCAUGGAACAAUUAAGCUGUAUCAUACCCUUAAGGAUUAUUAUUAUUUUUAAUUUAAGAUGUUUCUGUCAUGGAACUUAAAUACCUUUUAAACAUCAUACAACAUUGAUGCAGCUCUAUAUGCUAGUUACUUAUUUGGUAACUUGGUGGAACAACUGUGGAAUUUUGCUUGGCCUGCUGCGCUGGCAAUUCUUCACCCAAGCCUAUUGCCUGUUGCUAUUGUUGGUUUCUUCACAAAGGUACUUGCCAUUGUACUUAAUUUAAGAGAAACCUUCCAUAUCUAUACUCAAUAGUCUAAUUAAUUUUAUUGUAUCCAGCUUUCAGUGUUUAUUGGGGCGCCAAUAGUUGGCAAACUUAUGGAUCAUUUCCCUCGAAUACCUAUGUACACAGCAUUGAAUGCUGUGCAGGUGCUUGUCCUUUAUCUUCUCUAGUUUCUUAUGUUAUGGGCAAAGAAUAGACAAGUUGUCAUGUAGUAAAUAAGCGACAUGAGAAAACAUAUUUUAAUUGAUGCCAGUUUUUUGGGCAACCCGGUCUUGCAGGUAGCCACUCAGUUGAUAUCAGCUGCAAUGGUCAUCUAUGCUCUAAAAAAUCUGAGCCAUGCUUCUACGACAGCUGUGGUUCUGAGACCUUGGUUCAUUGCUCUAGUGGCAGCUGGAGCUAUUGAAAGACUUGCAGGAUUGGCGCUAGGAGUUGCCAUGGAGCGGGAUUGGGUUGUUUUGGUAGGGUUGCUGAUUCCCAUACCACUUUUGUAGAGUGCUUCUUUGUUUGGCUGAAAUAUUUGAUAUUCCCUUCUUACAAUAUAAAUAUUGUGAGAUGGAACUAAGAAAUCUACAACAGUUUAAAUGGAAAAGUUUGUUAUCUUAAAUAACUUUGAGAUUUCAGAAAACUUGUGUCUUGUUUUCAUCAAUUUCUUCCCUUACAGUUCUUUUCUCUGUGAAGUUAGCAGGAACAAACAGGCCCGUUGCAUUAGCCCAAGCAAAUGCUGUGCUUAAUCGACUUGAUCUAAUUUGUGAGGUGUGAUUUCUCACUCUUAGACUUGCAUAUCAUCAUCUUUGAUUGAUUGAGACUUCAGCACACAACAAGGUCGAUCACUGAUCGUGAUCUUUUUUUAUUUGUUGGUUGCAAAUAGCUGAACACAACAUCCUAUUUUGAGUGGGCAAAUUAUAUCCAAUAACCUUUUUGGGGGCAUGAUUGCAGACGGUUGGUGCUUCGGUUUUUGGCCUACUGCUGUCAAAAUACCAUCCUGUGACCUGUUUGAAGAUUGCUUGUGGUCUAAUGAUAUGCAGUUUCCCUGUUCUGGUAAACCACAUUUAUCUUCGCUCCUUAACUUGAAUAGCCAGACGUAGCGUGCUCACAGGUUGCUAUUUUAACUUUCCAAUUUCAGGUUAUGUUGGGUCAAGUAAUUAACAGAGUCUCGUGCCAUGCACUUGAUUCCUCUAGAACCGCCACUGAUGAAUCUAUUUGUAUUGAUCUAUUAGAUUUACGCAAGAUAGGUGAGGAACUUUGACAUGGUUAGAUAUUUAAAUUUACUUCGGUAGAUAGUCUAACAGUCUCUUUAAUCUUCAGUUCAAAAUAGCUUGAGCACUAUCAAACAUGGGUGGAAUGAGUAUAAGCAGCAAACAGUUCUACCUGCAAGUGCAGCUACCGUCUUCCUAAAUUUCAAUGUUGCACUUGCCCCGGGUGCCAUAAUGACUGCAUUAUUGAUGCAUCGUGGUAGGUUUCACUUCUCCAGUUCAAAUCUAUGACUCCCUUAAAAAGCAUUUGUAAAAGACUAUCUCUAUCAAUUUGAACAGGUAUUAGUCCAUCCAUUGUUGGUGCUUUCAGUGGAUUGUGUUCUAUCAUGGGCCUUGUUGCAACAUUCAUCUCCUCAAGCCUGGUUAAAAGAGUUGGAAUCUUAAAGGUUUGACCUCAACCUUGUUGGUUUUGUUCCCAUAGUUUCUUCCACAGUUGAUGCAAAUGGCUGAUGUUAUAACAGGCAGGAGCUGCUGGAUUGAUUUUUCAAGCUUCACUCCUGUCAGUUGCGCUCACAGUGUAUUUGGCUGGUUCAGUUUCGCAAAGGACACCUCUACUUAUAUUCCUAGCAUCCAUUGUAAGGCUGAAAUCUUAACUUCAGAUUCCCCUUUCAGUGGAAUUUAGUUGAACACUAUAGAGUAAUCCCUGUAUCUAUUCUGUGUUAAUCUGCAGGCAUUGUCUCGGUUGGGGCACAUGUCUUAUGAUGUUGUCGGGACUCAGAUCGUCCAAACAGGUGUUCCUGCUUCAAAAGCAAAUCUAAUCGGAGGAAUGGAGGUUUCAAUUGCAAGCCUAGCAGAGUUAGUCAUGCUUGCUAUGGCUAUUAUUGCGAACGAUGUCUCCCAUUUCGGCUUCUUGGCAAUCCUGUCUGUGUCAUCAGUUGCCGGGGCAGCGUGGAUGUUCUGUCGGUGGUUAACAAAUCCAACAGAUGAGCAGAGGGAACUCUUCAUGUUUGAUCCCCUUUACCAAGUUCAAGCAAUGUAAGUAUUGGUCGUGCUACCUUUGCCAUUACUUUAUUAAGAUAUCCGGGCUUGCAAGUAUUUGAACUUUGUGCUAGAGUUAAUUGACACGUGAUAAAUGUAUGUCUCCAAAUCUCAUUUUCCAGCAAGAUAUUUGCAUCACUGUUUUUCCACUUAGCUAUUAUCUAAAACUGAAACUACUGAUAGUGAUAUCAUGCUCCAAACCAUGCAUACUAACCAGUCCUUACAUCAUCACUGUGCAAGCAAUUAUGCAUGAUUCAACCUUCAGACCUCGUAUGAUUUAAAACUGACUCAUAAUACCCAUCUUAUCUUCAGUAGAUGACACAGGACACUCCCAACACAUCCACGAAAACUGCAGGCGCCUACUUGGCUGAUGGUGCUUGUUGGAUCUACGAUGAUCUGAAGAUAUGCUGUGUCAUUUAGGUUCGAAACAACAUACACUUAGGACAGAAUCAUUUGCUCCUCUUAGUCUCAGCCAUGCGCAGAAUUCAAUUUGUAUACUUAUUCAUUUCCCCACCUGUACAGUACAUAUACGAUCUGUUUAAUCGUUGCUUGUCAUAGCUGAUGUAGAACAACAUUAACAGUCAACUGUAGUACUGAAUCAAUAACAUUUAACACCCCCCCCCCUCCCCCCCCUCUUCUUUCCUCUCUCUG